UACAGUGGAUAUAGCCAUGGCAGCCCACGGUGCCUCCUCUUCAUCAUCCUCCUCAAAACUCUGGAAGUACGACGUGUUCUUGAGCUUUAGAGGCGAAGACACACGCAAGGGCUUCACGGGCCAUCUCCACACAGCAUUGGAAGAAAAGGGCUACAAGGCCUUUAUUGAUGAGGACGAUCUGGAAAGAGGGGAAGAAAUAAAGCCCGAACUAUUGCGAGCCAUCGAAAAGUCAAGGAUCUCUAUCAUUGUCUUCUCAAAGAGGUACGCAGAUUCGAGUUGGUGUCUCGACGAGCUAGUGAAGAUCAUGGAGUGCAAAUCCGAACUGGAGCAACAUGUUUUGCCAAUAUUCUAUGAUGUUGAAGCUUCAGACAUCAGGAAGCAGGAAGGUAGUUUAGCCCCAAUGUUUCAGAAGCACGAAGAGAACAUCCGUAAAGAAGAAGAUGACAAAAAACGGGAAACCAAGAGAGAAAGGGUAAAGCAAUGGAGAAAGACUCUUACUGAAGCUGCAAACUUGUCUGGUUACGAUCUUAAAAACACUGAGAACGGGUAACUAUUUAUUUUAUUCAGCUUUAAUUAUUUAAAUGAAAAAUUUAUCUUUCCCCCUUAGAACUCCUUUUUCUUUGCCUUUAACCCAUCAUAUAUAUUUUUCCAGACUGCACGUCGUAUUUGUGUCUCUUCCCCUCCACUUAACUCUAGAAUUAACACUGUUAAUUAUUAUAUAGGAAUUUAAUUAAAUAAACACGAACACCCGACAACCCAUCCUCUAUCACAUUAUUACCUUCCCCUUCACUUUCACUUUCACACGUUCAUUUUCCUUUCUCUCCUCUUCAUCAUUUCUAUCUCUCUCCUCACACUCACUCCCUUCACCGUCGUCGUCAAAGCACAUGAUUUCCGGCUUCAAAUUGCGGCGAAGGGUCGAGAUGAGCGGCUGCGAUUGAAGGUCGAUUUGCUGCCAUAUCUGCUCGGCAUCGAAUCCGUCGACCAAGACCUGAUGUAACGGCGAUUUGGGAGUGAUUAGCGCUCGGGACUACUUGUGCUGUGUAUUAAUAUUUUUUUUGGUUGAAAAGGAGAUGAAAAACGGAAGGGGGUUAGGGUUUGGGGUCUCUCAGUGAGAAAAUCACAGAGAGAGAUGGUUGAGAGAGGGUUUAUUAAUUUGGGCAUGAUUAGGAACAAGGUAUUAAAUCGAAGUCAAAUAAUUUAACGCUGUAGUUUUUUUAAUUAGUUAUGUGUAUAUAUGUUUUAAAUACGUAUUAAUCUAUUAAUAAAAUCUUAUUUGUGAACCAAAACUUCUUAAAAUUAUUAUGCUAAUCCUCUCAUUAAAAUUGUACAAAACAGAAUAUAUGAGCAAUUUAGUAAUUACAUACAAUAUAAAUUUUGUUAUUUUUUUACACAAACUUCACAGCCUGAUAUACAUAACACACCUACUUAAAAGUUAAAAAUUAGAUGCAAGUGGCCCUUUACAACAAUGGUGGAAAGAAGUUGAGUUCUUGCAUGACGUCGUAAAUUUGAAUUUUAUCGAUGGCUAAUCUAACAAAAUUUAUCAUAUGACAAAAAAAAAAAAAAAGUUAAAAAUUAGAUUAAAAAAUUAAGUAGGUUUUCUUUAAGCUCUCGUCUCCCACUUCAGCCUCUUCCCCUUCUUCCAAGUUGCAUCCCAAUUUUAUUCUUUUUUUUAUAUAAUUUUUUUUAUUGCUAAUCCAUUGUGAGGUUAAGUUUACUCCCUCUCUUUUAUUAUAGAUAAUAUCGUUUGUUAAAAAAAGUGACAAAUAUUUUUAUAAAAAAUAAUACACGAAUUUAAUUACAAAGUUUUAUUUUAAAAAAAAAAGUGACAAAAAUAUUUUUAUAACAAUUAAUAGUCAAGUUUAAUUACACAUGUAUAACGUGUGAGCAUAUGACUAGUAGUUUUUAUUUAUUUAUUUUGAACAAACGAUAUUAUCUACACUAAAUGAGAGAGGUAGGCUUAGUCUCACAAUGAACUAGUAAUAAUGUGGUUCAAAUUCGCCUUUGACGAGAAUCAAACUUAAGACAUGUCACUUAUAAAUGAAGAAGAAUACAACUAAACUGUAAUACUAAAUGACGACUAUUAGUUAACAAUGUUAACUUUAAAAUUAAGUGAAAUGACACAUGUAAAAAUAAUAACAAAGAGUCAUGCAACUACGGACAGCAAACCCUUGGUCGUUGACUGUGCUUUAAUUAGAAAAAUUCAUUAAAUUUGCUUUAUGACUUAGAUUACAUAAUUUUGUAGUCCUGAAGCCCCUUAUUAUGUGAUGAUACAUUUAGUUAUGUUUGUUUGUAAAUUUGGCUAAUUAAUGAUUAUUUUAAACUAGUUAUGUGCAUGAGCAUUGGUAGGCGAAAUUUUCAAACUAGAUUUUCAAAGUUGUAUGAUAAUAAUUUACCUAUUGAUGCUAAGUAAAUCGUUGUACAUGAUAAUACUCUGUGGGCCCGUUCUGUGGGUCGGAUGGGGGAUAGGCUGUCAACCAUUAAAAUUGACUCAAUUCCACUGUCGGCUGUUUGAUGUGAAUAAUGAGCAUUAGAGCAAGUCCACCGAAGUGCACUUUGCCCAGGACCCAGCACAAAAACAAGGCCAGGACCCUGUCAAAUGACUCCACCCCCUCAAGUUGACUGGUACCCAGCCCGAGCUGGGCAAUGGACCAGCCCAAAUGAAACUGAGCAAGAAGCCGGGAUGUUGGCCUGGCGCGUGCGCUUCACGGCGACGUGGGGCGAGUGCCCGACAAGGUUUCAGAGGGCUGUCAGCCCACUUGUGCUCCGGAGUGACGCGGCAUGAUCAUAGCCGUUGGAUUUCCAACGGUAAAAAAAAUUUAAAUUUGACUUUUAAAAUGGACCGUUCGAUCAUAGAUCAACGGUCCACGUUAAUUAACUAAAUUAAAAUUUAUUAAAAAAUACAGAAAAAUUAUUAAAAAAUACAGAAAAUUAAAAUUUUUUUUUCUAUAAAUACCUAACCCUCAUCUUCCACCUUACACCACAUUUCAAUAUUUUCUACACUUUCUACCAAAGCUUUCAUAUACUUUUUGUGUGAAAAAAAAUACCAAAAAGCUUGUGGUUGAAGAAUAAAGAGUAUUUGAUGAGUUUAUGUAAUUUCAUUUUAGUGUGUUUUUUUUAUAGUUUAUUUGAUGAGUUUAUGUAAUUUUAUUUUAGUGUGUUUUUUUUUAAGUUUAUUUGAUGAGUAUGUAAUUUUAUUUUAGUGUGUUUUUUUUUUAAGUUUAUUUGAAAUUUUAUCCAAAAUUGGUUAAAAAUCUUAUCCGAAAUAAACUUAAAAAAAAAAAACACACCAAAUAAAUGCGCUAGGUGUCCCGCUAGGUGUCAGCGCAUGGGGUGAAGAUGACUUCGCUUAUUACUGUUCAUUAAAGUCUGUUACUGUUCAUUUGAGUGGAUAAAUGCACCUGGCGUAAAGUCGUUAGGUGGAAUUGCUCUUAGGGAUGAUGGGUUAUGAGUCCAACAUCGUCUUCCUCUCUUCUCUGCGUCGACAUCAACAUAUUUUUUUUCUUUUUUUCCGUCGUCGUCGUCAUCGUCAUCAGAAGGCUCUCUCUCUCCACAUAUCUGGUCGUACAAGGUGGGGUUGGUCGUCGCGAGCUGAGCCGUGGAAUCAUCGGGAGCAGCUGCGUGGGGUCGUCAUAAGCACAAACCCAACAUUCCAGAAACGACCUCUCUCUGACGACUCUUCUACCACCGUCGAUUGCGAUGACAAUUACUGCGAUUCCCACCUUGAUUAAUUCCCUUCUGCUUCUUCGAUUGUCUUCUCCUUCGCCUCCUCCCCUGUCCAGUAAUUUUCUGCUAUCCUUUUUGCAUUUUCUUUGAUCUCAUUUGCUUUGUUUCCGUUUCUGGAAUGUUGGGUUUAGUGCUUGGGAUCGACCUUUCUGUGUUUUCUUUGCACUUCUACUUUUCAAUCCAAUCCUAAUUUAGUUGGGAUAGUCCACACCAAACAGUAGAUGGAUAGCCCAACCCAUCCCAUCCCAUCCAAUCCUAACCUAACCACUCCAACAAACGUGCCCUAUAGGUAUUAACUUGCCUAUACUAUCUAGGUGAAUAUGCAAUAUAUAUGUAAAUUACUCAAAAAACAAAUUGUACAAUUACAAUAAGCCCACAAUGCCUCUAAUUUAAAAAGGUAAAUUAGUGACCAUGCAAUCUAAGUGAAUAUAUGUGUAUGUACACACACACAACAUACAGUCUUGCAGAUUACGAGAAACUCAAAAUGCAUAGAUUAUAGUUAUUGAACACGCAAUACAAUAUUUAAAACACACAAAGAAAAUAAUUCCCUUUUAUUGUCUAGAUUGUGUAGGUUAUCUAAUGGCGUAAGAACGAAUUUGAUAAUAGGUGUUACCGGUAUAAGUUGUAAUAAUUUGUAAUAAUAAGAUCACUUAUUUGUUUAUGUGACAACUUAUGUAAUAAUAGGUCACUUGUUGAUAUAUUUCUUCUAACCAGUUAAUUCUUGCAAAUAGUAAGUCACUGCAAGUCUGUACCGCCAUUUAUAUUUUCUUACAAAUUGUGUUUUCAGGCAUGAAGCAAAGCUUAUUAAGAAAAUUAUUUAUGAUAAUCUUUGGAAAUGGCUCCCCAAAACAAAAAAAUUACAUGUGGCCAAGUUCCCAGUUGGAAUCAAUUCUCGUGUUCAAGAAAUUAUCACUUAUCUUUCAAGUGGUGAAGGAAAUAAGGUUCUCAUGGUUGGAAUUUGGGGGAUGGGUGGAUUGGGUAAAACAACAGCUGCCAAAGCCAUUUAUAACCAAAUUCAUCCUAAGUUUGAAUUCAAGAGUUUCCUUGAUGAUGUUAGCGACACUACAAGUAGACAUGGUCUGGUUUAUCUACAAAAAAAACUUAUUUCGGACAUCUUGAAUCCAAAGUCUGAAAUAAGCAGUGAUGUUGAAGGCAUUGGUCGGAUAAAAGAUAUAUUUUCACAUAGAAAGGUAUUUGUCGUUAUGGACAACAUAGAUAAAAAGGAACAACUGGAUGCAAUAGUUGGAAAUCAUGAUUGGUUUGGUCCGGGAAGUAGAAUUAUCAUAACGACACGAGAUAAACAUCUACUACUAAAUAUGGACAAAGUAUAUUCGGCUCAGAAAUUGAAGGAUGGAGAAUCUCUAGAGCUCUUUAGUUGGCAUGCCUUUGGAAAUAGUUGGCCUGAUAAAGAUAUCUUGAACUCUCAAAAAAGUUUGUUUCUUACUGUGAUGGUUUGCCACUAGCCCUUGAAGUUUUAGGUUCUUUUUUGUUUAAAAGAACCAUAGGAGAGUGGGAAUGUCAAUUGAAGAAAUUGAAAACAACUCCUGAAGGAGAAAUAAUAAAACCACUAAGAAUAAGCUUUGAAGGGCUAGAUGACACACAAAAGGCUAUAUUCCUUGACAUAUCUUGUUUCUUUAUUGGAAUGGACAAGGACUUUGUCACAAAAGUAUUAGAUGAAUGUAAAUUUUUUGCAACGAUAGGAAUCAAUGUCCUCAGUGAACGAAGUCUUGUAACUGUUGAACGCAACAAGUUGAAUAUGCAUGAUUUGCUUCGAGAAAUGGCCAGAGUAAUCAUUUCUGGAAAAUCUCCUUGUCAUCCUGAAAAAUGGAGUAGGUUGUGGAAUCCUCAAGAUGUCAGCAAUGUAUUAACAAAUAAAUUAGUAAGUACAUUCCCAAUUCAAUUUUGGAUUAAUGCAUCGUACAAGAAAAGCAUAUAUGUAACCCUCGCAUGUCAAUUAUACAUUAAACAACAUUCAUGUGUAAAAUAUAUUCACUGUGGGUGAUUUUGGGUAAUGCAUAAUAAUACAUGUAAACAUAUGCAAAUAUAUUGUUUCUUACCACUAUAACCUUUUUUGUUAACAGGGAACUAGAAAAAUUGAAGGACUUGCUCUAGAGUUCCCUCAUCCUUUGUUAUCAAGCAUUGUAGACACUGAGAUUGCUGCUAGUUUCAGUACAGAAGCAUUUGCCAAUAUGAAGAAUCUGAGAUUGCUUCACCUCGACAGAGUAGAGCUCAAAGGAGAAUACAAACAUCUUCCCAAAGAGUUAAUAUGGUUGUGUUGGGAAGAAUGCCCUUUAAAGUCCAUACCAGAUGAUUUUUUUAAUCAACCAAGACUAGUUGUGUUAGAUAUGCGGAGGAGCAAUCUGGUACAAGUUUGGGAGGGUUCCAAGGUACAAUGAAUUACAGCUGAUGAUGUUGUGUUGCUAUUUGUUUUUUGGAUAUCUUCUCUUUUUUUAUAACAUUUUCAUUUUGGAUAUCAAUUUCAAUUUUCUUUUGAUUUUCUGCAACAGUCGCUACAUAACUUGAAAACCCUUGAUCUCAGCGAUUCCUAUUCCUUACAGAAAUCACCAGACUUUUCACAAGUCCCAAAUCUGGAAGAGUUGAUAUUGAAAUACUGUAUUAGUCUGUCCGAGAUUCACCCCUCCAUUGGUCAUCUUAAAAGACUUUCUUUGGUGAACCUUACGUGGUGUUUCAAACUUAUUUCUCUUCCAGAGGAUUUCUAUAAGUUGAAAUCUGUUGAGACUCUUCUUCUUAAUUGGUGUUCAAAAUUCAGAGAAGUGCAUGAGGAUAUAGGGGAGAUGAUAUCAUUGAGAAUACUUGAAGCAGAGGAAACAGCCAUAAGAAAAGUACCACCUUCCAUAGUAAGAUUGAAGAAUCUCACUCGUUUAUCCCUAUCAGGUGUGGAAAGUAUUCAUUUGCCCUUUUCGUUACACGGCUUAAACUCUUUAAGGGAAUUAAAUCUCGAAUGGUGCAAUUUAGCUGAUGAUGCAAUCCCUAAGGAUCUUGGGAGUCUAAUUUCUUUACAAGAUUUGGAUCUUUCAUUAAAUACAUUUCAUACCCUACCCAGCCUCAGUGGUCUUUCAAAGCUUGUAACAUUGAGGUUAAUUGGAUGCAUAUCUCUUCGUACAAUCCCUGAUUUACCAACAACUUUGAAAUUUCUGUAUGCAUUUCAAUGCCUUGCAUUGGAAACAAUGCCCAAUUUUUCGAAAAUGUUGAAUAUGAAAGAACUGGUUGUGAGUGAUUCACCCAAGCUCACUGAGGUUCCAGGCUUGGAUAAGUCAUUAAGCUCCAUUACAUGGAUUAGUAUGCUUAAGUGCACCAGUCUUUCAGCUCAUUUAAGGAAGAACAUCCUACAGGUAUCUCUCCCUCUCUCUCUCUCUCAUUGCCUUCCUAUCUUGCGUAUACAUGUAUAUAUACGACACAUGUAUUGUAUAUGUAGGGAUGGACUUCUUGCGGAUUUGGUGGAAUUUUCCUUCAUGGAAACUAUGUUCCUGAUUGGUUUGAGUUUGUCAACGAGGGCACUAAAGUCACUUUUGAUAUUCCCCCGAGUGAUGGUCGUAAUUUUGAAGGGUUAACUCUGUUCUGCUUGUACCACUCGUACAGAAGCAGUCAUCUUGCCAUUAUUGUUAUAAAUAAUACCCAGCGUACUGAGUUGCGAGCUUACAUAGGCAGAGUAGAAUCUGAUUACCACCCAAAUGGAGAUGAUUAUCUUUUGCAGGGACAACUCUCGAACAAUAAGCUCAAAUUGCGAGGUGGGGAUAAAGUUGUUAUAUUUUUUGAAAACCCAUCCAUUACAAUAAAGAGAACAGGGGUUAACCUAGUAUGGGACAAACCUAUGGAGGAAAAUAUGCAUGAUUUGGACAAAGCUGGUUAUGUUUUUGACACACAUCCAACUCGGUUUUAUGAUGAGGAAGGACCAAGCCAUGACGCAUCCGAUAAUAAUCGUCCCAAGAAACAAAUGAGAAUUACUAUAGAUGACUGAAAAGGGAAAAGGCAGGAAGAAGUGAAGCAUCAUCCAUCUUGAUUAAGUCUCCCAGAUCGGUUCUAUGGUGAAGCACGAUCAAGGAGGUGAUGCAUUGUCAUCAUCACAUAUCUGAGUCAGGUCAUAACCAGUUCAUCAAACGCCUCUUUUAUUUUUGCUUUACUGGUUCGUUAAUGAAGACAAGUCCUUAUUUCGUACUUCUUUAGAUUCCUAUGAUUUUUCCAAUAAGUAGUUGUUUUGAAUUUUGAAGAAAUAUUGCAUCUAUAAAACAUUUCAACUUUACAACAAUCAAUAUAAGACAUUCAUCAAAAUAUUUGACAAAUACUACUUGAAUUCGCACAAAACUGCAGACGGAAGUUGUUUGUAACAUUGUAGAGCUGUUCCUGUUAAGAUCAAACCCCAGCCCAUGUUGUGCCCUUCUGUAAACACCAUCAAAUUAAGAUGUCAGAGUGUUAUAAAAAAAAAAAAAACAUGAAAUCAUCAAAUAUAGCUUUGAUAUAAAAAAAAAAAAAAGAGAGAGAUUUUUGUUGGGGUAACAAACUCUAUCCGACUUACAAAGAGAAUAUCUGUAAUUACAACAUAACGAGAAAAAACUCUUGUUCAGCAAAUCAGUGAAAAUGUAUGUAGCUAAACCACCAAAAUUCAAAGAUUGGAAGCUACGGUUUCACCAUCAUCAUAAUCAUCUCAAGAACAAAAAUUACCUAACAGAGUAAAGCGUGAUGAGAAUAAAAGAAAUGAUAAAGUCAAGUAAUCCUCCUCUUUCCCCCAAACUGUCUGCCUCUUGAAUGCAUGUCAUCCCGGUUUUGAUGACUCAUUUUUUUAAGAACCUUUUGUGCGGCUGCUUGGUUUUGAACAGGGACAGCUUCAAUUUUUGUGGAAGGCAUAAUACAUCAGCAUUAAAUUACAAAGCAAAAAAUGUAGAACAUUUGUAAUAAUUAAGUUAACUAAAUGUGUUUCUUGUGUGAUUCAAGUAUAAUUCCAUUUUACAUGAUCGUCGACGUUGAUAUAGACAAAACUUAGCAGAAAUUUGGUUUUCCCUCCAUUCAAUUGAUUCAAGUUUUAUUCUGCCACCUUACACCUGCCCCAUCUACAACUAUAUACGCACCACUAGAAAUAAUUGGUGAACAAAUCCAAGUGUAAAAACACCGGUCUAUUCUCGACCCCUUCCCCACAACUAGAUGACAAAAAAUUAAGCUUAAUACUACACAAAACCUGGAUGCAGCAUAGGAUAAUAGUAAAAUUUAAUAACAAGCUACAAAUUGGACACGGAUGAAAAUCUACCUUCUUUGGUCUUGAGUUCUUUCAUCAAGGGAAUCUGCCUUACGAGUGUUAUCAGUCUCACUUCUUUUAUAAGAUUUAUUGUCGUCAUUUGCUUUCAAUCGAAGGUUCCACUGUCUUGCAACUGGUCUAACCUCAGUAAUUCUGGCAAUAGGCUCACUACUCUUGGAGCUAACAUCAGAGUAAUCUGCCAAUGAUUGCAUCUUGCCCAUGAGAUAUGCAUGCAAUAGCAAUAAUGAGUGGUUUAACAUUAUGUUAAAAGACAAACUAAUAUUAUGAAAUCAAUAGCUCAAGAAUACUGACGUGAAAACUUGUCCAGCUCAGGAAACUGACUUUUAGCUGCCCCAACUUCAACUUCUCAAAUGGAGGGGGCCGUUACCUUCACUUUCCUGUGAAAUCCUUAAAGAUGAACGUGAAAACUCGGAAUAUUUUGUAUUCAUCUGCCAUUCUUCGUAAAGUGAUUGAACAACACCUCCCAACAGAGUCACAAUUUUAGGACUCAAACACACUAUUCCAUUGCGUACAGUAACUUCACCUUCCAAACAGACCUACCGAUCAAAAAGUAGGACAAACGAAAGAUGUUCAGUUAACUCAAAAUGCGACCCUUAUCUAUGCACCUGUUUUCCCUGAAUCACUUAAGAAAGUGGGACUAGAGAGACCCAUAAAACUUCUUGUGAAAUUCAUUGUCAAAAUUAAAAAAUUUGUCCGGGUCUUCCAGUGCAGUGUUGAGCUAAUGUCACAUAUGGGAUAAAAAAUAAACGAAAUUAUUAAUUUUCCUACUGGAUGUGGAUUCGCUUCAAGAUUGCAUACACGAAGACGGAGCACACAGUGUUCGUCACUAAGUUCUACGAAAGUGUGAGCAAUCAAACAAAUCUCUAGCUUAUUAAAUAUAAAACACAAGCUGAGCAUUGAGCAGGCAUCAAGAAGCAGAAAUACCUUAGUUCCAGGAACAACGUCGUCAGGGAUUACCGAGGGAUGAGAGUACUCCACAGCUGUGGCCGUCGUCAGGGAUCGUAAGGCAUCAAAAGCCACCGACGACUCAAAUUCCUCGAAAAAUCCUCCAUUCUGCUUUUGGCAACGUCCCUUACCCAAGCCAUUUGAUAACAAAACACAAAGGAAAGACCAAAAUUUUCUUUCUCUUUAUCUAUUUUCUCAGCAACCAAACAGAGGAUAAGAAAAAUUAGCGAGAAAUACAGAGAGGUGUGAUUUACCUGGAGAACUUUGGGGCCGAGGAGGUGAGAGGACCUUAGGAGCGUAUGCGGGUCGGGCAUGGACCUGGCGGAGAUGGAUUUAAGGUUCAUGUUGAUGAGUUUGGCUUCCACUGAGUUCACUACCGUACGCGUGUUGUCGGACAAGGCGGGUUGGAUCAGGAUCUUCUCCUCCACUUGUUCGAGGUCGCCGAAGCACCAUCCUCUGGUUCUUAGGCUUUCGACUGCGCCGCCGGAACUCCCCUCCCUAUUUUUGGUGCCAGUUUCCCGCGUAGUUUGAUUUUGGGGGGGUGAAAACGUCAAAUGCAUGGUACAGUCCCAGACUCCCAAAUAGGCCAUGAAACGGCGUCGUAGGUGGGUCUUCUGUUCUUUCUUUUUUCCUUUUUUUUUUUGGUCAAACGAAUGUCUUAGGGGUAUUGGUUCCUCUUUUGUGAGAAUGAGGGCCAAUCGACCAAAAUUAAUGUCUAUUAGUAGUUUUCUUCAUUUAUAAAUGAGAAGUUUUACUAUUUAGUACUACGGUUUAGUGAUAUUCAUCUUCACUGAUAAGUGAAAAGUUUUAGGUUUGAUGCUCACCAAAAGCGAAUUUAAACCACAUUAUAGCUAGUUCAUUGUGAGGCUAAGUCCACCGCACCCCCUCCCCUUGGUAUAGUACUUAACGAAAACUGACCGCACAAUCACAAGAUCCUGAAAUCCCCAGAAAAAGAAUACAAAGAGGAUCAUUUUCCAUUGCAUUCUGUGCCUAAAUCAAAUCACUAACUUGAACCAUGCGGAACUGUGCGUUUUUCUUAUUUGGAUUAGUAGGGUUUGUAUUUUUGUUUUUCAAAUUUGAUUUUGUGUGAUUUCAUUUUUAUAGAUAUUUCAGAAUUUCAGAGUCCGCUGCUUUACAGAGGUCUGAUUACAGGUACACUACAAAUUACCUCACUUUUCCACCAAGAGUGCUGCUUUUUCCAAAAGGAAAAGAUUAGCUUGGUUUGAUCUCUUAUUUGGAUUGUGUAGAUUUGGUUUGAUCUCUUAAUUAGUGUUGUGCAAAUUUUAUGUUCCCUCGAAGCUGGUAAUGAUUGAUAACCAUGGCAGAAAGAGACGGGGUAGGAUUGAACAAACUGCAGUUCACAAUCAAGAUUCCAAAGUCCUUAUGUUUAACAGCUGUCUUAGCGAAAAGCUCAUCAAUGGCACCAAGCAUCACAGCCUCAGCUUCUUUUCUAGCUUCUUUCAUUGACGGAUUUGGAGGAAUGUUGAGAACUGCCUCGGGAAGGUAAGUCGAGUCACCAAGGCCGGAUCUCUUAAGGAUCCUACGCUGGAACUGAAGAUUGUCCUCUGUAAAUGUACCAGUCAUCUGAGACUGUUCCAUGAAAAUCUUUUUCGUGCAUUUUCGAGAUUCUUCUGGCUUGUAGAACGAAAAGUUAACAAGGUACACCGGGCGAGGGCGGGUGACAAAGUACACGGUGGAUAGGAAAACAAGGAGAGUCGAGCAGAUAAUCACCGAAAUCAGGUUGUACUGGAGGUGCUCCCAAAGAUCAUAAAGAUCCUUGAGAGAAAAUGUUGAAAUCUGGGCAGCGAUAACGACAACAAGAGGGGAAAGAAAGAGGUACAUGCCAUGGGUGAUGAGAAUAUGGUACCCAAGCUUCACAUAUUUCAGUUUAACUUAUUUUUUGAAGUCGGGGAGGUUCCGUGACGAGGAUGAUAAUGAUGACGACGAUGGUGGGAUCAAGGGUGUGUCGGGUUUUGGGUCUGCCAUUUUUCCCUGAUAGAUAAUAUACAACAAAAUCGAUCAGAUCAAAUGACCUCAAGAUCAUAAUACCAGUCAUUUCUAAAAGCACAAGAACAAAGGUAUAAUAAUACAUCAACGCGCCUCAAUUCGAACAGAUUUCAUAGAAAUUGGGCCAGAAAUGCCUUAAAAAUACACUAUUUCUCUAACUUUUAUAAGUCACUAUAAAGAAACGUUUGAUUUACCCCUUCAAAUCACCUUGUCUCCUACAUCCAAGGACUAAAAUAAAAGCUGUUCACCUUCAUAUUUUGAUUCGGGAAAGUUUCAAACUUUUGGUUUUUCUUAUCGUUUGCAGAUUAAAUUUACCACCAACAAAGUAAUCCCAGAUCAGAUCAGAAUUUACUACAGAUUUUUUUUUUUUUCAGAAAAGAUUACUAGAACUAAACGAAGAUUAACGACGAUCACACAAACCCCAUAUGCAGAUUUACAUCAAGCAUUGAACUUUUUCAAAGAUUAACGAACACCAAACAAAACCCAGAUGCAGAUUUACAUCAAGCAUUAAGCUUUUCAUAGAUUCGAAUCAAAUUUCACAGCAAAAAGCAAAAACCAUCCAGAUCUCAGAAUGCCACCACAGAAGCCAAACAGAAAUGGAGAGAGAGAGAGAGAGAAAUUUGACAGAGUCAGAUAGAGAGGACAACGUGCGAGGUCCAAACGGUAAGAAACAAGAAACUAAUUUGAAAAAUGUUAAUUGGGGAUUAGACUAUAAUUAGGGAGUGCGAGUGGAGAGACAGGUGAGGUUAGUUGUGUAUUACUAAUUAAUUUAAGGUUUAAACAUAGAGGUGGUGCGGAGGAGGAGAAGCCAUGAAGGCGGCAACUUUCAACAUCAUCAGCUUCUUAUCAAGUUUUUCUUUUCUUAAUUUCUCCGUUGGAUUGGUUUGGAUUUUUUUGAUUGAUUUUCUCAACCCAAAGAAAUUUCCGUAAUUUGUCGUGUUGUGUUGGAAGAGUCCUUCUUGUAUUUUGAUUUCUAAUUUUUCUAAUUUGUGUCUUGUUUGCUUUGAAUUACUAAUGUGAAAUGUAACCGAAUAUAUUCUUAUCAAUUUGAAGUGUUAUAUGGUGUUAUUGUUUACUUAUAUUAUAAUUCGUGUGUAUAAAUUAUAUGUGACGGUAUAAUAAUCACUUUGGAAUCAGAAUUGUUAUGAACAAUUUAGUAGUAAAAAGAUGUAAGCAUGCAUAAACACUUGAAACUCAUGAACCAUGUUUCACAUUUUGCGAAUAGGUUUAUUCCUACCCAAAUGAAGGAUAAAAAAGAUGAAAUCGAAAAUGAUACCGAGCUAGGUCAUAUAAUGAGUCAAACAUAAUAUUAUAUAUCGUCGUCAUCUAUAUAAGUUAAAUUUAAAUUUUUUUACUUACAAGUGAAAAAAAAAAUCAUUGAAUCAUAGUAUUAGUUGGUAUCAUAAAUGUUUUUUGGGAAAUCACGUUGCACCGGCAGUUGUGAGGUGUCGAAUACAAAGCCCUUUGCAGGAUAUUUAAUUUCAGUCGACUAUAUGUCAAGUUGUUUACUUCGCUUUGUUCAUUCUUUUCAUCUUAAUUAGUAUAAAGGCUGAAUCCUGAUGAGUCGGUCACAUGGAUACACCUCCCUGUCUUUGCCUGUCUCCCUCUCCAUCUCUCUCAUGCCGCAUGGCAUUACUUGAAGAUUAAGUUGUUAUGGGACUCACGUGCGAAGUUGUUCUUUUAUUUUCAUUCGUGGACAAUAAUUUAUAUGGCACGAGUAUAUUAUCAUAAUUUCAUAAAUGCUUUGUGCUAAUGAAAUAUCUGUAAAUUUUUGUCCACACAUCUUUAUUUGACACAUAACACUAAGUGAUUGCGGGCAUUUGUCAAGUAAAUUGUUUUCCCAUCCAUGAGCUACCUAGGAGGGGCAUUGAUGAUUUAUAGUGUAAGUGUAAAUGAAAUCAGAAAGUUCUAAAUUUGUUGGUUUAUAAAUGCUUUUGAAACUGCUUUGAUUUUAUGAUUAUAACAGAUGAAGCAUCCUUUGUCAGCAGUUGAAAUGGAAAUGUGACCGACUUUGUUGGCUUGGGUUAGCAUUUUGGCAAACUUGGAGUUGCACAUGGCCUUAGGCAUCAAGCACAGGUAUGUCUGCUCGUGCCUUUUCUAAUUGUCAAAUGUCCAAAGGUCACAUAUUUGCCUCAUAGGGCUCAUUGUUCAAGACUGACGUUAUUGUGACGGUAUCUCAAACCAAUUACGCAUUGAUAAUAUGGCAUCUUUGUUGUGUGAAAGUCAUUUUCUUAUUGUUCGGGCCCACAAAUCGUUUUGAGAUUUGCCAAAAGAUUUGAAAGUUGAAGCUGUAAGUUGUAAAUAAUUGACAAUUCAAAGGAAAAGUUAGGACUAUGUGAAUAUAUUCAUUCAAUAGAAGCCAUCAACGGGAAGAUGUUACAGAGGGAGAAUCCACUAAGGAUUCCAUGCUUAGGAUAUGAUUACUUGUAUCUCAAGUCACUUGUAUUCUUAUAAAUCAAGUAACUUACUUUUAUCUCAAGUCACUGACUUGUGUAAAUAUGUACAUUAAGAUAUGAAUAUAAUCUCAUAAUUCUACAUGGUAUCAGAUCAUAGUUCUAUAAAUCAAACUCCUUUGGUACCUUGUUAGCCGAAAAUAAACUCUUACUGUGCGUGUAGGGAAAAAUGAUCAAUGGGGAGAGUUUGUCGAAGAACGCGUUCAAUAUGCUAGUCCAAUGUGAACUCUUCCAGCCCUAUCAGCAAUUCAUUCCUCUUCGAUGCAGAUCAACCCCAAUACAAUUUCAAAGGUCGAAAGUCAAUUCAAAAUGCAAAAUAGAAGCAUAAGAUCAAUUUUCAAAAGUAUAUAAGAACAGCCUUAAUUUAUAGCCAAAUGGAGCAAAGAGUAAGAAGAUAACUAGUGAUUUCUAAAAACCAUUGAGCUUUGAGGUUACUGCAACAUACUAAUAUAAAGCUCCAAGUCCGGCCUGGAUCCUUGUCCAGUGGAAGACAUAUUUUGAUGGAUACUUUGGAAAGUUUUGCAUCAGAUACCUCAGUGAAGACCGGAGUAGUCAUCGGUAUCUUCUCCAUUUUAGAGUUCUUUCCAAAGAUGUACCUAAACAGAUUCCAUCAUCCAAAUCAUCCUAAGUGAAGAAAAGAAAAACAUGAUUGGCUAGGGAUAACGCCUCACCCAGUAACAUCACCGAAACCAGCUGACCCGGACAGCUUGUCUACUGAUCCCUCUACUACUACUUAAGGUGCAUACUUUCUUAUCUGUGGAAUCAAGACAUGCAUGGUAAUUCAGUUUUAGGCACCAAACGUGGCUUUAAGUUUUUACAAAUACAACAUGACUCGUUCGGGGAAAAGCAAACACACUUCAUAGUUUGCAGUUCUUUUUAGAAUAUCAUAUUUGGGUGUUUCCAAGUCUGGAGUUUUGUAAAUCCUCAGCUGCAGAGGUUUUACAUACAAAAAGGGUAAGAAUCUGUACAAAUGUUCAAGGGUUAAGGUUUUUGAAAGUGAAUACUGAGACUGCAGUACCUGCUUGAAUUCAUCCAACAAACCUUCUAAAGAAAAGCAGUCAUUCUUCUUUAUAGAAUCCCAGAAGUCCUACACAUCAAAGGAUGGUGAACUACUAACGUUGUUAUAGAUAGUACCAAUACGCCUCUGGACAAGACCUUUGUUCUUUAUUGCAGUAUCGACAUUACCAAAUCAAUACAAAUAAUGACAUUAGACGGGAGUUCCUACCGCAUGGCUGCAGAACUUCCCGGUCUCGGGUUUGAUGCCCAUGACAGAGGUUCCUGUGAAGAUCAAUUCUGGUCUACAGGGUAGAGGGAUGAGCUUCGUAACCGUAGUCCACCUUGUAGUGAUUUCAUUUGGUCCUGUCUAUAGCAACUUUGUCAGUAAAACCGGGCACCGUCCACAUAAAAAGUGUAGCAUUCUUGAAGUGUGAUCAACACGAAUGCUGCAAUUACAAAUUUCAACUGUACCAUUUCAUUGAAGGUAUUGUUUCUCUAAUUCAAAUAGUUACUUGGCCUGCCCCAACAACGUCAACGAAAAUAAAAAUGAUAAAAUCUAAAAUGCUAGUUACACUAUUUCAUUAGUUUUGUGAUAAAACGAUAUUCUAAUAUACUCCAAUUACAGGGAAGAAAAUUCGAACUUAAGUGCAAACAAGCAAACAUGUUGUCGUGACCAAUUGAGUAAGCAAAAACGGUUACCUGUUUGACCCAGUGCAAGUGCAACUUGGGCAUGAAUACAAUCUUCAAGAAGGCUAUGUUCAACAGGUACCCAGUUAUAGCGCAUGCUUAUUGAUUGGGUCCCUGAACUUCAGACGCUCAUCAUACGCCGUCCGAUCAAUUCCCUGAUCAUCAAAAAGAUGAACCAUAUCCUCGUACGAAAGCCCUACUAACCGUUCCACGUCAAACGUUGAUUUUGGUGGGCUUUGGUCCACUAAGCUUAGCCUAACAGCCCAUUUGGAGUUUUGGGCUAAGUGUUUGAGUUUCAAAGGUUCAGGGCGUGGGCAGGGCAGUAGUUUGGACUUAGUGGUGCUCAGCCGCCGGAAACUGACACACGCGGCGGGGAUUAAUGGCCGGAAGAUUUGAUCUGAAAGUUUUUUGCUGAUCAUUUUGUGGCUGAGCUGCUAAGGUUCUGGUGGUUGUGUUAGUUCUGGUCGAAUGCAGGACUUUGGUGUUGGCAUAUGAAAUCUUAGCCAAAAAUUGAUUGGUUGGUAUUGAGUUUUGAAAAGUGUCAUCCACCUUACCAUUCAGAAUCCCAGAUGGAUGUGUCGGUCGUCUGAUAUUUAGAGCUCAUUUAGUUGUGCUUUUGAAAUAGCCAAAAACGCUUUCUAAUAAGUAAAAAUGCUAAGUUAAAAAAAAUGGUUGUUUAGCAAACAUUUUAAAAGUGCUUUUAGCUAGAAGUAGAAGCAUUUUCUAAGAAGCACUUUCUAAGAAGCACCUAGGAGGUGCUUCCUCUUAAAAGUGUUGCACAAAGAAAACAAGGGAAGCAUUUUGCUCCCUUUAAUGAUUUUUUUUCAAUUCCAAAAUUAUCCCUAUUUUUUUAAUUUGCAAAGUCUAAAAUGCCAUUCCACUUUAUAAAAUCAUCAAAACUACCAUCACCAAUUUUUUCUAGGGUUGCACGUUGAAAACCCAAAAGGUUUUUUAUUUUCAGAUUAUUUUGAAGGCUAGAGUAGUCCACUUGGUCUUUAUCUCUUCCUCUCCUUCUUCCCAAAUCUCUCUACAUCUUCAUAACCUGAAAUUUUUGUGGAGGUAUGUAUGUUAUUUUUUAUUUUAAAUCUGUAUGUGGUAUGAGAAUUUUAUUGAUUAUAUAUUAUUUUUGUUGAAAUCGUUGUGAAUUGACUCGAAAGCAAUAAAAUAUGGCCUCAUAAUUGAAACAAAAAGGUGAAAACAUAAACCAAACCUUCGGCCUCCUGUUGAUAGAGAAUAAGUGUCCCCUGCAUAUAUGGAUCUUUAAAACAUCACCUUGUUUAAGAGAAAAGAAAGCCCUCUCUUAUUAUUAUCUGUAGCAUUAUAUGGAUCUUUAAAAUACAGAUCAAGAGUUCCAACCUUAUGAUGGUGAUGAUGAGCUACUUCCACCUGGACAUGAGGAAGAUCAUAGAGAUGAAGAGAUUGUUGAUGAAAAUUUUACUCAUAGGCGAGAGUUAGAUGUUGAACGAGAAAAAAUUGCUAAUCUUCUUAUAUCUAGUUAACACUUAUUUCACAUUUAAUUGUCAUGCAAUUAUAAUGUGUGUUUUUUUUUAAGAAACAAACAUAUAUUCUCAAUAAGUAUGUAUCAUUUUGUUAAUGAUCAUUAUUUCUUUAAUUGAAUUUUCAUCAACACUUUAUCAAGUUGUAUGCUAAUUAUAUACAAAAAAUACUUAUGAAAACAUUAUUGAGAAUUAUUAAGGAAAACCGCUUUUUUAUUUGAUAACCAAACACUCUAUUUAAUAUAUAAAACGCUUCUAUACAAUACAAAAAACACUUAGUGGUUGCAUACCAAACAACAAACUGCUUCAUCAUAAAAGCAUUAGGCAAAAGUGCUAUAAACAAAAAGUGCUAAUGAGUAAAAGCGUUUUCUAGAGUAGCACAUCCAAACGAGGACCCAUCUAAAAUGAAUGGUCUCCAAUGCCUUUAUGUGGCAACAGAUGGACAUUAGAAUUCCAUUAGUGUAUAAACAAUGUUAAUGGGGUUUCCUUGCUUAGAGAUGACGUUGUAUGGUAGUAAUAUACUAAGUCAAUCAUGUACUGUUAUGUCAAAAAUUAAUAACAGCAUAGAUAAGUUGUAUGUCCACAAAGGUACAACGUUUUGCUCAUAAUCUAUGGCUAUACUCUAUAUUCCAAAGCAUUUAAGCAAAAGAGGGAGGGUCAAGGUUGUUGAGAAGAAUCCCACAUUGAUAGAAGAAGAGAUUUUGCAUGAACUUAUAAGUAAAUAGGGAUACUCCUCAUAUUAUCAAUUUUUAUGGUAGAACCUCAACUUUAGUCAUGGUACCAGUGCUAGGUUGUCACAGGUUUGAAGCUUAACCCCUGCACUGGCUCCACGUCACCCUGUUUGUGUUGUUCACAUGUUAGGCUUAAAAAUUCCUCAUACAUGAGGGGGCGCGUUGAGAAUGAAUUCCACAUUAAUGAAAAGAGGGACAUUGCAUGAACUUAUAAGUUGCCUUACUCCCCCUCUUUCCAUAUUGUCGAUUGGUUAUGAUAGAACCUCAACUUUCUUCAAAGGCAUCCUUUAAUCUAUGACCAGCUCCAUCACUAAAUGUUAAAAUACAUCACAGUGCAUGUAUGAUUUGAAAUAUAGUUAGAGUGUUAUUCUAGAUGCUGCACCUGCAUAUCUGGUAUUAGUGCAUGCAGACAGAAUUUAUCCCAGAUUAAGCUGGACCACGUUAAUGAUAUAUAGUGGGCAUAUUUCACAUGCAUGCAGUGGAAAAACACACCUUUGAAGCACAACUCCACACUCCCACCACGCGACGAAUUGUGGAGAAACAAGCCCAACAAACUUCUUCACUCUAUAUAUAUGGCGACAUACAAAGCUCACUUAUUCAUAUCGAAUCCAAACUUCAUAAACCAAACUCCAAAUUUGCUCUUGUUCUUUCUUUGAUUUCAAAUACAGUCCAAACUAGAGCAAAAAAAGAUAUGUUUCCCUUUCAAAAUUGAUGAUAAGUGCCUAAUGGUGCAAGAAGCAUGGAGAUGACGACGACGAUAGUGAUGACGGAUAUGAUAUUGCCCUGGCAGCAUGCAUGGAAGGUGUCCGCAAUGACAAUGAUUUGGAUUAUGGCUAUGCUACAGCAGCAUCCAUUGAAGGUGACAAUGACAACGAUGAUGGUGGUGGUUAUGAUUAUGCACUUGCUGCAUAAGAAAUAAUUAGUACUAGUUUUCUUUUUCAUGUUUUAAUGCAGGCUAAUUAGAUGCUAAUUAUUGGUCAUGGGAGUGCAAAGAUUGUCAGUUUGUCAAAGAAAUUCAACAAAUUGUAUUAUAACACUUAAUGUAUCCGACUGUAUUUUUGACAUACUAAAAAAUUUCUCAUAGAAGUGGGCAUUUGUAUUAUGUUAACUUUUGACUUCAAAAGUUUUGAUAUAUAUUUCAUACUUGUUUACAAGAGAGAAGGCCUCUUAGGCCAUCUCCAACCAAAGGAGGGCCAGAUGGAUCGUUUUAGCCCUAUAGUCCUUCAACAAAUUAAUAUUUUAAUGAACAGUGCAGAGCCAUAUUUCUUACCAUCUCCAACUGAGGGGCCAGAUGGCCAUAGGCCAAACAUAGCCCUGUGACAAAAGAUCAUCUCCAACCGAGGGGGCAAAAGGUCAAACAUAAUUUAUUUUUUAAAUUUAAAAACUACAACAACUUAAAUUUAAAGUUUAUAAUCAUCAUCCGCCAUUGUAGGAGUAGUAUAGUCGGAGGUAAACAAUUGCUAUCGGGCCAUAAUUUCUUUCUUUUUCCUAGCGGAAUAGGCCUUACUUAUUGGAGUGUAAUUCAAAGUGUUCAUUUGCAUAUUCUUAUCGUUCAUCUCUUCUUGUAUUUGUUUGGCCCGUUCUUCAUGCCUAUGGUUCAUUUUUUUCCACGGCAAUGACAUUUUGCUUCGCCAUUAAUCGCAAAGAGGCCGUCAUUUCUUAUUGAAAGGUGAUAUCAUCAUUUGCCUUGCCAUUUUCCUUCAAUUUUCAAGCCUUAUUUUGUCCCAUAGCCCUGGCCCCUAGGUAUGGAACCUUCACCCGAAGACGGAUUUCCUACCCUUGUUUCUUGAAUGGCAGGAGAUCCAUCUUCAUCCCUAUCUACAACUGAGGAUGCAGUUCCAAACAUCAGCGUAUGACCUACUCUAUGUUAUUGUGGAUCUUCAAAUAACACCUACCAUUUACAAAUUUCCCAACUACCAUUAUGUUGAAAGGGUUUCGAGCUGCUCUCCAUAUACAAUUCCUCCGCUUGAUGUACCUAGAAAAUAUAAUUACAAAAAUUAAAGGAAAUUAAUUUAUGAAAUUAAAUGUAAUAUAAUUAAAUAUUUUAAAUAAAUUGUGAAACAUUUACUUUGUCGUAGUAAUUAGCGCCGCUUUCAUGUCUACUUGCGAUUGUUAACAGUGCUUGAUGUCGUUUAUUCAAACUUGGACGAAGAUGUUUCUUCCAUCUUGAAGAACAACUCUCGUGGUUUCGGGUAUUGGUGGAGUGGUGCCUUCGUAUAACUCAUAGUAUUUUUUGAACACACGAGUGCAAAUACCUUCACUUGUUUGAAAACUCCCCCCACACUAUCUUCCGAGACCCAUCUAUAAGCCCUUCAAAGAGCUUCAUCUUCUUUUCGGGUCCAAUCCUUACCUUUCAUUGCAGAUGUGGUCAUUUGAAAAUUAUUGAAAAAUUUGAAGGAAAGAUUAUUGAAAGAGGUAAGAAAAUAAAAUGUGAAGAAUUGAAAUAGAAUGAAGUGAGAUAGUAUGGAAUAGUAAAAAUUAUGUAAGAAAUUGUGUAAGAAUGAUUUAUGUAUUUAUAGGAAAAAAAAGGGAUUUAAAAAAAAAAUUCAAAACCAAUGGUAACUGACGUCAACUACCAUUGGAUUGAAAAUUUUGCCCAACCUGGGCCGGCUGGCUGGGUUGGGCCAGCCUGUUGGCCAUUUUCUCUUUUUUUGCCCAAUGGAGCCUACUAGCUCUUUAACUUGGCCUUUGAUUAAAGAUGAUUUUCGUGUCAUUUUGAAUUAUUUUCGACUCUCUGACCAAUGGGUUGAAAAUUGCCUUAGGGAGAGCCGAAACUAUCCUGACAAGUGGACAAACCAAAAUGAUGAUUACAUGUGGAAACAAAGAAUAGGAAAACACGGAAGAGAAAAACAAGGAAAGUAAAGUGGUGAUGAUUACAACCUAUUAGCUAGUGUGAUGAUUGCAACCUAUUAGCUAGAGUGAUGCUUACAAGCUAGAGUGAUGAUUACAACCCUAUGACUUAACAAGUGGUCUAUACAACAAUCGGUUUUCAAUAUAAUAUAACACUUGUUGUUUUAGAUUAUAUUUCUAAUACAUUGAAUUUUUUUUUACAUAGAAAUGAAAAUAUUAAGAGCAUUAUAAGCACACGGUACUAAUUAAUAAGUUAUCUGGAAGGAUUAAACCCCAAUUAAGAAGAAAAUUAAGAAGAAGAAAAGUAGCCACUCACUAGCAAAGGCAAGGAGAAAGCAAAAGGUGGAAUAUUGGAUUGGGAUGUGAGUGGAGUACACGUAGGCGUUGUUGUAUAUAUCUGGUGCUUUGGCAUUGCUCCAUCCACUUUUUCCUUGCUCUCACUACUACAAAAAGGCCUUACAGUGUUCAUAGAUGGUGUCGAUUUAAUAUAAUACAGUGGCAGACAAGACAGUUAUGACACUAACUGAACAUCACGUUGGAUUUACUGUCGCUUAUAAGCGUCAUAAAAUGUCUACGUCGCUUUUAAACCGACGUAAACAUUUAAUGUCGCUUAUAACCGACAUAUAUUUUAAUAUUUUUUAAAUACUGGCAUCGCUUUAAACAAAACAGUGUCGCUUUUAAGCGACAUAAAGUAUUGUGCUUAAAUAUUUUAUAGCCUGCGUCGGUUCUGAGCGACAUAGAUUUUAGUUUUUUUUAAAUAUCUAUGUCAAAAUGAUAGAUUCACUAACACUUAGAAUUUAUUUAUACUUUCAUUAAAUAUAACAUAAGAUUUUGUGGUAUCUACGUGUAAAUAUUUUAAAUUGAAGAUCGGAUUCAUUCAUUGUAUUCAUAUAGGGUCAAGGAGUGUAGCUGUAAAAACUCAUCUAAAUCAGAGUUAAAAUAACCGUUAAAUCGUGAUUUUUCGUUUAUAACCGUCGAAAAGUUUUGUCCCGUUACUUAAUCUCUAAAUGUUUGUUUUUUUCCAUUUUUGGCGUAUGAGAUCUGGAAGCAUAUAUAAACAAGUUUGAUGGUUAGAUCGUUGAAAUUAGUUUCGUAUAAUGCAUAUCCCAUCAAAACGAUAGAUUCACUAACACUUAUAAUUUAUUUAUACUUCAUUAAAUAUAAUAUAAGAUUUUGUGGUAUCCACUAGUGUAAAUAUUUUAAAUUAAAGAUCGAAUUCAUUCAUUGUAUUCAUAUAGGAUCAAGGAGUGUAGCUGUAAAAAAUCAUCAAAAUCGAAGUUAAAAUCACCGUUCAAUCGUGAUUUUUCGUUGAUAAAUGUCGAAAAGUUUUAUCCCGUUACUUGAUCUCUGAAUGUUUAUUUUUUGCGAUUUUUGGAAUAUGCGAUCUCGAAGGAUAUGUAUCUCAUCAAAAUGAUAGAUUCACUAACACUUAAAGUUUAUUUACACUUUCAUUAACUAUAACAUAAGAUUUUGUAGUAUCCACUUCUGUAAAUAUUUUAAAUUGACGAUCAAAUUAGUUCAUUGUAUUCAUAUAGGAUCAAGGAGUGUAACUGUAAAAAUUCAUCAAAAUCGGAAUUAAAAUAGUCGUUAAAUCGUGAUUUUUCAUUAAAGUGAUGCUAUGUGAAUUUCAAAAAGUAUGUCAGAAGUUGGCAUCGAUUUUAACCGACGCUAGUUUCAUUAAAGCGACGCGAGUUUCAUUAAAGCAACGCUAUGUGAAUUUCAAAAAGUAUGUCAGAAGUUGGCGUUGGUUUUAAUCGACGCUAGUUUCAUUAAAGCGACGUUAUGUGAAUUUCAAAAAGUGUGUCAUAAGUUUGCGUUUGUUAAAUCUCUCUAGACGAUGAAAAUUCGACAAAGGCCACACACGUAUAUAUAAACAGGGGCCGCUUCUAAGUAUUUUCUAGGUAGAAAAUUCUAUAUGUUUCUUAUAUUAUAGAUCAUGAGACAAAUAGUGUAUAUGAAAAUUUUAACUGAUAUUUAUCAUAUGAUGACAUGAGUAAUAAUUUAACUACUAAUUAAAGUUGGACAAAAUUUCAAUGUCUAUCGAAUAACAUGAUUUGUUUAUUACUACACGGUUUCGGAUUUGUCUAAUACUUUAUGUUUAAGGGUAUGCUAUCCACACACCAAUUUUUACUUCUUACACACCCUUUGUUAAUUUAUGUUCAUUGAUGUUAUUCAAUUCAUUCGAUCCGAUGACUGAAAACUAAAAAUAUGUGGAAGAAGUAAAAAUGAGUGUAAAUAUCACACCCCUAUGUUUAAAGAGUGACCUUAAAAAUAAAAAAGUUUAAUUAAAUCAUGCUAAUUUACAAAGUUGCGGAAUGAGAAACAAAAUAAAAAAGAUAGAGCGAGAAAAUUUAAAUGUGAAAGUUGCUAGCAUGAGUUCGUAAGAGGAAAGCUAACUAUUAGACGUUUCUACCAUAAUAUUGAAAAGCAAAUAUAGCUUUUUCUUUAAUGUGAAUAAAGCAUCAUCUAUCACUUUCAGAGUUUCCAAUAUUAUUCCCACCACAACACACAUUGCCAAUUAUCUCGAUCGUAUUCAUAUAUGAAUCUUUUGCGAAACUUCAAUCUAGCCGUCCAGUGAUCGGAUAGUGGCAUCGUGGUUUUCCACUGGAAACGUCCUUGGUUUUCUUCAAAAUGCAGCUCCUGCUUUUUCACCGUCCUAUUACGUGUCGGUAGGGUUACAUGACCACUUUUGUCUCCCUGGGGCCUUGACCGUAUGUGAUUUGCUUUCAGAUGAGACUUAAAAGAGUAUUUCACCAAUGAAAAUAAGUUCUAAGUCAACAAAUUAAUCACCAGUCAGGUCCCCAUAGAGGGAUACAGAUAGCAUUUUGGUCCAUUUCAUCUCAUUUUAAUGGACGCGGAUGACUGGCUUUUGUUGUUUGAAGGAGCUUGNNNNNNNNNNNNNNNNNNNNNNNNNNNNNNNNNNNNNNNNNNNNNNNNNNNNNNNNNNNNNNNNNNNNNNNNNNNNNNNNNNNNNNNNNNNNNNNNNNNNNNNNNNNNNNNNNNNNNNNNNNNNNNNNNNNNNNNNNNNNNNNNNNNNNNNNNNNNNNNNNNNNNNNNNNNNNNNNNNNNNNNNNNNNNNNNNNNNNNNNNNNNNNNNNNNNNNNNNNNNNNNNNNNNNNNNNNNNNNNNNNNNNNNNNNNNNNNNNNNNNNNNNNNNNNNNNNNNNNNNNNNNNNNNNNNNNNNNNNNNNNNNNNNNNNNNNNNNNNNNNNNNNNNNNNNNNNNNNNNNNNNNNNNNNNNNNNNNNNNNNNNNNNNNNNNNNNNNNNNNNNNNNNNNNNNNNNNNNNNNNNNNNNNNNNNNNNNNNNNNNNNNNNNNNNNNNNNNNNNNNNNNNNNNNNNNNNNNNNNNNNNNNNNNNNNNNNNNNNNNNNNNNNNNNNNNNNNNNNNNNNNNNNNNNNNNNNNNNNNNNNNNNNNNNNNNNNNNNNNNNNNNNNNNNNNNNNNNNNNNNNNNNNNNNNNNNNNNNNNNNNNNNNNNNNNNNNNNNNNNNNNNNNNNNNNNNNNNNNNNNNNNNNNNNNNNNNNNNNNNNNNNNNNNNNNNNNNNNNNNNNNNNNNNNNNNNNNNNNNNNNNNNNNNNNNNNNNNNNNNNNNNNNNNNNNNNNNNNNNNNNNNNNNNNNNNNNNNNNNNNNNNNNNNNNNNNNNNNNNNNNNNNNNNNNNNNNNNNNNNNNNNNNNNNNNNNNNNNNNNNNNNNNNNNNNNNNNNNNNNNNNNNNNNNNNNNNNNNNNNNNNNNNNNNNNNNNNNNNNNNNNNNNNNNNNNNNNNNNNNNNNNNNNNNNNNNNNNNNNNNNNNNNNNNNNNNNNNNNNNNNNNNNNNNNNNNNNNNNNNNNNNNNNNNNNNNNNNNNNNNNNNNNNNNNNNNNNNNNNNNNNNNNNNNNNNNNNNNNNNNNNNNNNNNNNNNNNNNNNNNNNNNNNNNNNNNNNNNNNNNNNNNNNNNNNNNNNNNNNNNNNNNNNNNNNNNNNNNNNNNNNNNNNNNNNNNNNNNNNNNNNNNNNNNNNNNNNNNNNNNNNNNNNNNNNNNNNNNNNNNNNNNNNNNNNNNNNNNNNNNNNNNNNNNNNNNNNNNNNNNNNNNNNNNNNNNNNNNNNNNNNNNNNNNNNNNNNNNNNNNNNNNNNNNNNNNNNNNNNNNNNNNNNNNNNNNNNNNNNNNNNNNNNNNNNNNNNNNNNNNNNNNNNNNNNNNNNNNNNNNNNNNNNNNNNNNNNNNNNNNNNNNNNNNNNNNNNNNNNNNNNNNNNNNNNNNNNNNNNNNNNNNNNNNNNNNNNNNNNNNNNNNNNNNNNNNNNNNNNNNNNNNNNNNNNNNNNNNNNNNNNNNNNNNNNNNNNNNNNNNNNNNNNNNNNNNNNNNNNNNNNNNNNNNNNNNNNNNNNNNNNNNNNNNNNNNNNNNNNNNNNNNNNNNNNNNNNNNNNNNNNNNNNNNNNNNNNNNNNNNNNNNNNNNNNNNNNNNNNNNNNNNNNNNNNNNNNNNNNNNNNNNNNNNNNNNNNNNNNNNNNNNNNNNNNNNNNNNNNNNNNNNNNNNNNNNNNNNNNNNNNNNNNNNNNNNNNNNNNNNNNNNNNNNNNNNNNNNNNNNNNNNNNNNNNNNNNNNNNNNNNNNNNNNNNNNNNNNNNNNNNNNNNNNNNNNNNNNNNNNNNNNNNNNNNNNNNNNNNNNNNNNNNNNNNNNNNNNNNNNNNNNNNNNNNNNNNNNNNNNNNNNNNNNNNNNNNNNNNNNNNNNNNNNNNNNNNNNNNNNNNNNNNNNNNNNNNNNNNNNNNNNNNNNNNNNNNNNNNNNNNNNNNNNNNNNNNNNNNNNNNNNNNNNNNNNNNNNNNNNNNNNNNNNNNNNNNNNNNNNNNNNNNNNNNNNNNNNNNNNNNNNNNNNNNNNNNNNNNNNNNNNNNNNNNNNNNNNNNNNNNNNNNNNNNNNNNNNNNNNNNNNNNNNNNNNNNNNNNNNNNNNNNNNNUGAUCGAGAUGUCAUCGAUGUAUUGACAAAUAAAUCUGUAAGUACAUUCCUAAUAAAAUUUUGAAUUAGUGCAUCGUACUAGAAAAGCUUAUAUGUAACCUACGUAUGUGUAUGAUAAAGUAAACAACAUUCAUGUGUAAAUAUGCAAUUGCUUUAAGAAGCUCAAUUAGGCAAAAUCACGUAAAUAUAUAUAUGCAAAUUAUCCUUUUUCUUACUCAUUUAACCUUUUUUAACUAACAGGGAACUCGAAAUGUUGAAGGACUCGCUCUACAUUUGCAAAGCUAUGAUGAGGCUAGUUUCAGUACAAAAGCAUUUGCUAAAAUGAAGAAACUUAGACUGCUUGACCUCAGCAGCGUAGAGCUCAAUGGAGAAUACAAACAUCUUCCCAAAGAGUUAAUAUGGCUGAGCUGGGAACGAUGCCGUUUAAAGUCCAUACCAGAUGACUUUUUUAAUCAAGAUAAACUAGUUGUUUUAGAGAUGCGGUGGAGCAAACUGGUACAAGUUUGGGAGGGUUCCAAGGUACAAUGAAUUAUACCUGAUGAUGUUCUAUUUCGAUUUGUUUUUUGGAUUUCUUCUCUUUUUUUAUAACAUCUUCAUUUCAGAUAUUAAUUUCAAUUUUCUUGUGAUUUUUUGCAACAGUCGCUACAUAACUUGAAAACCCUUGAUCUCCACGGUUCCGAUUUCUUAGAGAAAUCACCGGACUUUUCACAGGUCCCAAAUCUUGAAGAGUUGAUAUUGGUAUGGUGUAAUAGUUUGUCCGAGAUUCACCCCUCCAUUGGUCAUCUUAAAAGACUUUCUUUGGUGAACCUUAUGGGAUGUUUUAAGCUUAUUUCUCUUCCAAGGGAUUUCUAUAAAUUGAAAUCUGUUGAGACUCUUCGUCUUACUAUGUGUUUGAAUUUCAGAGAAGUGCAUGAGGAUAUAGGGGAGAUGGUAUCACUGAGAACACUUGAAGCAGAGCAUACAGCCAUAAGAGAAGUACCACCUUCCAUAGUAGGAUUGAAGAAUCUCACUCGUUUAUCUCUGGAGGGUACUGUGAGGGGUAUUCAAUUGCCCCAUUCGUUAAGAGAAUUCAAUCUCUUAUCACGCUAUGAUGAUGCAGUCCCUAAGGAUCUUGACUGUCUAAUUUAUUUACAACAUUUGCAUCUUCAAGGUAAUAAGUUUCAUAGCUUACCAAACCUCAGUGGUCUUUCAAAGCUCGAAACAUUGUGGUUAAAUGGAAGCAAAUAUCUUCGUACAAUCCCUGAUUUACCAACAAAUUUGAAAGUUCUAUUUGCCGAUGCUUGCCCUGCAUUGGAAACAAUGCCAGACUUUUCAGAAAUGUCAAAUAUGAGAGCACUGAGUGUAAGUGAUUCACCCAAACUCACUGAGGUUCCAGGCUUGGAUAAGUCAUUAAACUCCAUGGCGUGGAUUGACAUGAAAAGGUGCACUAAACUCACAGUUGAUUUUAGGAAGAACAUUCUACAGGUAUCUCUCUCUCCAUCUCAUUGCCUUCCUAUCAUGCGCAUACAUGUAUACAUAUACAUAUAUAUACAUAUAUAUAUGACACUUGUAUUGUAUAUAUAGGGAUGGACUUCUUGCGGAUUUGGAGGCAUUGUUCUCCAUGGGAAUUAUGUUCCUGAUUGGUUUGAGUUUGUCAACAAGGGUACUAAAGUCAGUUUUCAUAUUCCCCCGACCGAUGAUCGUAAUUUUGAAGGGCUAACUCUGUUCUGCUUGUUCCGCGUAUACAAAUGGAAACAUUUACCUCAUCUUGACAUUACUGUUAUAAGUAAUACCAAACUUACUAAGUUGCAGGCCUACAGAUCCAAAGGAGGUGCUGGGGCUGAGAAUUAUGAAGAUGAUUAUCUUUGGCAAGGACAACUCUCGAACAAUGAGCUCAAUUUGCAAGGCGGGGAUAAAGUUGAUAUAGUUUUUGAAGAUCCAUGGGCGAAUGGGGAUUAUUCUGUUAAAAUAAUGAGAACAGGGGUUAAUCUAGUAUGGGACAAACUUAUGAAGGAAAAUAUGCAUGAUUUUAGGGACACUAAAUAUCUUUUUGACUGAGAUCCAGAUGAGGGAGGACCAAGCCAUGACGCAUCUGAUAAACUCGUUUGUGCAGAAUGAAGGUGAAAGCAUCACAGUCAAUUCGUCAAACACCUCACCAUUUUUCGCUUUCCUAGUUUGAUAACGGAGGCUAGUCCAUAUUUCAUGUUUUUUUUUCAGAUUCCUAUGAUUUUUUCAGUUAGCUUUUUUGAAUUUUGAAUUUAUUGCAUCAAGUAACAUUUCACAUUACAACAAUCAAUAUAAGACUUUCACCCAAAUAUUUGAUAAAUACUACUCGAAUUUGCCCAAAUACUUGCCCUUGUUCCGCCACAUAUUCAAGGAAUUCACUUUUAAGGUUAGAAAGAAAAUCAAUGAUAUCCUCAAGAUGCCAAUCAAUGGUUUCUACGACCUUUUCAUUAAUCUUGACUUGCCCUGACAUGUUAGCAGAAGAUUGACUCUACAUUUACUAAAAGAUUUAUUACCUUUUCUAAUACCUUUGCAGUCGAUGAACUCGUUUGCGCAUUAAAAAAACAGUGUUCUGUUGGAUUCUCCAAAACUUUAGAAGGAAGUUGUUUGUAAGAUUGUAGAGCUGUUCCCGUUAAGAUAAAAAAUCUCAUUUGCAAGACUCAGAAAUGAUGGAUUGCUCAAUAGAAUAUCUCGGAAAUUUUCUCCACUUCCCUUCCACUCUGAGUCUCUGACUGAUGAGUUCAUAAGCUUCAGUCUCUGAUUUUAGUUUCUACUAGUGAUGCUGCAGGUUUUAAAACCAUAUAAAACAUGUCAAAAGUUCUAAGUAUAUAUACGAUAUGCAAUAUUUCCAUACAUGUGAUUCAUGUCUUCUUAACCAUUGACAGAACAAACUGAAAAAAUGAAAAGCAAAAAUAUGAAUUGUACAUGAAAUUGUGUUCAAUCCAAAAACUACAAUUCAGAAGGAUAAAUAUACAUGCGCUUUGCAAUUUCAUUUCUCAGUUCUACUACUGCUACUUGUUCUAAACACGGUCAACUUCGACUGUUCCCUACUUUAUGAGUGCUAAUUACAUCCCUUACCUGAAAACCAAUUGCAAACACCAGGCCAUUAUCAGUUUCUUUGGCCCUUACAAAACACAUUUGCUACAUCUAAAUGUUGUGUCCUUCUGUAAACGCCAUCAAGUUAAGAUGUCACACAGACACAGUAAAAAAAAUAAAUGAACACAAUAAAUAUAGCUUACAUAUGUUUGUGGACUUCAAUUUAAAAAAAAAAAAAAAAGAGAACUUUUUGUUGGGGUAACAAACUCUAUCGGACUUACAAAAAGAGUAUCUAUUACGACACAACGAGAAAAAACUCUUGUUCAGCAAAUCAGUGCAAAUGUAGCUAAACCACCAAAAUUCUAAUAUUGAAAGCUACGGUUUCACCUUGACCAAUAUACAUAUCAAGAACAAAAAUUACCUGACAGAGUAAAGUGUGAUGAGAAUAAAAGGAAUGACAAAGUCAACAAGACCCUCCUCUUCCCCUCCCUCUACUACUCUGCUGUCCCCUUCCUCCUCUUCCUCUCCCUUCAUAAUCUCUGUCAUCUUCUUUUUGGUAGCUAAACAUGCUCAUUUUAAUAUUCUCUGCAUCCACCACAUCAUGAGAACCCUUUUGUACCUGAAGUUGCAGCACAAUAACGUCAGAAAUCUUGCAAUACAACAAUAAUACCAAUUUUAAUGAUCAGAAGAUGCUGACACGCUGACAUGAUAAUCAUCCAAAUCAAAUUGAUUUUGGAGCUGCCGUGCAAGUUCCUCCUCACGACAACUACUUGUACAGGCACCUCCAAUUGAAGGCUUUGCCUGGCUUUUUUCUUUUCUCAUACAUGCAAAGUGAACACCACGGGCUCUUCCUCUUGCCUCCCGUUCCCCCCAAACUGUCUGCCUCUUGAAUGCUUGUCAUCCCGGUUUCGAUGACUCAUUUUUUGAGGAAGCUUUUGUGCGGCUGCCUGGUUUUGAACAGGGAUUGCUGUGGAAGCCAUGAAUAUAUCAAUAUGAAAUUACAAAGUGAAAAAAUGUAGAACAUUUAUAAUAAAUAAAUAAAUAAGUUUAACUAAAUGUGUUUCUUGUGUGAUUCAAGUAUAAGUCCAUUACAGACAAAACUUAGCAGAAAUGUGGUUUUCCCUCUGUUUGUACCAUACUUGACUAAUCCCGAAACCUGAGAGUUUCUUCUCAACAAAAGGCCCUUCAAUGGCGAACAAUGCGACAUCAGCUCGCAUAAAGCUUUCACUGCCGACACUGUAACAUCAGAAGCCAUCACAAAAGAAUGUGUGUCAAUAUAGCAAAACUAGAAACUCUCUCUGCUAUAAUAGGGAUCAAUUCAUCCACAAUAAUGCGAAUGUCAUUUUGUACUAAACUUAUUCAUAGAACUCACUAAAAACCAGAGCUGUAGCUUGUACUUUCAGGUAAAUUAAGAGAACUCUCUACUCGUGAGCCAAUCUGGUGAACACGUACAUCUGUGUUUGCUUUCCUCUUUCUAUUGCUUAACUUAUGGUCACCAAGCAACAAGCUUAGGUUGACGCUUGUUAAUCAACAUUUCGCCGUUGUGGGCGGCACGGUGGAACUUAUUCUUUUUUGGGCUUGUCACAUACAAGCACCUAACGAAGCCAAAAAUGUUAUGUGACAAACGGAUCCAGAUGAAGAAACAACAGGUUGCAUGAAGAACUCGGAAUAUCAUGGGUUUGCUGUGCAAUCAACUCUCUCUGCCCUCAAGGAAACAUCACAAUGUAGCUAACUUUAAGCCGGAGAGUUUCUCGAGUGAACGUCGUUUCCUAAGCCUCGAUAAUCCUUCUCUGGCGACUCGUCUCCAGAGGAAUCGGCAACCACUUUAUUGGUGACGUAUUAUCACUCUGUACCGAGAAUGACGAAAACGGCGAUUCAGGUACACAGGGCCUUUUGACAGGGGACAAGCUACUCUUCCCCCAACUUCCUGGUGACGCAACGUACGCUGCACUACAAUUCGAGUCUUACCACCGACAGUAAGGCUCAUUUGAGAGAGCAAAGGAAAGAUCACAAUAUCUCCUACACCCUCUUCACGCCGAUGGGUACAUCAGGAACCGAUGAUCAAAACUUAUGCAUCAUGUUUCAAACCUUCCAGCCGAAGUCAUUACCUCUCCGUCCCCAGGAGACAUUCUCUCCUACGCUGUCGCAAAGAGAUCCAGACCCUUCCCACUCGGGGCUUUCACUGCAGCGACGUGAACUGUUUCAUUCACAGCACCAGCACCCGCAAACGAAGAACAGGGAAGGAAGGGUGUCCAACAAGGACCAACCAAACUGCCGUGAAUAGGGAAGGCACAUCCAUCAAGCGGAAAUCGGGUUGUUCAAGCUGAUUCUCUAAACAGCAAGGACGCCGAGGUCUUCGCUUCGCAGUCAAUUCAAGGCCAAUUGUCAGCAUUCUAGCCCACUUCAAUUUAAUGAAUACAAAACAAUGGACCGGUAUCAAGGGCAAAUGAACUCUCGUCGCAGGCUCUGCAGGAUAUGUCAAACAAGUCAAUAUCAGCUUCGAAACUGCAAUAUGUGCAUGUACCCACAUGGGUAGCAGUUCAGUUCUGCAUUAUUCUUAGAAAAUUCCGCACGUGGAAUUGAAGUUCCUUGCUUUCAAGGAUAACGUCUUAGAGAAUCUUCCAAUAGGCCACAAGCUGAACGAAACGAGACAUCACACUCAAGAGGAACCCGAGGGAUCCAAUAUUACCUGCUUCCUCUUCACAUUGAUGUUAUGAUGUGACUCUACACAAGUCAGGGUUUGUUUUAUUUAGCUGCACGACGCUUAUCUCUCCAGGAUAUCGGCUUACCAAAUAUGCUCCCCCUCAGACUAGAAGAGACGUAUGCUCAACACUCUGGGGCUAAAUGGGCGUAUCGUGAACAUCUCCUUCAACACAUAAAAUAAAGCAGUCCGGAAGCAACUGGCAUCAGAGACUCUCGGUCAAUACCAUGUUGUUAUUGGCGAACAAAGAAAGAGCAUUAGAAGAAGCUCAUCUUGAAGUAGAGCUAGUCAUACCCAUGCAUGGAGUCUGUUGCAAUCAACCACCCUACUGAAACUUUCAACCAAGUCUCUAACUAAGGUAUCACAAACUAUGAGGGGAUGGAAUACAACGUUUUUGCCUUCAAUUACGUGGGCAAUGGCGAUUACACGAUUGAGAACCUUCUAUAUAAUGCUGUUUGGCCAGUCCCAAUCCCCAAAAGAAUGAAAUCUGAAAGCCAAUAACUAUCAAGACAAUCUUCAAGGCCUUUAGUCUGAUUAAACGCUUGAAAGGCACCUAUCUCCAGCUUCUAAUCUCAGCAAUUACUGGCAGGUGGCAGCAGAUGUGCUACUUCUUCAAAGCACUCAAGGCACAUGGCGGAGGAAUGUGCCAAAGGCAUCAGGAACUCAAAGAGAACAUGAGUAAAGCCCCUCUGCUCUCUCCAAACAGAAGUUGUGACACUCUCUCAUCAUCUAUCUGAUCAACAGCAGCAAGCGCUUGGUUAUUCGCGAAGGAAUGGACAGUGGUGUCGAACGGCCCGUCUACUACGCUAGCAAGGCCCUACAAGAUGCGGAGACACGAUACUCUAACAUUGAGAAAUUAGCUUCAGCAUUGGUCAUGUCUGCUCGGAAACUUCGCCUUUAUUUCCAAGCACACGCCAUCAUCGUGCUUACCAAUCACCCUCUUCGACAGAUACUCCAGAGUCCUGACACGUCUGGACGAAUGAUCAAAUGGGCGAUAGCAUUGGGUGAGUUUGACAUCUCCUACCAACCAAAACCAGCCGAAAAAGGUCAAGCAGUAGCAGAUUUCAUCGCCGACUUCACAUAUCCUGUUGACAUUGCUUCUACACCUGAAGCAGUAGCUUCAUUACCAUCGGAAGCUCAGAAAGAAAGUAGAAUCAACGACCCCAGCAUGGAGAGUCUGUAUGUUGAUGGCUCAUCCAACCAACAGGGCUGCGGAGCAGGAUUAGUCCUCACUACCCCCGACAAAGUGGCGAUGGAAUACGCUCUUCGUUUCAAAUUCAAGGCAUCGAACAACGAGGCCGAAUACGAAGCCCUUCUAGCAGGCUUGCGUUUGGCCAAACACCUUGGGGUUAAACGAAUUGAUAUCUUCAGUGCCUCCCAAUUAGUGGUCAACCAAGUCACAAACAACUUUGAUGCUAAGGAUAGCUCCAUGGCAGCAUAUCUUGCGCAAACGCGACUUUUGCUCAAGCACUUCCACUACCAGAUCACCCAAGUUCCUCGAGCGGCAAACAGUCAUGCAGACGCUUUGGCUCGCCUCGCCUCGGCAGUGGAAGACAAGAUUGGGAGAAAAAUUCAUGUCGAAUUGUUGGCAGAACCAAGCACCAUGGUCGCGAAGGUGUACAAUUUACAACAAGAAGAUAGUUGGAUCACCCCAAUUUAUAAAUUCCUUGCUCAUGGCACCCUCUCAAUUGACAAAGUCCAAGCUAAGCAGAUUCGAUACAAGUCUGCCCGCUACCUGAUCAUUAAUGACCAACUCUACAAGCGCGGUUUCACCCUGCCAUACCUAAGAUGCCUUACACCUGCGGAGGCGAAAAUUGUCCUUCGGGAAAUACAUGAAGGAGUCUGCGGAGAUCAUGCUGGGUCUCGAUCCCUAGCUCACAAGACUUUUCGCCAAGGAUACUAUUGGCCAACACUCCACCAAGAUGCCAUCAGAAUAUCUCGCUCAUGUGAUAAGUGUCAACGCUACGCAACUAUCCCUCACUCCCCUCCCGAGCCGCUCACUCCUAUGAUCAGCCCUUGGCCCUUCGCCCAAUGGGGACUUGAUUUGAUCGGCCCAAUGCCUGCAGGGAAAGGCAAGGUCCGCUAUGCAAUCGUUGCAGUUGAUUACUUCACAAAGUGGGCUGAAGUAGAACCCUUGGCAACCAUUAUUGAGGGAAAAAUAGAAGACUUCGUAUGGAAGAACAUCCUCUGCAGAUUCGGCAUUCCCAAUGCGAUAGUCACGGAUAAUGGGCGGCAGUUCGACAACAAGAAGUUCAAGAUGUUCUGCUCUAAGUUCAACAUCAACUUAUGUUUUGCCUCUCCAGCCCAUCCCCAGUCUAACGGACAAGUCGAGGCCGUUAACAAAAUAAUCAAGCGCACUCUGAAAACUAGCUUGGACAAAGCUAAAGGUUGUUGGCCAGAAUUCGUACCCCAAGUCCUUUGGUCAUACCGCACUUCAUAUCGGACUUCCACAGGAGAAACUCCAUUCUCACUUGCUUUUGGUACAGAAGCAGUUGUCCCAGUUGAGCUUGAGCAAGCAACAUACCGAAUCCAGAACUACAUACAGAGUGAGAACGACAAGCAACUCACCCUCAACCUGGAUCUAGUCGAGGAACACAGAAAUCAGGCUCACCUAAGGAAUGUCGCCUACAAGCAGCGCAUCUCCAACUACUACGACUCAAGGGUCAAACCUCGCUCUUUCAAAGUGGGAGACUGGGUACUGAAGAAAAGAUUACUCUGUGAUACAGUCCCGAGUGAAGGAACACUCAGUCCUAACUGGGACGGACCGUUCGAGGUCGUCGGCAUCAGUCGCCCUGGCUCCUACAAGCUCAGAAACUCUGACGGCAAGACCCUUGGCCAUCCAUGGAAUGCUGACCACUUGAAGUACUAUUACAAAUAAGACUCACAUUGUACAAGUGUUAAGCUACAGCCGUUCGGCAUCCUAUGUAACAAAGACCAUUUGGUAUGAAUUCAAUAAAGAGGUGAUUUAGCCAACUCGGCCAUAAACUCUUUUCCAUUCUGAGCAAUGAAACACUCAAGUGUUGAAGCUUCAACGCAAAUGUUUCCAAUACAAAACAAAAUCUAAGUAUGUGUCAACAAGACUAUACAAAGGAUCUACAUCAUACAUUCCAACACAUUCAUACAUAAACAUCAUAUAUUCCAACACAUUCAUACAUAAACAUCAUACAUUCCAACACAUUCAUACAUAAACAUCAUAUAUUCCAACACAUUCAUACAUAAACAUCAUACAUUCCAACACAUUCAUACAUAAACAUCAUACAUUCCAAUACAUUCAUACAUAAACAUCAUACAUUCCAACACAUUUAUGCAUAAACAUCAUACAUUCCAACACAUCCAUACAUAAGCCAACUGUGCUUCGAAAGGGUUCAACACACUUUGUGUCAUUCGACAUUUGCCACAAUGUGCCUCGACACCUUGCCCUUAUUCUCACCAACUAGGUGAUGAAGGAACUCACCUUCGUACCACCAACUAGGUGAUGAAAUGUACAACCCGUACUCUAAUAUUAUUUGGAAACUUGCCACCCUUAUCACCAAUCAGGUGAAGAAGGAACUCAUCUUCAUGCCACCAACCAGGUGAUGAAAUGUACAACGCGUACUUUCCUUCAUGCCACCAACCAGGUGAUGAAAUGUACAACGCGUACUCUCCUUCAUGUCACCAACCAGGUGAUGAAAUGUGAUGAAAGGUGAUUAAGGAAUUCACAUUCGUACCACCAACCACAUGAUGAAAACAACCUACCAUUCAUUCCAUUAACCAGAAGACGAGUGGUACAACUUGUACAUGUGAACUCCUAGCAUUCACAAAUAAUAAAAAACCAUCAAGAUUUACAACUCAACUAGGGGAGCACUUAUGCCUAACAAGAGCUAUAGUCACCAACAGAGUCUUAUUGCAAGCCAACAAUGGCUUCAAUGCAUGGUAUACGAAGAUCAAGCUCUUCAGCCCUCUUGCAUCUGCUUCAGACAUUUCUCCUCUGUAACAAUGCAAACACUACAACUCAUAGAACGCUUCAAACGCUUUUGAUCAAGACUGUUCGAAGCAAAUUCAAUUUAUAUGGUUCAUCCAAACCUUCGACUACUACAAGAUGUGGCUUGCAUCACAAUCUCUCGCUUAACAGUAUGGAAGCAAAAUUUGUAUACGUUGUCUCUCCCACAUUUUCAAAUUUCUAGUUUUCCCAAAAAAAAAAAAAAAAAAAGAGGAAAUUGGAAAUUGGGAAAUUCAACAAAAACUUCAUCAAUGGAGGACAAAUAUCAAUCCCAAAGCUUCGUACUAUGUUCAUCAAGAUAGUGCGAAACACAAUCAAUUUAUGGUGCCAACAAAAGCUUCAUCAAUGGAGGACAAGUAUCAAUCUCCAAAGCUUCGCACUAUGUUCAUCAAGAUAGUGCGAAGUGCGAAGCACAAUCAAUUUAUGGUGCCAACAAAAGCUUCAUCAAUGGAGGACAAGUAUCAAUCUCCCAAGCUUCGCACUAUGUUCAUCAAGAUAGUGCGAAGCACAAUCAAUUUAUGGUGCCAACAAAAGCUUCACCUAUAAAGCUUCAACCCCAAAGCUUCACCUAUAAAGCUUCAAACACAAAGCUUCACCUAUAAAGCUUUAACACCAAAGCUUCACCUAUAAAGCUUCACCUAUCAAGCUUCAACCCCAAAGCUUCACCUACAAUACCAAAUUUCAACACCAAAACACAUAAAAGCUUCACACACUCUUCAUCAAGAUAGUGCGAAGCUAAUUCCAGUGGAGCUGAAUUUUGGACAUCUUAUAGUUCUUGAGCAGAUGAACAACUUUCACGAAGGAAAUUUUUCUAUUUGAGCGACGGAAGUUAGAGUGUUGAAGCUCCAAACAUGACGGUCAGAUUUCUGCAAGCUUCAAAGCUGCUGCGGUGUUUCGAAGAUCUGGAAAUAUUCAACCGUUAGUUUGUUCUGAAUUUUUGAUAUGUUAUGGAAGAGAUGAUGAGGAACAACUUCCAUGAAGAAAGUAUGUUGAUCUGAACAAGAGAAAAUGGAGUUUCGAAGCUCACAACAAGUCUAACGGGUUAACAGAAAAUUGAUGAACAGUUACUCAUCAUACUUGAAUUUCUGAAGUUGUACUACUCCGAUGGAUCUCAAAUUUAGAUAUGUUGUAGUUCACAAGAUAAGGAACAACUUUCAUGAAGACGACUUUGCAAUCUGAGCUAUAGAGAAUGGUGUUAUCUUGCAUCCACUCAGGCUGAUUAGUGGAAACGAAAAGCAAUUCCACCAAAGAAAAGAUGAAAAAGAGAGAAAAGCUACUAAUUGCACUUGAUCUUGUCUAGUCAAUAGCAUGCAGCAUCAAACACACAAAAGUUGGAAAUAUUUUUAGAUAAAGCAUAUACGAAUGUGUGACAUCGAAACAAGGAUUCGUUACUUUGACAAAUUAGUAACAAGCGAGACACCUCAUUCGGCAACUCUCUUCGCCUGAAGACUUGGGGGACUCCCACCAUAUGCUACUGCACCUUGAUACUCGGUAGUCUCACAACCACUCAGUGACUUGGAUUUUUCAAGUCUCCAACCGAGAAGUUUUCCUCACUCGGGAAAUUAAGGGAACACUACCUCAAACUACACGCUUCACUCACAAAGCUUCAACAAUACAAGGUUUCAACAAAAGAAAAAAUUCAAAGAACUUUAGUGAAGAAGGCUUUGGUGUAUUUAACACAAUACGUUGAAAUGAAGCAAAGCUUAUUUAUUAAUAUUUUCGAUAAGCCACAAAUAUGUACAUAUACAUGAGUCAAAAUAAACAAACAAGAGGGAGCCUUCACAAAGGUUGCUUAGGGGAAGUCUCAGCAGUCGGUAGAGCCCCAGAAAGAGAAAGCACCGGAGGGUGGUUAUUCCGGAGCCUCAGUACUUGACAAAACCCCAGAAGGAGGAGGCAUUGGAGGUUGAUCAUUUGAAGCUUCAUUACCAGGUACAGCCCCAGAAGACGAAGGACAAUAAAUGCCUUUGGAACAAACCCACAAACCGCUGAUGAUCAAGUAAAACCUUACCAUCAGAUUCCUUCAUCUGGUCAAGCUUCCUCUUCAUGUUUGUAGCAUAGUCAUGUGCGAGCCGGUGCAACUGUUUAUUCUCAUGCUUGAGCCCUCUAAUCUCCUGUUUGAGACUCAUCACUUCAGCCAGCCAAUGAUUCAACUUGGCGGGUUCGAGCAAAUAGGCGUUGGGCCAUAUUAGACACAGAACCUGCACACUGAACACUAAGAGCCAGAGAAGUCCUUAACAGCCAACUCAUCAGACCGUUUGGAAAGUAGUCUGUUAUCUUUGGGAGUGAGAAGGUUCCUGGCCACCACUGCAGCGGUCAUAUCAUUCUUCAUCACAGAAUCCCCAACGGUAAGAGGACCAGUAGGGGAUAUGAAGGAUGGGCGCCAUAUGUUGUCUGGAGAAGGCGUGGCUGCCUCUUCUCCAAGGUUCAAGUCAAAACGACGGUCGGAGGGUCCAGACAUUUUCAAAUGUGUUGAAGAGGGAAGAGGUCAGACAAAUCAAGAUCUUAGAAGUGCAAGAAAGGAGCUUCUACUGGUAGAGAUUCAAGUGUGCUGUGGAACUUAAUGCCAGCCUCUAUAAAAAUCUGCACUCGACGGAGCUUCAGAAAUCGAAGAGGCGUUUGCUUUCUCAAAAGCUGGGCUGCUCAGAGACCACGAGGGCCGAUCUCAGAAAUCGAAGAAGCACCUUCUUUUUCAGCCUCGUCAGCACCUGUCACAUGCACACUCAGCUUUGCGGAAAUUACGGGCAAUCUGUCGAAGAUUUCUGGUGAAGUAGAAAGCACGUGAAUCUUACUGUUCAAUCACCGCUCUCUAUAUGCACCAUCAACUCCUCGGGUACCACAUAUAACUUUGUCAAAGAUCUCUGACAAAGUUUAGGCACGAGAAUUUCGAAGUUCCAGCUACCCUACUAUUACCCACAAGGGUAAAGGAACAGCACCACUGCUUGACAACUGGAAAGUCCCUAUGUGUGUCGACCUCCGUGUUUUGCGGCAAGACAGGUUGGCAAGAACGUCCAACCUUUACUCACAUUCGAGAAAAGACUCCCAACAUAAUUACUUUCUCAAAAACCGGAGUAGCACCAUUUUCCGAAUCUCGAGAGUCAGAUCCUCGACGGGAUUGCUUGUUCGAAAACCGAAGAGGCACAACUCUCAAAACUUCGAGAGCCAGAUUUCCUUAGAUAAAGCUUGUCUGUAAUCUUCACACGUAACAUCAGCUUUCCAGAUACCACAUACCACUUUUUCAAAGUGCUCUGACAAAAUUAAAACACGUGAAGCUGGCAGCUCCCACUACAUUGCUGUGACCAAGAAAGGUAAAGGAAUAGCAUUACUACUUGUUAUUGGGAAAUCCCUAUAUACAUCGACCUCCCUCCUCAACAGACAGGCAAACCUGCAAAAAUGCUCAACCCUUUCUCGCAUUCGAGAAGGCACUCCUCAACAUAACCUCUCGAAAUACUCAGCUUUAUUUCCCCCCGAUAAUACCUCAGCAAAUAAGCCACACCAAGAACAAGAGUAUCUCAUAUCAUCAGGGUUCGAAAGCAAGAGUAUCCCAUAUCAUGCUUUUCUCCCUGUCUUUGUCUUUGUCCUUGUUCCACACCUGCAAGGACAAUGAGAAAAGAGAGCAGUCAGUCGGAACCUGGAAAUCAAACCUCCAAUUUGGAACUGACUGCCUGGAAGCCUUUGCCUGGUUGCUUACUUAGCAUUGCUCUCGAGUACUCAUCCUCAAUUGCUGUCAAGGUCACGAAUUCCACCGGCAAAUACCUCAUGACAGUUGAUCAGAUAUUGGCUCUUUACACUGAAGCUGCCAAGCGUGGAUGAGUCACUAUGAAGGAAUGUUCUGAAGGACCAUUUAAAUGCAAAGGUUGCACACCACUUCUGCCAUGCAAAAGAUUGAAGCAGAAGGUUCAACGGUGAGCUGAAACAGAUCACUACAGCACGACACAUUUCCAUACCACAUUCAUUAUUCCGUCAACAGCAAAAGUAUCCCAUAUCAUCAAGGUCGAACGUACUCUAGAUUUGAUGGACUUGUUUUGACCCUCAAAUUCUUGAGUCGGCCUUAUAUUCUGAAGGGAACCAGAAAACCCUCCAGCACAGUUCAAGAAUAAGCCUGUGGAAAGUUACUUCUUCAAAAGCAAAAGUAUCUCAUAUCAUCUCUUAUCCAUUUGCUUCUCCUUAUCCUGGCAGUUGAAUGAGAGACAAGGAGAAGGAGAACAAUCAACCGGAAGCCGAAGUCAAACCUCUGAUCCUGGGUUGCUUACUUGGAAGUUUGACUGCUUACCUUGUCUGUCACCUCUUUCGGCAGAUCUCCUAGCUCGGCGACUUGGGGGACUCCUACUAUAGGGUUUGUAUCGCACUUGACCAAGCCCGAAACUACAAGUAAGCUUCAAGUGAAAUUGAUACAUUACCUUGUGCAUCUUCAUCGGUUAAAGAUACCACCCCUGGAUGGAGGAAGCGUACUUCCAGAGAAGAUGCCACAUCUACCUAUGAGAAAGAUAAGGCAAGUGAAGACGAUACCACACCUCGGUACUUAGAAGUUUCGUAAUUACUCAGCGGCUUGGAUCUUGCAAGUCCCCAACCGAGGAGCUUCCCUCACUCGGGAACUUAGGGGAGCACUGUUUGUACCAUACUUGACUAAUCCCGAAACUACUGAACACCGGUCAACGUUAUACCGUCAAGGACCCAGAAGAGUUUCCCUUCAACCAGAAGGCCAAUCACAAUGCGACACGUGUCGACAUCAGAAGCUAAUCACAGCACGACACGUGUCAACAUCAGAAGCCAAUCACAACACGACAUGUGUCAAUAUUAGAACAAAACUAGAAACUCUCUUCUAUAAAUAGGGAUCAUUCUCCCACAAUAAUCUCUAAUGUCAUUUUGUACUAAACUAUUCACUAGAACUCACUAAACCAGAGCUUGAAUCUAUGUAUUUGUGUAAACCCUUCACAAUUAAUGAACUCCUCUACUCCGUGGACGUAGCCAAUCUGGGUGAACCACGUACAUCCUGUGUUUGCUUCUCUGUCUCUAUUCAUUUACGUACUUAUCCUCACUGGUGACCGAAGCAACCAAGCGAAGGUCACAAAACCUGACACUUUCUGCCACCUUACACCUGCCCCAUCCACAACUAUAUAUUCACCUAGAAAUAAUUAGUGAACAAAUCCAAGUGUAAAAACACCGUCUCCUCUCAGACUCCUUCCCCUCAACUAAGUGACGUAAAAUUAAACUUAAUACUACACAACCCGGAUGCAGCAUAGAAUAAUAGUUAAAUUUAAUAACAAGCUGCAAGCUGGACAUGAAUGAAGAUCCACCUUGUUUUGGCCUCGUAGUCGUUGCAGAGCUACCAUGUUUGUCUUGAGUUCUUUCAUCAAGGGAAUCUGCCUUAUGAGUGUUAUCUGUCUCAAUUUUUUCAUAAUUUUUAUCAUCUGGCUUUCAAUUGAAGGUUCUGCUGCCUUCCAACUGAUCUAACCUCAGUAUUUCUGGCAAUAGCCCACUACUCUUGGGGCUAACAUCAGUGUAAUCUGCCUAUGAUUGCAUCAUGCCCACGAGUUAUGCAUGCAAUAGCAACGUUGCGUGGUUGAAUAUUAUAGCAAUAGCAACUUGUCCUGUUGAGGAAACCGACUUUUAGCUGCCCCAACUUGCAACUUCUCGAAUGGAGGGAGGCGUUACCAUCACUUUCCUGCGAAAGCCUUAAAGAUAAACGUAACAAAACCUGGAAUAUUUUUUAUACUAGCUUUCUUAAUAUGAUAUUAUCCCAUUUGCCGUUGUUUUGCAUAAUCUAGCUCAAUUUCAUACUAGCUUGAAUACUAAACUGAACAUAUUCAAAUCCAAAAAGUGAUCAAUCAAAGAAAUCUCUAACUUAUUUACACGUAUAACACAAGCUCAGCAUUGGGCAAGAACCUGGCGGAGAUGGAAUUGAGGUCCAUGUUGGUGAGCUCGGCUUCUACUGGAUUCACCACCGUAUGCUUCUCGUCGGACAAGGCGGAGUGGAUCAGGAUAAUCGCCUCCACUUGUUCGUGGUCGCGAAGAACCAUCCUCUGGCUCUAGGUUUCGAUUGCGGCGUCGGAAACGGCGCCGCCACUCCCUUUAUUUGUUAGCUCCUGCUUGCCGCGGGGUUUUAUUUUGGGGGCUAUCUGAAAAUUUUAUCUGAAAUUUCCCAUAUAGUUAAUGGAACGGCGUAGUCAGGGGUAUUGGUUCGUCUUUUGCGAGAAAUUGAGGGCCACUGGCCCAAAAUUAAAGGCUAAAAUGUAAUCGACAACCGACAAGGGCAAGCCCAUUACGGCCCAAUGGCUAUGGAUUUUCACACUCCUCAUAUUGUUUAUUUCUGCUAGUUCUCCUUUAUUUUUUUUAAUAUAAAAGAAUAUAACAAACUUAAAAAGCUCAUGUGGAUUAAUUACUCCGUCUUUGUAUACAACCGCGUCAUAAAAUUCCGUUUCAACCUAUAAACUGUAUAUAAUGUUCGACAUUUGUUGGCCAUAGCUAAAUUAUUGAUAACUCACAUUUUAACCAUGACAAAAAGAAGGCACUAUAUGCAACCUAUUCCAAUCGAAUUUCAACGAUCCAAACAAUUUAUUUUGUAAGUCUUCAUAGAUCAUUAUUGCAAAAAUUUAAUUCAAUUUAAAACCAUUUAUUUAUUUAAUUAUCACGAUGAAAUUUUAUUGUUUCUUAUACAAUAAAGUGUUCGUUAAUUUCUUUGAACCCAUUUAGAUACCUUAAGUAUUUCUGAUUUGGCUAUUUUUUGAAAUGAUGAUAAGUUACAACUUGAAAAAUAGAUGGUUCGGAUCGUUGAAGUUCGAUGUGGUGUGGGCCUCACAACUAAUCUCUAUUUUUUUUUUUUUAAAAUGAGGAUCCCUUCACUUAAAGGCCUUUUAUAUAUACACACACGUCCUUGUACAUGGUUUUCUAAUUCUUAUGGUUGAUCGUGAAUAUUUGUUAAUAGUCGCUCAGCAUUCACCAAUGUGAACUACCCUCCACCAACCAGUACACAACGAGAGAGGCAAGUCCUUGGUGCAACUAAUCCGUUUCUUACCAGUAUAACCUUUUGUUAACAGGGAACUGAAGAAGUUGAAGGACUUGCUCUACAUUUGCUUUAUGGUUAUGGCAAGCUAGUUUCAGUACAGAAGCAUUUGCCAAUAUGAAAAAACUGAGAUUGCUUCAGCUCGACAUAGUAGAUGGAGAAUACAAACAUCUUCCCAAAAAGUUAAUACGAUUAUGUUGCCGUGGAUGCCCUUAGCAGUCCUUACCAGUUGACUUUUUUAAUCAAGAGAAACUAGUUUUUCUAGACAUGCAGGGUAGCCACUUGGAACAUGUUUGGGAGGGUUCCAAGGUACAAUUAAUUACACGUGAUGAUGUUCUGUUUCUAUUUUUUUCUGGAUUUCCAUUUUAUUUUUUAUGACAUCUUCCUUUUGGAUAUUAAUCAUUUUUCUUUGGUUUUCUGCAACAGUCGUUUCAGAAGUUGAAAACCAUUAACCUCACUGGUUGCCAUUUGCUAAUUAAAUCACCGGACUUUUCACAAGUCCCAAAUCUUGAAGAGUUGAUAUUGGCAUUCUGUUUCGAUUUGUCCGAGAUUCACUCCUCCAUUGAUCAUCUUAAAAGACUUUCUUUGGUGAACCUUAAACAAUGUGAUAGCUUAUUUCUCUUCCAAGGGAUUUCUAUAAAUUGAAAUCUGUUGAGACUCUUCUUCUUAAGAGAUGUUCAAAUUAAUAGAACUGCAUGAGGAUAUAGGGAAGAUGAUAUCGAGAUGUUCAAAAUUCAUAGAAGUGCAUGAAGAUAUAGGGGAGAUGAUAUCACUGAGAACAUUUGAAGCAGAGGAAACAGCCAUAAGACCACCUUCCAAAGUAGGAUUGAAGAAUCUUACUCGUUUAUCCCUAAGUGAUGUGAGAUGCAUUCAUUUGCCUCAUUCGCUACACGGCUUAAACUCUUUAAGAGAAUUAAAUCUCUCUGAGUGCAUAUUAGCUAAUAAUCAAAUCCCUAAUGAUCUUGUGAGUCUAAUUUCUUUACAAAAUUUGGACCAAGCCAUGAUGCAUCUGAUAAUAAUCAUCCCAUGAAUCAAAUGAGAAUUACUAUAGAUGACUGAAAUGGGAAAAGGUAGGAAGAAGUGAAGCAUCAUCUGUCUUGAUUAAGUCGCACCUAGAUCGGUUCUAUGGUGAAGCACGAUCGAGGUGGUGAUGCAUCAUCAUCAUCACAUAUACGAGUCAGGUCAUAACCAGUUCAUCAAAUGGCUCUUUCAUUUUUCGAUUUACUGGUUCGAUAAUGAAGACAAGUCCUUAUUUCAUACUUCUUUAGAUUCCUAUGAUUUUCUCAAUAAGUAGUUGUUUUGAAUUUUGAAGAAAUAUUACAUCUAAAAAACAUUUCAACAAUACAACAAUCAAUAUAAGACAUUCAUCCAAAUAUUUGACAAAUACUACUUGAAUUCGCACAAAUACUUGCCCUGCUUCCACCACAUAUUCCAGGAAAUCAAUGAUAGCCUCAAGAUGCCAGUCAAUAUAUAGUUUCUACUACGUUUUCAUUAAUUUUGACUUGCCUUGACAUAUUAGCAGAAAAAUGACUCUACAUUUUUAGUAGAAGAUCUAUUACCCUUCUACUACCUUUGAAGUCGAUGAACUCGUUUGCACAAGCAAAAAAUAGUUCGGUUGGAUUCUCCAAAACUGCAGACGGAAGUUGUUUGUAACAUCGUAGAGUGUUCCUGUUAAGAUCAAACCCCAGCCCAUGUUGUGCCCUUCUGUUAACACCAUCAAAUUAAGAUGUCACAAAGUUAAAAAAAAAAAAAAAAAAAAAAAAAAAAAGUAGAAUGAAAUCAUCAAAUAUAGCUUUGAUAUCUUUGUUGGAUUUCGAUUGAAAAAAAAUAAGAAAAAAAGAAAAAAAAGAGAGAGGUCUUUAUUGGGGUAACCAACUCUAUUUGACUUACAAAGAGAAAAUAUAUAAUUACAACAUAACGAGAAAAAACUCUUGUUCAGCAAAUCAUUGCAAAUAUAGCUAAACCAUCAAAAUUCAAAGAUUGGAAGCUACGGUUUCACCACCACCAUACUCAUCUCAAGAACAAAAAUUACUUAACCGAGUAAAGCGUGAUGAGAAUAAAAGAAAUGAGAAAUGGUGUAGGAAUGACUUAGGUAUUUAUAGGGAAAAAAGGGAAUUUAAAAAAAAAAAAAAAUUUGGCCCAAAAACAAAAAGGACAAUACCGUCGGAUAUAUCCGACAAAAAAAGUAUUAAUAAUGAAAAAUCCAGCCCGGCCCGGGACUGGUUGGAUUGGGCCAGCCGGUUGGCCCUUUGGCCCUUUUUUGUCCCGAGGGACCACGAGUCCUCUGGCCCUUUGGAUCAUUCGGUUGGAAAUAGCCUUAUCGACCCCUUCCCCACAGUAGAUGACAUCAAAUUAAGCUUAAUACACAAAACUCGAAUGCUGCAUAGGAUAAUAGUAAAAUUUAAUAACAAGCUACAAGUUGGACACAAAUGAAAUCCACCUUCUUUUGUCUUGAGUUUUUGUUGGAAAUAUUAGUAUUUAGGUUUAUUUUAGUAUUUGGGUUUUACUUGUUAGUUUAGGAUUUGGGCCUAGCCCAUCCGAGUUAGGGUUUCUUAAGUUUGGUUCUUUAUAAAUAGAGCUUGUAAUUUAGUUUGGGAAAUAAGUUAGUCACAAUGUAGUCUCUUAGGGUUUUGUAACCAUUUCGGCAUUCUCGUUUGUUUAAUAAUAUUCUUAUUAUUCUUGUUAGUCUUGUUCGUUGCGCACUCUGAUAUUCAACUGUUUUUUCAUGAAAGGAAUCUGCCUUACGAGUGUUAUUUGUCUCACUUUUUUUAAAAUUAAGCUUAAUACUACACAAAAUCCAGAUGCAACAUAGGAUAUUAGUAAAAUUUAAUAACAAGCUACCAUUUGGACACGAAUGAAAAUCCACCUUCUUUGGUAUUGAGUUCUUUCAUCAAGGGAAUUUGGCUUACGAGUGUUAUGUGUCUCACUUGUUUUUUUAUAAGAUUUAUCCUCGUCAUUUGCUUUCAAUUGAAGGUUCCACUGUCUUCCAACUGGUCUAACCUCAGUAAUUCUGGCAAUAGGCUCGCUACUCUUGGAGCUGACAUCAGAGUAAUCUGCCAAUGUUGCAUCUUCAUGAGAUAUGCAUGCAAUAGCAAUUUUGAGUGGUUUAACAUUAUGUUAAAAUACAUAAACUAAUAUUAUGAAAUCCAUAGCUCAGGAAAACUUGUCCUGGUCAGGAAACCGACUUUUAGCUGCCCCAACUUGCAACUUCUCAUAUGGAGGGGGGCUGUUACCAUCACUUUCCUGUGAAAUCCUUAAAGGUUGAACGUGAAAACUCGGAAUAUUUUGUAUUCAUCUGCCAUUCUUCGUAAAGUGAUUGAACAACACCUCCCAACAGAGUCACAACUUUAGGACUCAAACAUACUAUUCCGUUACGUACAGUAACUUUACCUUCCAAACAGACCUGCCGAUCAAAAAGUAGGACAAACAAAAGAUGUUCAGUUAACUCAAAAUGCGACCUUUAUCUAUGCACCUGUUUUUCCCUGAAUCACUUAAGAAAGUGGGACUAGAGAGACCCAUAAAACUUCUUCUGAAAUUCAUUGAGUUUCAUGAAAAAAAGUACUUAUAUCUGGUGCAUAAUGGUGUUCCACAUGAUAAUUGUCAAAAUUAAAAAAUUUGUCAGGGUCUUCCAGUGCAGUGUUGAGCUAAUGUCACAUAUGGGAUAAAAAAUAAACAAAAUUAUUAAUUUUCCUACUGGAUGUGGAUUCACUUCAUGAUUGCAUACACGAAGACGGAGCACACAGUGUUCAUCACUAUGUUUUACGAAAGUAUGAGUUUUCGUAGUUUUCCAUAAUCUAGCUUAAUUUCGUACCAGUUUGAAUACUAAACUGAACAUAUACAAAAUCCAAAAAGUGAACAAUCAAACAAUUAAAUAUAAACACAAGCUGAGCAUUGAGCAGGCAUCAAGAAGCAGAAAGUACCUUAGUUUCAGGAACGACGUCGUCAGAGAUUGCCGGGGUAUGAGAGUACUCCACAGCUGUGGCCGUCGUCAGGGAUCGUAAGGCAUCAAAAGCCGCCGACGACUCAAAUUCCUCGAAAAAUCCUCCAUUCUGCUUUUGGCAACGUCCCUUACCCAAGCCAUUUGAUAACAAAACACAAAGGAAAGACCACAUUUUUCUUUCUCUUUAUCUAUUUUCUCAGCAACCAAACAGAGGACAAGAAAAAAUAACGACAAAUACAGAAAGGAGUGAUUCACCUGGAGAACUUUGGGGCCGAAGAGGUGAGAGGACCUAAGGAGCGUAUGCGAGUCGGGCAUGGACAUGGCGGAGAUGGAUUUAAGGUUCAUGUUGGUGAGCUCGGCUUCCACCGAUAAGCGAAAGGUGUUAGGUUCGAUUUUUGCCAAAAACGAAUUUGAAUCACAUUAUUGUUAGUUCAUUGUGAGGCUAAGCCCACCGCACCCUCUUCCCUUAUUGUAGAUAAUAUCGAUUGUUAACAAAAAAAAAAGAAAAAAAAAGAGGUUUUAAGUUUGAAUCUGAUAAAUGGCAUGUUCAAUACAAAUUUAUAACCCCACCUUUAGUGUAUAUGUAUCGUUGUAUAAAAAUCAAUUAAAGUAGUUUAGUUUGUCUGUUAUAAUGAAAAGGUGCAAUCUUAGAUUGAAGUAAAUCAAAUUAUUAUUAGUUUGGUUUGGUUUGUUUCGGUUUGACGUAUUGAGAUAAUGCUAAAACAAAAACCAAUUUGAAUAUGUAUUUGUAGUUGUUGGAUUAAAACGUGUUUGUAAUUUUUGAAAAGAGAGGAGUGAAGUGACUCCAACUUUAGGAAGUUUUGUGAUUUUGGUUUGUAUGAGAAGAGAACACGAAGUGGGGGAGGAAGAUACAAAAUAGUAAGUUUAAUUGUAAUUUAAAUUUUUUUUUUUAUACUGUUAGUGGAGGAACCCAUCCGUUGGGUGAAGUGGUAGGUCUAAAAAUGGAUAUCAUCCAGUGGAAGAACCCAUAUGUGGUGUUUAUUUUUAGACAAGAUGGAAGAUGCAAACGAUUGGAGGUCCAUACCAUUUUCCAAGUUCUUUAUUUAUGUGAAUGUUUAUGUUAUUCUGAUUAGGAACUUAAGUGAAUAAAUUAUUUUUGAAACAAAUAAUUGCUUACAAAAUAAUGAACUCUAUUAAACAAAAAUAAUUGCUUACAGUAGAGAAUAACUAUAAAUAUUAUUGUAAAGUGUAUAUUUAAACAUUUUUAAUUUAUAUAAAUUGAUAGGUUGUUAUUGCAUUCGGAAAAGGAUCCGGCGAGGAUCCUUUUUUUGGAGAUUCCGAAGAUUCCGUGAUCGUGACCGUUCAUCGUACAUCGUGUGGUAAAAAAUUAUUUGAAAUUUAAAAUUUAAAAUUAAAUAUAAAUAGUACUUAACGAAAACUGACCGUACGAUAUACGAUGAACGGUCACGAUCACAUAAUCCCGGAAUCCCCAGAAAAAGAAUCCGGUGAUGAUCAUUUUCCAUUGCAUUCCAUGCCUAAAUCAAAUCACUAACUUGAACCAUGCUCUUUAUUUGGGAACCGUGCGUUUUUCUUAUUUGAAUUAGUAGGGUUUGUAUUUUUGUUUUUCAAAUUUGAUUUUGUGUGAUUUCAUUUUGAUAGAUAUUUAGAAUUUCAGAAAGCAAGUGUGGUUCGAUCAAUUAAAAUCAACCUGAAUUAGAGAGGUUUGAUUACAGGUAUCUCAAAUCAAUCAUGCAUUGUUAUGUGUCACAUCCUGACCCGGGAUGGACCACUUUCAGGGCCCGCUCCACCACCGUAGCACGAUAUUGCCUGCUUUGGGCUUACCAUUCCCUCACGGUUUUGUUUUUGGGAACUCACGAGUCACUUCCCGUUCCUCAGUGGAAAUGGGAAAAUAUAACUAUGGAUUUCGUGUAUAAGCUUCCACGUACACAUAAUGGAUUUGAUGGUGUUUGGGUGUUUGUAGAUCGGCUUACCAAGUCAGCACACUUUAUUUCAUUGAGGGAAAAGUAUUAUUUAAACUGCUUAACUAUAAUUGUUUUUAUCGAAGGUUGUAAAGUACUAUAGAGUUCCAGUGAAUAUUAUUUCUGAUCGAGAUCCAAGAUUUACUUCUAAGUUUUGGGUAGCUUUUCAGGAAGCUCUUGGUACGAAACUGCUUUACAGCACUGCUUAUCAUCCUCAAACAGAUGAACAAUCAGAGAUGACUAUUUAGACGUUAGAGGAUAUGCUGAGAUUUUCAGUGUUACAGUUUGGUGAUUCUUGGCAUGAUCGCCUAGACUUGAUGGAAAUUGCCUACAAUAAUAGUUUUCAUUCGAACAUUGGUAUGUCACCAUUUGAGGCAAGGUAGAGCUUGUCGUACGCCUUGAUGUGUUGUGCUAGGGAGUUGUAGGGCGAACUCGAGGUGAGUGGGCAAUAUUUUAUGUAUUUACCUAUAUACUAUUGAUUUUUCCCAGAAAUUGAAUUUAAAUAAAAGUAUGUUUUUAAAAUGCCAUGCAUGCAUAUUGUGAAUUAUAUGAAUUAGUAAUUGAUGCAUAUAUAUAUGUGAAUUGGUGCCGUGGACUGAUCACUCAUAUAUUUCAUGCAUUUAUAUCAUCCAUUUCUAAAGUCUGUGUGAUGGUUUUGUGUUAAAAUUGUGGCAUUUUACCUUACCUUGUGUCAAUGUGCAGUUAAUUUUAUUUUAGGAUCAAAGAAAUAAAAAAAGAAAACAAAAGAAAUAAAAUAAAAGGGGGGUGCAGCACUGGCAGGAAGAAAAAGGAAAGAAGAGAAAUAAAAAAAAAGAAAGUGGAGGACACCAACUGGUGGAGAAAAUAAAGAAAAGAAAAGAAUAAAAAAAAGAAAUAAAGGGGAGCAGCAAGGGAGACUGACACGGACAGCAGCAAGAAGAAUAAAACAGAAGGGAGAGCACAGCAAAGCGGACUGGCGUAGAGAGAGAGGGCAGAGAGCAGAAGAUAUAAAAAAAAACAGAAAUUAAAGAAACAGGGCGGAGGUGAGAGGGGACGGACGCGGCAGGAGGCGCAGAGAAGAGGAGGAAGAGCACAGCGGGACUGACAGAUUGCAAAGAAGAAGUCAGGAGCAGAAAACAGAAAAUAAACGUACAGAGGAGACUGCGCAGCAAGGCAUAGGAGACACAAUAAGACUUGGGUGUGGUGUUGUCUAUGUAUUUUUAAUCUUCUCAUCGCGCACUCAGAGUCUCUACUAUGUAAUGGAGAAUAACUGUAUGGUGGUAACUAUUAUGGAAUUAGCUUGAGAGUGAGGCCCAUGAGCUGCAAUACUAUACGUCAGCGCAUGGGUCUCUUGAGAUUUUACAAACUCUCAGAGCAUGUUAUAUGUGUCGAUUGUGAAACUGGUGCCUGAUUGGGAGUCAGUUGGUUUGAGGACUGCCGGUAGUGCUCCUUUGACGAGUUGGAGUAUGGACGAUAUUAAUAUGUAUGAGACACGCGCUCGUAGGAUGAUAGCGUUCUGUGACCUAUGUCGCAGAAUGGAAAUUGAGGGAGCCACACUGAUUUAAUCGGUUCUGGCGUGUAUAGGACUUAGUAAAGAAGUGUUGAUAUGAAGUACUCAGUUCUGGUAUCGAUAGGCAAGCUUUCGUGGAACGAGUAUUAGAAUGGCGGAGUGAUCUGGCUAUAUAGUGGACGUUGUGUUACGAGGCGAGCGAUGUUUUCAGAGCUGUAAGAUUUGGAAGAGUAUAGCAUUAGUAUCUUUCACCAGUACCUAAGGGUAAUCAAAGGUCGACCGAUUUAAGUCAGGGCUGCUGAGUGUCCUUAAAGUCGCAAGUAUGGAGUAUUCUAGUCUUAGCCAGCAUGGUGUAUAGAGAUUCAAUAUAGGUAGACGUGCAUGGUAGUAUCUAUCGCCAUCCAUAGUCAUGGAUCACGAGCUAUGAUGAAUGCUCCUCGACGGUGCAGUGAUAGUUGACAGUGUUUAUAGAGUGCACCACUGAUAUAGAUAUGUGGUGACCAGAUAGAUCGGGGUAUGAGGAUGCUGAAGGUGUAGUGUGGUCUAUCCAGUGGCAGACGCGCCAGAGACUAUGCGGGCCGUACCGAUAUCUGUGUUGUAUGAGCAUAUUGCUAGUACAGGUCCGCUUCUCGAAUCAGUAUAAUGAUCACUUACUCGCAGAUAAGCCGUGCUGAUGGUGACUGCACGCUCGACAGCAGUCUUGGUGGACGUAUACACUAUGAAAGCAUCUCUUGGCAAUGAAUCCCUGUCUAGAAUAGAUGUAGCAUGUAGAUUGUUUUCCUGCAAUAGAUUAUGUAGAUUGAUAAUUGGAGCAGAUCAUGUUACAUGUGUGCGUGGCCGGAUUAAGCUACACGCGUGGAUAGGAUUGAGUUUAGUUGAGACUAAGAUAGUGUUGAAAAUGUUUAACGGGUUGAAGCUCAUAUAGUCAUAGUAUGCGUGAGUCCUAGUGUUAUUAUUACGUAAUGACUUAGUAAAAGUUAUAUAUGUGUGUCAUUUGAAUGUAAUAUUCUCGACAGCAUCUUUAACAGCUGUUCUCUGUUGUUUUAGUUUGAGUUUCCUAGUAGUCAUUGCCUAUAUACUAUUGAUGAAUCCCCAUACCAUAAGGUUCCUGUACAUGAUAUUGUUGAUAGAUUAAUGUUAGAUGUAUCAGAAGUCCAGCAGUUGCCACGCAGUUGAAUGAUGUUUAGAUGUGUAUAUGUACGAGUAUCGAAUGAUUGUACAGAUUGACGUCGUAUGAGUGAUCGCAGAUUCAUGCUAUUAAGUUAGAACAUGACGAGAGGACGUAAACUAUGCUAUAGAGCGAUGUUUAGGACUGAAGGCUAGUCUAUAUAGGAUGCGUCUGCGAGUGAGAUCUGGACGACUAUUGGAGAUGACUAUCAGAGGGGAUGUGUGGCCGAGGCAGCGGGAUCGGUGUAGUAUCCAUGACGGUCAUUUUAUUAUAGCGCAGGACGUGAAGACCGUCGCACUUCGCUCGAGACACGCGCAGGGUGUCGUGAGAUUGAUGUCAUGGCACGCCCGUCAGUGUGUAGUUAGCACACUGCAGGCCGCGAGACAUGACUGGUGAUGUAGCGCUGCAGCUGGGCGUACUGGUCGUAGAUCAAUAUGAAUCCACUUGGCCUGUAGCGUUACGGAUUGUAAGGCGUUUUGCUAAGCUUAUCCACAACGCUCAUUAGCUCAAUGAUUUUCUCCUCGUGUAUACACUAUAUGUAGUGUUGCGGUAGAGAUAAUGGAAGGUGGGCUUAGGAUGAAUAGAUGCGAGAGAGAGCGAACAGCGACACGUAUAGUUGUGGGCAUAGCGCUGAGUACUGAUGAAUGGUGUAUUAGAGCAUGAGUACUAAGAUGAUGGUGUGGAGAUGAAGGGUCUGUCUAUUUUAUAGAUUCUGUAUUAGAUUAUAUAGGGCCGGUGCGAGGGAUGCAGCUCUUAAAGACGCUAAUAUGAUAUAUACUUAGGAGUGGUGCGAUAUAUGGCUGACGUUGAUAUUCGCGUGUUUGUAUGAGGUUGCGAUGAUGCAUGUCUCAUAGUCUACGUAACAACGCAGUGACGCCUUGAGGGUGAGCAACGCCUGUUGAGUAGAAGUUAUGAGGAUUGGUGAGGGUUAUCGGCCGCAGGAGUUAGAGUUAGAUCGGGCGGUGAAUCACUUCGCAGGUGUGUGUACAUCGACUCUCUCUCUACGCUGAACUUACUCACGAGCUCUACAUACGCAGUGGAGUGUCUUCGCUGUUAUACGGCUAUGAGGAGUUGCUAGGCACGGCACGCGUGAUGUCGGUUUCUAUCAGCAGUAGACAGGCGUGCGAUCGUGGUCGGCUGCGCAUGUGCGACGUCAACUGAGCAGGUAACGCGAAAGACACUAGACUGCAGAUUCCUCUGUCGGGCAUACGAGGGUUACUGGCAAGCUUAUUGGUGCGUAUUGAUGACCUAUCCGGUAGAGCGACCAGAAUACGAGAGAUCGUGAUUCGCUAGCAGCGUGUGUGGUGGUUCGAUUCUGUAGGAUAGAUUUUAGAUUACUUUUAGUAGGCACUGCUAGUUGUAGAUGUGAGGGACAGGAGGAGCGAAUCUAAGAGCGCUGAGGUUGUCGCAUGUCCAGUGAGACUAUCACCUUUCGUUAUGUACACUGCGAUCCGACCUGUGACUAUGAGAGGAUGUGUCUGUCAGGUGCUACCAUUUCCUCGAGAAUUAGUGCAGGUGUAGGGUUGAGUUGAUGGCUAAGUCUUAAAGAUCAACCGUAUACGGAUCUGCGACAGUACUGCUAAUUGCCGAUUUCAGGGUGCAGGUCCGACUAGUGUGCUCCAAUUAUAGUGAUAGAUGAAGAUGUGCCGGAGGUACGAUGCGCACUUGUAAGAUUCGUAAUGUGAUACUGAGCUUUUAUAAGAAAGUUUCACCGAUGGAGCAAGCCUACUGACAGAGAAGCAGGAAGUAGGAUCAUAGCGUAACAGGGUACAUGUACAGGGGUGCUGUGCACCGAUAUUACGUAUGAUAGAUAUCGCAAUGUCUUACAACUUAUCAUUAACGUCAGCUAUAUACAACGAUUCUGUGGUAUGGACCAUCAUAUAAAGUCAUCUGAUUGUAAACUCUUAGUAUUGCUGUUACUCAGAGGUCAGUAGUGAGGGAGAGCGAGCUGAUUUAAGAGGAGGAUGAAGUCACUUACUCGCGUGAGAUGCACCAGUCUGUGUGUCAGUGGAUAAGUGAUAUAACUCUUCUGAGAGUAUAUUAUAUGUAUUUGUGUUAUAUGACAAGCUCUCUGAGCUGUCGCAUGUUUAUUUAGUUUACAUUCGUGUCCUCAUAUUAUCAGUCGAUCUGGACAAGUGUGCCCAAUAAUGUACGAAGAUAUGAUGUGACAUGUAGAGUCGACGUCUUGUGCGUUAAGAUGUGUCAUAGCUUGUGAUGGGUACUGUGAGCCAGUUACCAUAUAUUCGCUUUGUGUGAUGGGAAUGCGUAUUCGUUUUCUAGAGCACAGAUCGCAUGAUUACUCUACACGGAGUACUCAAGGCCGAAGGGUGAUGACGACGCACGAUGUUGGGAUAUAGUGAGCGCGAGAUUGAUAUUAUGAGUAUUGUGUGCGACAAAGCUUUGUUUUACUAACGCUACCUUCACUCACUAUAUACGGCUUACCAGUAUGUGUGAGGUGUUUGACGCGGCAUCCAAAUACGAAGGAGCAGAGUAUCCAGAAGUGGUGUCUAGUUGAAUGUAUUAUGAACCUUAUAGGUAAGCUCUGUAGGUGAGUUCGUGGAAUUAGCACCGCCUAGUAAUCUGUAGGAUUCACCUUAGAACAUGGUGUUGAUGAGAGGAAAAUGAUCAUCGAGAUGACUGGGCUUCCUAAGACAGCUGAGUCGAAUCACGUUUCGAGUGUGUCUCAUAGCUAAGCAUAUGUGCACGUUGUUAGGAAGGUUAAUUGCAGUAGAUCAUUUGUGUAUGUGUGAAUGACGGUACUUGCCAGAGAGUGCAUAUCCCGCUGAGUAUGGUUCUCGAUAUAGUGUAUCUGGUGUUCUCAUGCGUAUUCUGACGACAGUCUCAGUCACUGAUAGGUUCUUCGGUUGGUAGUACGGGCUAUCGUCGUAACCGUUGUCCCAAGUUCUUGAGUGCGCACGUCCGGUAGUCUAUUGCAGAUGGCUUUUUAACAUGCACGAGUCUUACGCCGAUAGACGAUAAUUAGCGGUGGUUCGUCGCAUAUGCGCCUGAGGAAUCAGUGGAUGCUGCGCGGCGUGGAUCGUUUGAGGUGAAAUGACCUGUUUAUCUCGGAGGGCAGAAGCUGGAGAGAUUAUCAUAUGAGAGUGUGUUAUAUAUUGGCUAGUCUAAGUGUAGCAUCUCGUAUGAUCGGCUUCACGGCAGACGUUAUCGAAGUAUUUGCAGGUUGUACGGUUGCGCUGUGAGAUGGAUGAUCUCAGAAGUAUUUAGCUAUGUACCGGAGCGAACUCGGAUGAUGGGUGGUCAAGUUUAGUCGUCGACGUAGGCGUUGCAACAGCUGUGUCUGAGAGGUGAUCCCGUCGGGUGUCAGUCUGUUGUCAUCGGCCCUGAGCUGCAAUCGAUAAUGAGGCGGAGUCGUGGUCCACACAGGUUAGAUGAGCAUUCUACUUCGGCGUCGUGAGAGGUUCAUCUGAGACCGCUGGAGGUCCAGCAGGCUCGCGAACUAGUCUGCGUACACAUCAUCGCCUGGGUAGUUGUUUACUAAGUUCGAGACGGGCGUCUUGUCACUUAGGUGCUGAACGAUCGGGUCGAGAGUAGCGCUCUGUCUAUUAGUCUAGUGCUCACUAUCUAUAUACAUAUGCGUACUUGGCGGGAUAUAGACGUUAGCAUGCUUGCUCUGUGUCCGUCGGCGAUGCGUCAUCUAAGUGCAGAGCAACGCGUGGCUACGUCUGGACAGUACCAUCGGCAUAUGAUCUGCUGGAUGCUUCCUUACCGCGAACUAGUUGGAGGUGUAGGCCGACGGAGCGAGGUCAGCGCGCUGAGAUUUCAUAGGUAUGCGAUAGCACCGCCGAGGAUCAUAAUUGCACGGGGAUGCUUGAUGGGGAGAUAGGGCAUGGAUAUGUCACGGCUACAUCGCUAGAGGAGAGGUUAUGUAGAGCUCGGACGUUCAGUCGGCUCAUAAGUGCAAUAAUAUUAUACGUUUAUUUUCCUCCAGUAUACAUAGUGUGUUGAGUCGAGGCUUCAUAGUAUUGCUCAGGUCAGUAUAGAUAUUGGUAGUUAGAAGAGUGUGUAACGAGUGACGUAUGUUGAUUAGCGUUGUCGGUAAGAAAGUGUCCGGUCAGCCGCUCGUGACGGGAUAUUCGGCAUGCAUAUUAUUCGAACAUAUCUAGUAGCAAAGUCCACUACGGAGUAGAGGGUGUGCGAUUGUUCGCAGAGACUGUGCAGCUAGGAAUCCGAGUGAGUGUGUAUUAAGGCUAGUCGAGGAGGUUGCGUUGAGAGCAUCGGCUCAGACUCUUGAUGUUAAUGUAUAUUAGGUGAUAUGUGGUGGUAAUAGCGAAGAUUUAGAGACGUGUUAUAGAGACCACGUCAUGAGAUGAUGGGUGUAGACUCUCUCUCCACUCGCACUCGCUCUGUUGAUAUCACUGUGUUGACUUAGACGCAGCAUGACGUUCUCUGAUCAGCACAUCACAUCGACUUAUUCGUUGGCAUUAUUGUGAUACAGCGGAGUAGGGAUGGCUCUGCGCGUUCUACAGUGAUCUCUAUAGCUGCCCACGGGUCAGUCCGCUGUAUAUAUCUCACCAGGCAGCUGUCUGCCCACUACCAUGCUCACCAGAUACUGGCGGACUCCAAGUGGUGCAUGUCGUACAGACCGCAUGAGAGGGGCUCUGUUCGACAUGUAGGUCUUCUGCAGGAUUGCGGAAGUUGAAUGAUCCGCUAUGGCUUUGACAUUUGCAUCUGUACAAGCCAGCACCAAGCCACGAGGUCGGGAGGAUUUAUCCAGUCGUUGCAUAGACUGUAGUGAUUUUAAAGGAUUUGUUUCUUAUAGGUACAGCGGAGUUCUGUGUUGACUGAACGGGACCUGACAUGUUGUGAGCUGCAAGGGUGAGACGUGAGCAUUCGACUGUCUGAACACUUAUAGAGAGGCGCCUUAUUCAGUGGCUAUGGAUCCUUGAUAUCUCAUGUCAUGGCGAUGGCUUCCAUCUUAUCUAUAUACUACCUAUAGACUGCUGAGGAAUCAUUUCUGCGUAGGAGCGAUACAUGAUCGCCAUAGGGAGAAUGGUGACUCGAUGUAACUAGUAUAGUGCAAGAGCCUGUCGAAGCAGCGCAGCAGGUGAAGAGCUAGUACGUCUGACGAUGAGACGCGGUGCUAUUGUUGCCGGAGCGUUGGUGAGAUUGGAUGUACACUAUCGCGAUGCAGACGAGAUCGCAUCUUAUCGUGCGGACGCUACUGUUCUAUAAUCGCUGGCGUAAGCAGUUGGGGACCCUACAAUAGGCUCUCGUCAUGCCAAGUAGAGCGUAGCGUGACCUUGGGUUCAACAGCAUCAUGAUUGUAUAUUCAUUAUGUAUCGACCUAAGUAGUUAGAUACAUUUAGAUGAUUCGGAGAUAUCUUAUUUGGUGGAGAUGCUUUAUGGUCUGUGCAUAUUAUAGACAAGAGCAUUCUUCGAUCUGGUAGCAUGGACACUGUCCGGUUAUGCAUUGGAGUGACACUCGAGGGAGGACACCUAUUACUCAGCAAUUAGGUACUGGUUGCGGCGUAGAGGUGUCAUGGCUAUUGACUGAGAUAGUCCAUUGGUGAGUUGGAUGUUGGUAACACGGGAUCAGAUGUAGUUGAUGGUUGUAAUUGGGCUAACGUCGAUUAUCAUUAGACGUAGGCAAUGUUAAUUGCAGCUGAGGUCGACAGUGAUAGUCGCAGCUUAGGCGUCCUAGUAACCGAUAUGUAGGCUACUGUAGCUUUAUGAUGUUCAGAUGUUCAGUUUAUUUUCAUGGAAAUUGUUCGUUACUCAUCACGCGCAUCUCUAGUCUGAGAAUAUGACGUAUGCUUGGACGCCCAUUAUACCGAAGAGCAUAGAGCGGAGAAGGUGAUAUGUACAGAGCAGAGUAGAUGAUCGAGGUUUUAAUGAAUCAUGAGCAGUAUCGGCCUUUGUCUAAGAGGUGACCAUCUGGUGUUGUAUGCAGCUCAUGGGAGCACCUGCCACCAGAACGAUGAGUUGAUGAUGUCAUAUUAAGCAUAGGCCGAGGUCAGCUCUGACGGAAACGUCAUUAGGUUAACGAGUAUGCGUGGCCCCAGUAGUUGAGUAGAUGACUAUAUAGCAAUGGCUUAGCACAGAGCAUAGUUUAGAGGAGAAGUAGGACAGUACUUCUGGAGAAUCGAGUGGUGGUCUGUGAUCCUUAAUCGCUUGAUCGUUAGAGGUGAUGUCCGAGUUAGGCCAGUUCCAAUUGAAUGAUACCGAGACAGGUGGAUCGGAGACGUAGAAGACUAUAUUGAGCUUGACGCUGAAAGAAGUGUAAUUCAUACUACUUUCGUCGUUAUGGUUCUGCAUAGGAUUGAAUGCUGGAUGUGUGUGUAGGAUUGGUUUAUCGAGUCAAGGGUAACAACAGCAAUACUGGUGACGGUAGUAAGAACAUAUGGUGAACAGAUUCCAUACGUCUUGCAAUCUUGAUAGGCGAGCGUGCAUGCUGAUAUUGGGAGUAUGCGUGAGGGAUGGCUGCUCUGGUAACUUCUCACAUCAGAUACAUUCACUUUAUAGACUAGCUCAGGUUAUGUUGUGUGGAAUUAUGCAGAGACUGAUACGUUUGGCGGUAUCAGUUAUCUUGUCCUACUAGCAAUAGAAUAAGGUCUCCGUUAACGCCGAGUUGUUUGCAUUCAGGCUCAAGUGUCGAGGCGUCAGAACAUAGAUCUCUUAAUGAUGUCCGAUAGUUCAUGGAUAGUUGAGGCGGGGGUCGGAUGUAUAAAUCAAGAUGUGACUGCCCAUGGGCGACGUGUAGAAAUAGAUUCCUUAUUAUGUCAUUUGGGGCGAGCUGUGGUACUCGGGUGGUCGGUCGUGAUCAGUGACAUCUGGAUUCGUUUCUGCGUGACAACUUUUCAUGCUGUAUUACACGUUGUAGGCUCACAUGACGUUAUGAUUUGAUUGAUAAUAUGACAUAUGGUCUUUAUUGAUACGAGGGUCCGAGUUAAGGAUAUCUGAGAUGCGAUUUCUGUUACAGUUGAAUCGGGUCAUAACGUUGAUACGGAUGACGUAGUAGCGAAAGGAAGGGUCAAGCGUACUUGAGUCGAGAUCCUCAAAUAUGUAGUAGAUGGUGAGUUGUGAAUGAAUUUGACGCUGAUGCAAUAUCGAUGAAUAUUAGCAAUUGCAGCACAAUAGACUAAUUCACACGCUCGCUGUCGACAAAGGUAAAAGGAUUAAUGGUGAGAGGAAGGCUAUUACUCGGAUGUGCUGAUUGUAUGCGUUCAUAGAGUAUUCUAAGGUCGCUAUCUAGUGCAUCGGGAGCGGAUCCGAUCACAAGCGCAGGUAAAUCGUUAAUGAGUAAUGAUUCUGAUAAGACUCUCCACAGAUGAGUUAGCGACGUCGAUGGCUAAGAAUGAUACGCGGCGCAGCAUAUCAAGAUUAGAUGUUCGCUGACGUCGCAUUCUAUACGGGCAGAUUACGAAUCAGACGUACUGUCCACUCUGAUGUAAGCUCCAUAUAAUACGGAUAGUUAGUGAAUCGAGCUAUCCUGCUCUCUGACUUGGUAAUACGGUAAGCCACUUCGUCAGAUUGGCCGCUGUAACUUACUUGUAUUAGGGAGGUGCUGACUAUGCACAUACCGUCAUCAUAAGUCGUGCGAGAGAGCCGUAUGAAGUAUCGACCAGUGGUACAAGAUGUGAGUGGAUAGCACUCGUCAUAUAGAAUCUCAUAAUUUUCGAAUCUAGGAUACACGGCCGUCGCGACGAUAUAUCAUAGUCGUUAUGUGGCAAUUCAAGCAGUUGCGCCGAGUAUUGCACGCAUCUACGCUUGGUUCGAUAAGGUAUGUGUCUAUUCACUGAGUAUGACUGGUUAUUGUUUUAGCGGGUGUAAUUCAAAAUAAACUCUUGAGAGAGUCGUAGUGCACUGCCAAGACCUGGAAUGUUAGUCGGAGAGACUGAGAGUAGAGCAGAUCUGCGAUCGCUGAGAGCGAGCGAUCGCUAAGGUGGAGAAUAAUGACUCUUAGUCGCUUGGCUGCGAGAGGACGAGGAGUGCUGCGAGCAGUCGCUAUAGAAGUGUGCCCACUCAACUCGUAUCAUAUAAGACUGUGUAUGAUGUUAACUGGUUCAUAUCUGUGUGCGAGAUGUCUCACUCUCACAUAUCGUCAGGACUGGCAUGAUAUUAGCGCUGCUACUGAUCACGUUGUGAAGAUCGUGAGCAGAGAUUCAUCAGUAUAUCGCAGAGCAUUGUUGUACGCAGUCUAUUAGCAGAGCUCGCGCGCGAGAGAGUAGAUUAUACACAUAGUCCGCUACCAGGACUAGAUAUGAUCGAUCACGCACGUACAAUAUAGUUAGUCCGCAGGGAAGAACACUAAUUAGGAUCACAAUGAGACUAAGUACGAACUCAUAGUCUUUCAUAACUGGCGUCGCUAGUGGGACGGGCUAGAGUAGAGCUAUUAGUAUGCAUUCUAUUGUUGCGAUAUCGCAUGUACCAUCAGACUUGGCAUCCAUUAGAUAGUACUCAGUGAAGCGCUACUACCGAGUAGGCCCAGAAGAAUAUAAGACUUAUGCUCGAUUGCUGCGAAAAGACGUCUCAGUGAGAGAAUGACCAGUAGGAGCUGUUGAGGUGUACUGCAGGAGGCCUCUUGCGCCAUCGGACUUAAUCAGCAGUCAUUGUUCCAGCAAGCAUGACCGCAAAUUACAAUGCGCGCUGUCGUGUUACGACGCCGUUCACGUGUUGCGAGGACGCGAGCUCGCACGACUAUGGUAUGCACAGCGAUGAGACGCUAUGGUAUCGAGUUGGAGUAGGGUAGACGAGCCGUCAGACCAGCACCGCUCUCGCGUGGCUGUAUGGUUAUUCAAAGAGACGCUGUAUUCCACUCAUCGAGAUGCAAGUAGUCUCUAUCAGAAGGGGCAUAGUGCGCAUCCUUGUAUGAACGCUAUCGCAUGAUCUGCGAGAUAACCAUUCGUAUAGUAGCUUGACGUAGUCCUGGUUGAGUAGAUUGUAGCGGAGGCUUCCUGCGGGAUGGCUGACACUGAUCGCACUCCACCUGGCGCGCGCGAAUGCCUGAUGUUCACAGCUUAACCUACGUAGGCUAGAAGUCCGUAUAUGUCCUAUCUCACGCUCUUUCUCCGGGUCAGUAUAGCGCUGAUAGUAUAACGUCUAUGGAGUUUUGAGCGACUUUAUUGAUGAGUGUGAUGACUCUGUGCGCAUAGUGGCUAUCAGAGCUCCUGAGGUGAGCGUAGUAUGUAUGGGAUUGAUAUGUUCGUCUUGCAUGACUGCUGCUGCUGCAUCCACGCGAGAGAGAUGAAUAGCGGUAUAGUAGAAUAUGAAAUUCGAGGCAGGCCUCACGUCAAACGCGCACGUGAUGAGGUGAAGAAUGUAAACGCGAUGUAAUAGCAUGAAAAUCAAAAAUUUAUCUGGAGUAUGGAGAUUGUGCACUUGCUCCUGUCUAUUCGCAUUCUCGUGACCGUGCUUGGUGAAAGACAAUAUUAUUGGUGUUGUGAGUCGAGAGGAUCAUCAUAUAGCCGCCUUGGACUGCCGCCAUUCUCCAGCUCAUGAGCAAGAGUAUGUAUCUGGAGUGAGCAGCAUUUUCAUAGUCGACGGGCAGGACUAAGAAUUAAGCUCGGGUGCUAUUGCCUAGUAUGCGUAUUAUGUGAGGAUAUUAUGUCUGAGACCCGCUGCAAAAAUUCGAGAUAGAUACUCACAUCAGGACGGACUGUUACAGUCAUCGCACAGACACGUAAUAUGUAGCCGUUCCUACGGAGGCUAGAGCAUCCAAAGGAAGUGGAGAGAGAGAGUGCUAUGUUAGGAUAAGGCACUGCCCACCCAGGUUAAAAAUUAGGAAAGCAUCUCCAGAAAACUCAGCUCGACCCGGUAUCAGAUUAUUAUGCACUUGGUGAUCAUUACGAUAGGCAGUCCGCUCUAGGAGAGCUGGACAUGUCUCGCCACUUAUAAAUGAACGAGUCAGGUCCGCUGGGAUGAUCAGAUAUAAGCAUAGUGGUAGUGAAGCAAUCAGAGUGAAGACAUGUCGAUUAGUGUAAUAUGACCAGUUGAGUCUUGGGUGUAGAUGUAGCGUAAGCGCUGAACCUAGUAAAAUUAGAUUCGGUAGUAGAUUAUGAGUCUUGUCUUGGAGUGAUCUAUCAGUGGAAUGGUAUAUGGAUAACGCUCGGCUCUGGAGGAUAAUCUGAGCAAGAUACGAGCCAGAGACAGCAACUGAUCUCUAGGUCACGGUGUGAGAGGAGAAGAAGAGUUUUUAUGUAGAUGAGAGUUAUCUAUAAAUGUUGUGGGGAUCUGUAUCUCAGAUGUCUCUGAUGAAGAGAUUUAUUAGUAAAUAAUCUGAUGCGAGUAUAAGGAGAGAGUUCGCAUGAGUCUGCACAUUUAUACCAUGACGCGUAGUCGACUGGAAGUAGUUGAGAUACAUAAGCGGAGAGAUAUAAAGAGAGUAGACCCGAGUGAGAGUAUAAAAAGACUAGGAAAGGUGUUCUUAGUCUCUUCUGAGUCGCUACUCGUAGCAUAGUGCUUGAGUGAGCAUUCUCUCCAUUAUUUCGACGCGAUAGAGCAUAGGUUAAUCCUGCUCCAUAUAUAGAGGUAUACUUAAUAUUCGGAGACUCGAUCAUUAGGGAUGUGUCACCAGUACAACGCGCCUUCUUGUAUAGAGUGUAAACACGUCUUAGUACAUGUCUGUUGCAUAUAUACGUUAUUAGAAGUAUGACGAUAUACUGAUUCGCAUCGCACUGAGACCGGUGGUAUCAAUCAUCCAGAAGGAUCACUAACGGGAUGGUCUAUCUGUUACGGUGCUAUGCUACUUUACGAGUAAGUAUGAGUAGUGAGUUACUGUAACAAGGAGAAUAAUAUCAGCGUGUGGCAGUAUCCGUCCAGUGAUAGUAAUGUAGUGCAGGACCCAUCGAUAGAUAGAGACCUCGGGACGAUACAUACUCAAUACCUUCGUAGAUGCUAUCGGUAGCUGUGUCGAUAAUCAUACUGUAGUUGGUGAUCAGCAGGAGAAAGCUAUCAGAUUUAUAGAUACCUUAUAUUAUGAGUCAUAUGUGUACGAUAGAGUUGGACUAGUUCGUGUGAUGUUUGACGCCACCGAGAGCCUGGGUUACGCACACGUUCCGCAGAUUAGUGACAGAGAUACUUUCGUGCGCGUGCGAUAUUCAGCAUCGUCGAGUUGUGCGUUGAUGAGCUCUUUCUGGGAGCAUUAGAAGUAAACUUUCGUACACCGAUAUAGGAGCGAGACUGUGGUGAUAGGCCAAAUAAGGGCCUGGUGUAACCUAUUGAUGUCGCACUCCGAAGAAGCACAAGACUAUAUAUGUGCUGUGCUAAUCUCAAUGCACCGCCGUUGAAAGAGUGUAAUGCUUGCAGUCCUAACGUCUGAAAACGUUGUCACAUAUCAGAGAAUAGCGCUGCGUGUGUAGCCCCAUUGUAGACGAAUGACUGUCUUCUGCAAGAUGUCAAAUCACCUUCAGUAGAAGUCAGUGGUUUUUAAGGUGAAAACCUAGACUUUCUUUCAUAAUUGUGUAUUUAAGCUGUACUCGGUGACACUAGAGCUGACUGUAGUAUCGUAGUUCAACAUUGCUGAACCGCAGCACCACUCAGACCGACGAUGACGCCCGGAAGCUGCUCGAGACAGAUGAGGUAUGCUGCGCAUCGGAUCGUGCUCGCAUACGAUGACAGGACGCGGAACCCUGGGGCGUAUUUGGUAGGUAUGUCUAAUAGGUGCCAGCACUAGAGGAGCAAGCGAGUUAUGUUGCAUCUGCUCUCAGUCUAAGUUGAAGAACGUCGUUUAUACGUAUGACACGGCUAUGCGAUCGUGAGGCGAACGAUAUAUUUCUGAGAGGACUGAUGGUAAAGUUAGUGAACUAAGGGACUGUACCGAUCGUUGGUCGAGGUAUUACUAGGAAAUAGGGAAGAGCAAAUCAGACGCUGGUUAGAGGUUUUAUUCGAUGCUGUGUCGAGUACUGCAGUGCUCUAGGAAGAGUACUGUGCAUGAGUAGGAUAUAUGUGACAAUUGUAUGUCUCCGCGAUCUCUGGCUGAAGGUAGAGUGUCGGAGAGCCGGGAAGAAGGAACGCAUCUAAGUGAUCAAGGUGCAAUGAUAGGUGAGCAGAUAUAUGGUCUUUGUUGUGAGGAUGCUCCAGCGUACCGCUAUUAGAAGAUUGAUCAAUCUUCGACAUGACUUGGGAGAGGAGUUUUUCACAGGAAUAUAUCAUCUCUUAGACGCACGGGUAACGAUGUUCACUUAUAAUGAAAAAACCAUAUUUUUAUACUAAAAAGUCAAUCCUGGUACUAUUAACUUUACCCUUUAUUUUGUCCUUAUCGUUAAAACUCAAAGUUUUCAAGCCCUUUUCAUUAGUUUUCCUUUGAUUUUAUGGUAGAACAUCAACUUUAUUCAAAGACAUCCUUUGAUCUAUAUAUGAACAACUCCAUAACUAAAAGUUAAAACAUAUAACAAUGGUAUAUGGUUUGAAAUACAAUCAUGGUGUUAUUAUAGAUGUAGCAUAUGUGGCAUGCUUUGAAAUACGGUCAUACUGUUAUUCUAGAUGUAGCAUAUGUGGCAUUAGUGCAUGCGUACAAAAUUUAUCCUAGGUUAAGCUGGACCACGUUGAUGGUAUGUAUAGUGGGCAUAUUUCACAUGCAGGCAGUGGAAAAACACACCUUUGAAGCACAACUCCACACUCUCACCACAAGACGGAUUGUGGAGAAACGAGGCCAGCGAACUUCUUCACUCUAUAUAACUGGCGACAUACAAAGCUCACUUAUUCAUAUCGAAUCCAAACUUCAAAACCAAACUCCAAAUGUGCUCUUGUUCUUUCUUUGAUUUCAAUUACAGUCCAAACUAGGGUAAAAAAGAAGAAGAUAUGCUUCCCCUUUCAAAAUUGAUGAUAAGUGCCUCGUGGUGUAAGAAGCAUGGAGAUGAUGACGAUGUUGGUGAUGACAGAUACAAUUAUGCCCCCACAACAUGUAUGGAAGGUGUUGACAAUGACGAUGAUUUGGAUUAUGGCUACGCUCCAGCAGAAUCCAUAGAAGGUGAUGACGACGACGACGAUGACGACGGUAGCUAUGAUUAUGCACCUGCUGCAUAAGAAAUAAUCAGUACUAGUUUUCUUCUUCAUGUUUUUAUGCUGGCUAAUUAGCUUUUUGAUGAAUUGAGGAAUUAUAAUGUACUAGUAGGAUUACUCUAUCCCUUCGAGAUUUUUUGUCAAGGGUCGAAUUAUUUACGAUGUACCUUUAAUUUAAGCAAAUCAGUGUUGUCUCUUAUGACAUUAAUAUAUGGUUAAAUGGAGGAUGCGUAUAUUUGAAUUAACAAGUAAAAUUAUGCAUGGUUAACUAGUUAUUAUUAGGAUGGACAAGUAAAAUUCUGCAUGGUUAACUAGUCAUUAUUAGGAUAGACUGUUUCUUUCCUAGCAUACUAAGAAGUAUCAUAAUAUAUAUGGAGAGGCAGAUAAUGGAAUUUAGAGACUAAUUAGUGGUCACGGGAGUGCAGAUUUGUCUGUUUAUCUAAAACACAGCAUGUUACAUCAAGUAUUAUAAUACAAUUGGUUUGAAACUUGAAAAAAAAACAAAUUUAAACCACUUAUAUUAGGACAUUUGAUUUACCGGCACAAUAAAAAAUUUCUCAUGAAAAAGGGCACCUUAAGAGUACAUAAGCACGUGGUACUAAUCUUUUAUAUAUAAAGCCGGAGGCUUAGGGCUGAUUUGGUAUUGCUGUACUUUGAAAAAAAAAAAACUAUUUCUGCUGUGCUGUGAGAAUAAGCAACUGUGAAGUAAAGCAGCAGAGUGUUUGGUAAACUUUUUUUGUAAAAAUGAUUUUGAAAAAAAAAAUAGUGUUAUAGUGUUUGGUAAACUUUUAUGUAAAACAGAUGUGAAAAAAAUCCAGUUUUUCAAAGCUGGGUUUUGCAACCUCUUGUUUUUGGCUUUUUUUUCAUCCAAAACUGUGAAGAAAAAAAAGCUAAAACUAAAUAUUUAUCAAACAAAAAAAGCUCUCAGCUUUUUUUUGUACCAACUUUUUUCAGAAUCCUCUCAAAUCAGGCUCAAUUUGGUGUCACCGGCUUGGACAAAAAUAAUUGAACAGAACUGUCCUCAGCCAAAAAAAUCAAAAGCAGGAAAAAUGAAUGCAUAAAAUAAUCCAAGGGUAAUUUUGUAAAUUUAUUUUAUACUUUAAUAAUGCUCUGCGUGUUCUACAGUCUUCCACACCUCUCGACCCAGUUUCAUUCAUACCUUCUUGUCCUACUUUCGGAUUAGGUUUCUUUAUCUCUCAAAUCCUAAUUUUUCUCUCUUUCUCAUCUCAUAUCCGUACUCGCGCUGAUCAGUGUGAACCCCAGAAAUUUAAGCACUCAGCUUCGCCAUCUCUCUUCUAUCUCUGCUCUCUUCGAUCUCUGCCUCGCUCUCUUCAAUCUUUGCUUCGUGAUCUCUUCCAUCUCUGCUUCCUCCGUGAUUUCUUUUUUUUCUGGUCGACUUCUAUUCGAAUUGAAUACCUUCUGCAGCUCUCUUCCCCAAAUUUCACCAGCAACUUUGCUCCAGAAUUUUCCAAUUGAAAAGGCCCGGAUCAUCAUCAUUUAUUCCUCAUCACCACAGGUACCUUCUACACCUAUUACGUGUCAAAAUCUGCUUCAAAUUUGUGAUUUGAUAUAAUUGGAGUUUAGAAAAAGCUUGAUAAUUUUGAGGAAUCCAAUUUAACGGUUAGAAAAAAUUUCACUAAUUUUCUGGAUUCGUGGGUUGGGGGGGAAGAUUAGAAUUUUUUUUAAAUUUUUUUUUCUGGAUUUGUGGUUUUUUAUUUAUUUAGGGAUUAGAAAAUUUGUCCAUCAGAACUUGGAUGUCGUCCUCGGAGAAGCCGUAACGGUCGACGAGGCAUCUGUGCAUUCACCUGACGUCGUUUAUGCAGCCUUUGAGCUCUGCCUUCGUUCCUUGGUAGUUGCAUCCUAUCAGCACUGCCUUCUGCACUAUUUCUGAAGAUUUUCGAUCACUCUAACUCUAUUUUUUGUUUUGUUUUUGUUUGUGAGAGGAGGAGAAUUGCAUUUUGAUGCUCUGUUUUUAUUGCCUUAAAAAUUAGAGUUUUAUUAAUUAUUUAUUCCGGAAUUAAAAUAAUAUUUUAAUAUACAAAUCUUUUGUUUAAUUAGUACACAAGUUGAAUUAGUUUUUUAAAUUGGUUUUGGUUUGGGUUGGUGCCGGCAAAGAAGAACAAGAUAAGACUUGGAUGCACCUCCAGGCUUUUAAUUGCAUACCAAUUGCUGCAUGAUAUAUUUUGCCAUAUUGGCAAGAUAUUGUGCCAAUGACUAUCUAUCUUUUAAAAUUGGCACAAGUUAAAUUUAGAGUUAUCUUGAAAAUAUUUGAAGUAUUUUAAGCAGUCUUGAAUAUACCCAUAACUUGGCUGUUUAAUUCAUGUUUGUACUGUCUUUUGGCUGAACGCAGGCGCCACGACCGCCUCUCAAAUACGUUUUUCUAUUUGUGUAAGCCUUUUCGCUUUUUCUGAAAUCAAAUUUCUUUCUUUGUAAUUUGCGUCUUAGGUGGGAGACUUGGUCUCUGGAAAUUUUCUGUUUUUCGAUUGUGUUUCUUGCUGGAAUUUGAAUGCCAAUAUGGUUAUUCGUAGACAUUUUUUUGGUAUUUAUAGGAUACUGAUUAUAUUAUGCAUUGCAUGGUAGGUGGGAGGUAAUAUUUGGGCGUUUUGGCACCUGGUGUUUCCAACAAUGGGGAUAAGAUAAAAGAAAAUUGGACGUUUUCAAUUUUUGGCCGAACUUAUCUACUAGAGGGAGACCAGGUGUUUGACUAAACACAUCUUUUUUGUAAUAAUGCUUUUACAUGUUUUUAACUGCACUUUUUUAAGCAGUAUUAGAAACUUAGGAAGUAUAUAAAAGAAUUCAAUUGUAUUUAUUUGUUAAUUUUUUUUUUAUGGGAUUAAGCUCUCCCUCAGUGAAAAAAAUGGUAGAAUUUAACUAUUAGGUUUGUGGAUUUUGAACAGACGAGGCUCCCACUGGAAAGUACAUAUUUGGAUAUCCAGGACUCCACAGACAUAUGGUGAAAGACUGAAGCUUUGCUCUUCUUUGCUGAUUUGGGUUGAUAUUAUCAAGUAUGAUUUGUUUUUAAAUUUUUUUGCUACCAAUUUAGUAUCAAAUUUUGCGUUUGCCUGGAAUAUAUGCAUUUUAUAAUGUUGGGGACUCACAAGUGUUAUGGGUACUAAAUUUUGUCAACCGUCUGUUAAUUCAGAUUCAUAUUGGGAUAUUCAUGCUUUGAAGAAUUAAUUAGUGGUAUGAGUGAUUGAUAAGCACUCAACCCAGCAAAAAUCUUUGCUUUUCAGCAAAAUUAGGAGAGCCUAUAAAAAUGGCUAUUCGGAAUGAAAAGCUGUUCCAAGCAUAUUGAAAGGGAAAGAACAAAGAUGCAUUCAUACAACCAUCUUAUUCUACCAUUGUAGCAUAAAGUUGCACAUAUUAUUUGGUUUGUAACAAUGAUGAUGAUAGAAUUAUUUGUGUUUUUUAGUAGUAUGGGAAUUUGUAGUCAAUUGAAGGUGACGUUAGCUUCUCCUCAACUAAUGUUUGCCCUGUUCCUUUUACUUUUAUGUGUACCUAAAAACCAUUACCCUCUUUCUUUUUUUCGAAUUAAAAAACAAAUAAAAAUAAAGUAGUGUUUAAUUUUUACUGUUGUUUGAUUUAGUUCUCAACAGCAUUCGUGGUGUUUUAGUGAUUCACUAGUCACUACCCGUUUAAUAAAACUAAUAUUUUAAUUUUAUGGAUUUUUGGCGUCUGAUUUUGGUUUUUGAUGUUUUCUCAGUGAUCGACUUCUUUGGUGUUUAUUUUUUGAUGUUUUCUCAGUGGCACGGUGACUGCCAGAAUUACUGGGUUUUCGAUUUUAUUAGAAUCAAUUUUUAAGUUGCCGGGUCUGUAUCCUUUUUGGUGAGUUUUGUUUUAAUCUCAUAAUCUUUGUUUCUUUCAUCGCUAAAUUUUGAACUUAAAACAUGCAGACUCUAAGGGACACCAUCCAUCAAGAGUAUCGUGAUGUUGUUGAGAGGCGAGUUUUUACAGGUUUGAACCCCUUACUUGCAGUGCAUCAGUGGUUGCUAUUUCUGGAGCUUCUACUUGAAUUUCCAUGAUCUGAUUUUAUAGUUGAUUUCUCUUGCAUUUUGUCAAUGUCAGUGAUGGCGCAAGAGCUGACGAAGAGGUAAAACUUAUUGCACUGUUGAAAUUACGGUAUAUCUAUACCACUGUGAAAGCUCAUUUUCUAAUUAUUUAACAUUGUACAGACAAUUGAAAGAUUAAUCGAGACAGGAGACAGUGAAUUCCAGAAGGCAAUCCAAGAACAAGGGCGAGGCCAGGUUUGUCAAAUUUCCUUUUUUAUUCUCUGCCCCAAAAUAAGCACUUUUUACUAUCAAAAUUGUGCAUUCUCUCACAAACUUGACACAUUAUUUGACAUCUUGAAACAAUUAAUUUUAAGCUCCUAACUCUUCUACUUUGGGUUGUUGAAACAUUGAAUUUUCUGAUUAAGAUUGAUCAUUUCCAAAAUUGUGUAUCAAAAUGUAGAUAAUAGACACUCUAGCCGAAAUUCAAGAGCGACAUGAUGCUGUUAGAGAUCUUGAGAGAAAGCUUCUCGAUUUACAACAGGUAUCUUCUUAGUUUGUUCAAUGAUGUGUACUCUCUGAUGGAAAUGAAGUUGCUAUAUAAUAUAGAUGUCUAGCAUAGGCCUUACUUUUUAGAGUUCACUUUACAAUUUCGCAUUGCCAUAUUGAAUAUAAUAACAUUAAUCUAUUGAAUCUUGCUGCCUGACAUUCUACAAGAAAGUGAAGGAUCGGUUAGAUCAUUAAGUUGUGUCAUGAUGUGUUAGUCUGUGUCCGUCAUGUAGCUCAUAAGAAAACCAAGUUAUGGUCCACUUUUAAUGCCACAAUUCAUUGAGGCCAACCAGGAGAAUAGCUGCAAACUAAAAGGAAAACUUUCUGUUUGUGUUUCGCCAUGGGUAUAUGAUAUGUGUUAAACACUCUCUCUUAUGCACAGAUAUUUCUGGAUGUGGCGGUGCUGAUUGAUGCACAAGGGGACUUGCUUAACAACAUAGAAACCCAGGUAAAUACUACAAUCUGAAAGUGCGAUGAUCCCAUGAAUUUCUCACGUUUUAAGCCAAAAAAAAAAAAAAAAAUAGAACUUGAUUUGGAAAAAACGCGAUGUGGAUUUUUCUGCAAUUUUUUUGGGUUACUAAUAGUGUUGGCCUAAUUUAUUUAUCGUUUGUGUGUGACUAAUUUACUUCAGAGAUGUGAAAAAACAAUUUUUUCAAUCGAUAUAAUGUGAUCAGUUCCUUUGACAAAUGCAGGUAUUUGAAAAAUUUCAACUCUGCAAGUUGUGAAAAAAAAGGGCUUCGAAAUACUGUGCUUUCACGUCUCGGCGUCUUUCCGUUUAUGUUUCAAGGAUUUCUACACUAAAGGUGAGUGAUCUAAAAUUUGGUAAUUGUUAACAUCAAAUUUUAAUUAUCUGUUUUCGUUCUGUUUUUUAAGUUUGAAUAAACUUGGGUAUUCCUUUUAGCUUUAAUCAUGUUUAAAUUGAAUAUGAUCAACUGCUUGUAGUUACUUUAAGACCUUAUAUUAAGUAUUAACUAUUAAACCGGGGUCUCUCCUUUUCUCUUUGGAAGUAUUUUCUAGGUAGAAAAUUCUAUGUGUUUCUUAUAUUAGAGAUCCGUAGGCGACUAGUGUAUAUGAAAAUUGAAAUGAUGUUUAUCGUAUGAUUACACGAGUAAUAGUUUAACCACUUAUUGAAAUUGACCAAAUUUCAGUGUUUUUCAAAUAACAUGGUUUGUCUAUUACCACACAUUUCGGAUUUGGUUGAAUUUUAGUUUACUUCAUAUUUAAAGAGUGAUCUUAAAAAUAAAAAGUUUAAAUCAUGGUUACAACAUGCGGAAUGAGAAACAAAAUAAAAAAGAGGGAGAAAAUUUAAAUGUGAAAGUUGCUAGCAUGUGUUCCUAAGAGGAAAGCUGACAAUUAAUUGUUUCUACCAUAUAUUGAAAAGCAAAUAUAGCUUUUUCUUUAAUGUGGAUCUUUUGCAAAACUUGAAUCUAGCCGUUGAUCAGAUAGUGGCAUCGUGAUUUUCCACUGGAAACGUCCUUACCUUGGUUUUUUUUUCUUUCAAAAAGCAGCUCCUACUUUUCCACCGUCCUAUUACAUGUCGGUAGGGUUACAUGACCAUUUUUGUCUCCCUGGGGCCUGGACUGAAGCUGCUUUGCUUUCAGAUGAGACUUAAGGAGUAUUACACUCAUCAAAACAAUUUCAAGUCAAUAAUUGAAUCACAGGUCAAGUCACCACAGAGGGAUCCAGAUAGCAGUUUGGUCCAUUUCAUCUCAUUUUAAUGGACGCGGAUGACUUUAGCUUUUGUUGAAUGAAGGAGCCUGACUUGAGUUUAGGUAUUUCAGUAUCAUCGGUUCGGCAGCACAAACACAACCACUCCAUUUUUCAGUCAUGAUCUGAACCACUGCAGUGCCAUAACAAUGGAUACCGCCAUGACAGCCCACGAAGCCUCCUCUUCAUCCUCCUCCAAAUCAAAACUUUGGAAUUACGAUGUGUUCUUGAGCUUUCGAGGCGAAGACACGCGCAAGGGCUUCACAGGCCAUCUCCACGCGGCAUUAAAAGACAGGGGAUACCAGGCUUAUAUGGAUGAGGACGAUCUAAAAAGAGGGGAAGAAAUAAAAGAGGAACUGUUCCGGGAAAUCGAAGGGUCGAGGAUCUCCAUCAUUGUCUUCUCAAAGAGGUAUGCGGAUUCAAGUUGGUGUCUUGACGAGCUGGUGAAGAUCAUGGAGUGCAGAUCCAAACUGGGGCGACAUGUUUUGCCAAUAUUCUAUCAUGUUGAUCCUUCACAUGUCAGGAAGCAGGACAGAGAUUUAGCCGAAGCAUUUCUGAAGCACGAAGAGGGCAUCGGUGAAGAAACAGAUGGCAAGAAACGUGAAGCUAAACAAGAAAGGGUAAAGCAAUGGAGAAAGGCUCUUACAGAAGCUGCAAAUUUGUCUGGCCACCAUCUUCAUAUCACUGAUAAUGGGUAAUCAUUCAGCUGCUUUUCAAGAUUUGAAACAUUUUAGUGAAAUGACUUAAAUCUCUCAUAUAAUUAACAUGCUUAAUUAACAUUUCACAUGAGCUAAACAUUAAUUAACAUACUUAAUUAAUACACCUUAAUUUCUCAUACAAAACCAAACCGUAAUUGGAAUUUAAUUAAUAGAAUUUUAACGAAAAGCUUAUGGUACUGUUUACUUAAAAAAAAAUCACAUUUUUAACGAAAAACCAGAGUUUUCCUUUUAAUUAAUGAAUGCUUUCGUUCUUUUAUUCAAGUUGGUCACAAAUCACAUACUAGCUAGUAGCUAGCUAGUGUGUGUGUGGGUGUGUGAAGGAAAGAAGAAAAGAAAAUUGUUUAUGUACUACUGAGGCUUCAUUGAUUCCCAAUAAUGUUUACGAAUUCAAUUUUCAGGCGCGAAGCAAUCUUAUUAGAAAAAUUGUUGACAAUAUUAUUACGAAAUGGCUUAUGAGCGCAAACAAACUAAGAGUGGCCAAGCACCCGGUUGGUAUCAAUUCUCGUAUUCAAGAUAUUAUCAGUCAUCUUUCAAGUGGCGGAUCAAAUGUUGUCAUGGUUGGAAUUUGGGGGAUGGGUGGAUUGGGUAAAACAACAGCUGCCAAAGCCAUUUAUAAUCAAAUUCAUCAUAAGUUCCAAUUCAAAAGUUUCCUGCCCGACGUUAGCAACACUGCGAGUAAACGUGGUCUAGUUUAUUUGCAAGAAAAAUUUAUUUCUGACAUCUUAAAAACGAAGUCUGAAAUAAGCAGUGUUGAUGAAGGUAUCGGUAUGAUAGAAGAUCAAUUUCGACAUAGAAGGGUACUUGUCAUCAUGGACAACAUAGAUGAAGUGGCCCAAUUGGAUGCAUUAGUUGGAAAUCAUGAUUGGUUUGGUCCAGGAAGUAGAAUUAUCAUAACAACAAGAGAUGAACAUUUAUUAAAGCAAGUGGAUAAGACGUAUCCCGCUCAGAAAUUGAAUGAACGAGAAGCUUUGGAGCUCUUUAGUUGGUAUGCCUUUGGAAAUAAUUGGCCUAAUGAAGAAUAUCUUGAACUCUCAGAAAAAGUUGUUUCUUACUGUGGAGGUUUGCCACUAGCCCUUGAAGUUUUAGGUUCUUUUUUGUUUAAAAGAUCCAUAGCAGAGUGGAAAAGUCAAUUGGAGAAAUUGAAAAAAACUCCUGAUGGAAAAAUAAUAAAACCCCUAAGAAUAAGCUUUGAAGGGCUAGAUGAUACACAGAAGGCUAUAUUUCUUGACAUAUCUUGUUUCUUUAUUGGAUGGGAGAAGGACUAUGUAACAAAAGUAUUAGAUGGAUGUGAAUUUUUUGCAACAAUAGGGAUCAGCGUCCUCUGUGAACGAUGCCUUGUAACUGUUGAAGACAACAAGUUGAAUAUGCAUGAUUUGUUUCGAGAAAUGGCCAGAGUAAUCAUCACUGAAAAAUCUCCUGGUCACCCUGGAAAAUGGAGUAGGUUGUGGAAUCCUCGAGAAGUUAUUGAUGUAUUGACAAAUAAAUCUGUAAGUCCAUUCCCAAUAAAAUUUUGGAUUAAUCAAUCAUACAAAAAAAGCAUAUACAAACCAGAUAUGUCUAUUAUACAUUACACAACAUUCAUGCGUAAAUAUAUGCGGUUGCACAAGGAAAACUCAAUUAGCCAACAAUAGUACUUGCAUAUAUUUAACGUACGUGAUUUUUCGUAAUGAAUAAUAAUACAUGUUAACAUAUGCAAAUAAUCCAUUUCCUCACUAUAACCUUUUGUUGUUAACAGGGAACUGAAGAAGUUGAAGGACUUGCUCUUGAUUUCCUUCCUCCUUGGUUUUCAAUCUCUUAUUGGUUAUCAAGCUCUAAAAAUGCUAGUUUCAGUACAGAGGCAUUUGCCAAUAUGAAGAAACUGAGAUUGCUUUACAUCGAAAACGCGAAGCUCAGUGGAGAAUACAAACAUCUUCCCAAAGAGUUAAUAUGGUUGUUCUGGCAUGGAUUCCCUUUAAAUUCCAUACCAGAUGACUUAUUAAAUGAAGAAAAACUAGUUGUUUUAGACAUGAAGUUUAGCGAACUGGUACAAGUUUGGGAGGGUUCCAAGGUAUAAUCAAUUACACGUGAUGAUGUUCUGUUUCUAUUUGUUUUAAUGAAUAUUUUCUUUUGGAUAUUAAUUUCCAUUUUCCUUGGUUUUGUGCAACAGUCACUUCAGAAGUUGAAAAUCGUUGAUCUCACUUGGGCCGAUUCCUUAGAAAAAUCACCAGACUUUUCACAAGUCCCAAAUCUUGAAGAGUUGAUAUUGGAAGGGUGUAAAAGAUUGCCCGAGAUUCACCCCUCCAUUGGUCAUCUGAAAAGACUUUCUUUGGUGAACCUUAAAAGUUGUUCCAAUCUUCGUUCUCUUCCAAGGGAUUUCUAUAAGUCAAAAUCUGUUGAGACUCUUCUUCUUAAUGACUGUUCAGAAUUCAUUGAACUGCAUGAGGAUAUAGGGGAGAUGAUAUCGCUGAGAACACUUGAAGCAGAUGAUACAGACAUAAGAGAAGUACCACCUUCCAUAGUAAGAUUGAAGAAUCUCACUCGUUUAUCCCUAUCAGGUGUGGAAAGUAUUCAUUUACCACAUUCGUUACACGGCUUAAACUCUUUAAGGGAAUUAGAUCUCUCAUGUUGCGGAUUAGCUGAUGAUGAAAUCCCUAAGGAUCUUGGGAGUCUAAUUUCCUUACAAUAUUUGAAUCUUGAAGAGAAUAAUUUUCAUACCCUACCCAGCCUCCGUGGUCUUUCAAACCUUGAAAUGUUGUUGUUAGGUGGAUGUAGAAAUCUUCAUCCAGUCCCUGAUGUACCACCAAAUGUGAAAGUUCAGCAUGAGUUGUAUCCUGGGAUCAAUUUGUGCAAUGUUAUGUAGGCAGAGAAGAUUGGGAGGAGCUAAUAUAUGAAGACUCUUUUCAAGCUUUUACUUUGGAGUUUGAGGUUCUUUGGGGCUCUUGAAGCAGAUUCAACAGCCAUAAGACAAGUACCACCUUCCAUAGUAGGAUUGAAGAAUAUCACUUUUAUCUCUGAGUACUGUGCCUAUUCAUUUGCCCUAAUUACCUGAUGAUGCAAUCCCUAAGGAUCUUGGAGGGAAUGAUGUUCAUACCUUACCCAGCCUCAGUGGCCUUUCAAAGCUUGAAACAUUGAGGUUAAAUGGAUGCAUAUAUCUUCAUACAAUCCAUGAUUUACCAACAAGUUUGAAAUUUCUGUAUGCCCUUGAUUGCCCUGCAUUGGAAACAAUGCCCAAUUUUUCAGAAAUGUCAAAUAUGAGAGAACUGGAUGCAAGUGAUUCGCCCAAAGUCAUUGAGGCUCCACGCUUGGAUAGGUUAUUAAACCCCAUGACAUGGAUUGAUAUGACAAGGUUUACCAAUGUCACAGCUGAUUUUGGCAAUAACAUUAUACAGGUAUCUCUCUCCCCCCUCCCUGUCUCUCCCCUAAGUUAUAAUUGCCUUCCUAUUGUACGCAUGCAGAUUCCUAUGAUUUUUCCAGAACGUAGUUGUUUUGAAUUUUGAAGAUAUAUUGCAUUCAGAAACAUUUCAAUAUUACAAGAACCGAUAUAAGAUGCAUCCAAUGAUUCGAGAAAUAGAAUUCGAAUUCGCAGAAAUGCAAAUGCACCAACAUUUUCACUUUACGAGUGCAACCAUACUUAAUAUUCAACACUGGAUAUUACAUAAUCAAGUUCUAGUAAUUCAAGAAGGCCAUACCUCCACUCACUCUGAGAUACAAAGGCAUCUGUUUCUUCUUCCUUAGGGUUUUCAUCGGCAAGACUAGCUUUGAUUGGGGAAGCGUCAUUUUUAUAGUCCGUAAUAAUUCUCUUCUCACUUUCUUCACUCAACAUUUUUGGUCUGCAUAAAGAACAUUACUACGUUUAGCUUCGUAAAGUUAUAUUUGUAAGGUGAAAAAAAAAAAGCAGAAAUUUUCUAAAACGAUUUUGAGACAAGGAAGACUUACAACUGAUUUAGUUACUUUAAGAUUUUUGGCUGGAUUUUCCUUCUUUAAGUGCUGAGUUACAUGCUAAAUUUCUGAUAUGAGCGUUUCGAGAUUGACUGUCGCAGUAGUUGGUUGCCGAGGUAUUGACUUGAAACAGUCUUCUCACCUUCCUCAAACUGUUUCUUCAGAGCGGCCUGCAAAGGUCUCGAGGGGUACUCCUCGAUUCCCAUGAGAUUGGCAAUCAGACUCGGCCCUUUCCCUGCCUUUUGCGAAGCAGCUGUUGUUGCUGCAAUGGUGGAGUCACUGGUGGUAUGAAACAUAGAACUUUGGGUUGAGCAGGUGGAGGGAGUAUCCAAGCACGAAUCCAUAUAUCGAAAAUAGUUGGGUGAAAUGGUAGGUCCAUACCAUUCUCCAAGUUCUUUAUUAAUGUGAAUGUUUAUGUUAUUCUGAUUAGGAACUUAAGUGAAUAAAUCGUUUUCGAAUUUGUAAACAAAUAAUUGCUUACAAAAUAAUGAAUACUGUUAAACAAAAAUAAUUGCUUACGGUGGAGAAUAACUAUAAAUAUUAUUGUAAAGUGAAAAUUUAAAUAUUUUAAUUUAUAUAAAUCGAUAGGUUGCUAUUGCAUUCGAAAAUGGAUCCGACGAGGAUCCUUUUCUUGGAGAUCCUGGAGAUUUCGUGAUCGUGGUCGUUCAUCGUACAUCGUGUGGUCAGAAAUUAUUUGAAAUUUAAAAUUUAAUAUUAAAUAUAAAUAAUACUUCACGAAAACUGACCACACGAUAUACGAUGAACGGCCACAAUCACGGGAUCUCAGAAUCCCCUGAAAAAAGAUCCGGCGAGGAUCAUUUUCCAUUGCAUUUGGUGCCUAUAUCAAAUCACUAACUUGAACCAUGCCCUUUAUUUGGGUACUGUGCGUUUUUCUUAUUUGAAUUAGUAGGGUUUGUAUUUUUGUUUUUCAAAUUUGAGUUUGUGUGAUUUCAUUUUGAUAGAUAUUUCAGGAUUUCAGAAAGCAGGUGUGGUUUGAUCAAUUAAAGCCAACCUGAAUUACAGAGGUCUAAUUACAGGUACACUACAAAUUACCUCACUUUUCUACCGAGAGUCUGCUGCUUUUUAAAAAAAAAAUCACUUAUUUGUCCACAAAAAAAAAUCAGUUCCACUAGAAAAUGCAUUUCAUCUACAUUUUGUUUUUAUAUUAACAAUAUAUAUUUCUUCUAAUUAGUUAAUUCCUGCAAAUAGUAAGUCACUGCAAAUCUGCAGCGCCAUUUGUAUUUUCUUACAAAUUGUGCUUUCGGCAUGGAGCAAAACUUAUUAAGAAAAUUAUUUAUGAGAAUCUUUGGAAAUGGCUCCCUAGCACAAAAAAAUUACCUAUAGCCAAGAAUCCAAUUUGAAUCAAUUCUCGUGUUCAAGAUAUUAUCACUUAUCUUUCAAGUGGUGGAUCAGAUGACGUUGUCAUGGUUGGAAUUUGGGGGAUGGGAGGACUGGGUAAAACAACAGCUGUCAAAGCCAUUUAUAACCAAAUUCAUCCUAACUUUGAAUUCAAGAGUUUCUUUGAUGACGUUAGCGACACUUCAAGUAGACAUGGUCUGGUUUAUCUACAAAAAAAACUUAUUCCGGACAUUUUGAAUCCAAAGUCUGAAAUUAACUUUGAAUUCAAGAGUUUCUUUGAUGACGUUAGCGACACUUCAGGUAGACAUGGUCUGGUUUAUCUACAAAAAAAAAACUUAUUUCGGACAUUUUGAAUCCAAAGUCUGAAAUAAGCAGUGAUGUUGAAGGCAUCGGUCGGAUAAAAGAUAAAUUUUCACAUAGAAAGGUACUUGUCGUUAUGGACAACAUAGAUAAAAAGGAACAAUUGAAUAUGCAUGAUUUGCUUCGAGAAAUGGCUAAAGUAAUUAUUUCUGCAAAAUCUCCUUGUCACCCUAAAAAUGGAGUAGGUUGUGGAAUCCUCAAGAUGUCACCAAUGUAUUGACAAAUAAAUCAAUAAGUAAAUUCCCAAUUCAAUUUUGGAUUAAUGCAUCGUACAAGAAAAGCAUAUAUGUAACCCUCGCAUGUCAAUUAUGCAUUAAACAACAUUCAUGUGUAAAACGAUUCACCAUGGGUGAUUUUGCGUAAUGCAUAAUAAUACAUGUAAACAUAUGCAAAUAUACCGUUUCUUACCACUAUAAUUUUAUUUUAUUUUUGGUUAAUAGGGAACUGGAAAAAUUGAAGGACUUGCUCUACAGUUCCCUCAUCCUUCGUUAUCAAGCACUUGCCAAAAUGAAGAAACUAAGAUUGCUAGUUUAAGUAAAAAAGCAUUUGCCAAAAUGAAGAAACUGAGAUUGCUUCAGCUCAACUUCGUAGAGCUCAAUGGAGAAUACAAACAUCUUCCCAAAGAGUUAAUAUGGUUGUCCUGGUACGGAUGCCCUUUAAAGUCCAUACCAGAUGACUUUUUUGAUCAACCAAGACUAGUUGUUUUACAGAUGCAUUGGAGCAAAUUGGUACAAGUUUGGGAGGGUUCCAAGGUACAAUGAAUUACAGCUGAUGAUGUUCUGUUUCUAUUUGUUUUUUGGAUUUCUUCUCUCUUUUUUAUAACAUGUUCAUUUCGGAUAUUAAUUUCAAUUUUCUUUUGAUUUUCUGUAACAGUUGCUACAUAACUUGAAAACCGUUGAUCUCAACUUUUCCUAUUACUUACAGAAAUCACCGGACUUUUCACAAGUCCCAAAUCUUGAAGAGUUGAUAUUGAAAGUUUGUACUAGUCUGUCCGAGAUUCACCCCUCCAUUGGUCAUCUUAAAAGACUUUCUUUGGUGUACCUUACAGGAUGUCAUAAGCUUAUUUCUCUUUCAAGGGAUUUCUACAAAUUGAAAUCUGUUGAGACUCUUUGUCUUGGUUACUGUUCAAAAUUCAGACAAAUGCAUGAGGAUAUAGGGGAGAUGAUAUCACUGAGAACACUUGAAGCAGAGUAUACAGGCAUAAGAGAAGUACCAUCUUCCACGGUAGGAUUGAAGAAUCUCACUCGUUUAUCCCUAACCAGUGUGAAAAGUAGUCAUUUGCCCUAUUCGUUACAUGGCUUAAACUCUUUAAGGGAAUUAAAUCUCUCACGGUGCUAUUUAGCUGACGAUGCAAUCCCUAAGGAUCUUGGGAGUCUAAUUUCUUUAUAAGAUUUGAAUCUUUCAAGGAAUGAUUUUCAUACCCUACACAGUCUCAGUGGUCUUUCAAAGCUUGAAACUCUGCGGUUAGACGAAUGCUUUAACCUUCAUACAAUCCCAGAUUUACCAACAAAUUUGAAAUUUUUGUUGGCGCAUAGAUGCCCUGCAUUUGAAACAAUGCCCAAUUUUUCAGAAAUGUCAAAUAUGAGAGAAUUGAAUGUAAGUGAUUCACCCAAAGUCAUUGAGGUUCCAGGCUUGGAUAAAUCAUUAAACUCAAUGACAUGGAUUAAUAUGAAAAUGUGCACCACUCUCUCAGCUCAUUUAAGAAAGAACAUCCUACAGGUAUCUCUCCCUCUCCCUCUCAUUGCCUUCCUAUUGUGCGUAUACGUGUAUAUUUAUGACACUUGUAUUGUAUAUGUAGGGAUGGACAUCUUGCAGAUUUGGUGGAAUUUUCCUUCAUGGAAACUAUGUUCCUGAUUGAUUUGAGUUUGUCAACGAGGGCGCUAAAGUCACUUUUGAUAUUCCCCCAAGUGAUGGUCGUAAUUUUGAAAGGUUAACUCUGUUUUGCUGGUACCGCUCAUACAGAAGCAGUUAUCUUGUCAUUAUUGUUAUAAAUAAUACCCAACGUACUAAGUUGCGAGCUUACAUAGGCAGAGCGUCUCCUGACCUCUCAAAUGUAGAUGAUUAUCUUUUGCAGGGACAACUCUGGAACAAUAAGCUCAAGUUGGCAAGGUGGGGAUAAAGUCGAUAUACUUUUUAAAAACCUCUUACCAAUAAAGAGAAUAGGGGUUAAUCUAGUAUGGGACAAACCUAUAAAGGAAAAUAUGCAUGAUUUGGACAAAGCUGGUUUUGUUUUUGACACACAUCCAACUCGGUUUUAUGAUGAGGGAGGACCAAGCCAUGAUGCACCUGAUAAUAAUCAUCCCAGGAAGCAAAUGAGAUUUACUAUAGAUGACUGAAAUGGGAAAAUGCAGGAAGUGAAGCAUCAUCUGUCUUGAUUAAGUCACACCCAGAUCGGUUCUAUGGUAAAGCACGAUCAAGGUGGUGAUGCAUCGUCAUCAUCACAUAUCUGAGUCAGGUCAUAACCAAUUCAUCAAACGUCUCUUUCAUUUUUUCCUGUACUGGUUCGAUAAUGAAGACAAGUCCUUAUUUCAUACUUCUUUAGAUUCGUAUGAUUUUUUCAAUAAGUAGUUGUUUUGAAUUUUGAAGAAAUAUUGCAUCUAAAAAACAUUUCAACAAUACAACAAUCAAUAUAAGACAUUCAUCCAAAUAUUUGACAAAUACUACUUGAAUUCGUACAAAUACUUGCCCUGCUUCCACCACAUAUUCCAGGAAAUCAAUGACAGCCUCAAGAUGCCAGUCAAUAUGUAGUUUCUACUACGUUUUCAUUAAUCUUGACUUGCCCUGACAUGUUAGCAGAAAAUUGACUCUACAUUUUAGUAGAAGAUCUAUUACCUUUCUACUACCUUUGGAGUCGAUGAACUCGUUUGCACAAUCAAAAAAUAGUCCUGUUGAUUCUCCAAAACUGCAGACGAAAGUUGUUUGUAACAUCAUAGAGCUGUUCAUGUUAAGAUCAAACCCCAGCCCAUGUUGUGCCCUUCUGUAAACACCAACUGUUUUUGUUAUGUCUAAUAGUUUUAAAACCCACAGUAUCGUGCGGGUCCUUUUGCUAGUAAUUUAAAAAGAUGGUCUCUUUUAACAUUUUGAUUUUCUUUUUGCAAUUGUAUAUGAACCAGCACGGGAGAGUUUUCAACGUGUUCGAAGCACAUCAUGAAACGUCAUAUGUUAUCAUACAAGUAUCAUAAUACAAUUGGUUUGACACUUAAAAAAAACAAUUUCAUCCAAUUAUUUGAUACUUAGUAUAUCAAACCGUACUUUUGGCAUACUAAAAAACUUCUCAUAAAAGUGGGUACAUUAUGAGUAUUAUAAACAAGUGGUGCUAAUUAAUAUUUAUUCUGGAAGGAUUAAACCCCAAUUAAUAUUUAUUCUGGAAGUAUUAUAAACAAGUGGUGCUAAUUCUUCCCUGCAUCUUCCCUCCCACCCAGCAGUAUGUUGUUAAUAAUCGCUUCCUAAUGUGAACUACUCUUCACUCACCAGUAUACGAAGAGAAGUAAUUCCUUCAUGCAAUAUUGUCCGUUAAGAUUAAGAGAAAUGUGGAGAAUUAGAUUUUUAUUAAAUUAUUAAAAAUAAAAUUCAACCAUCAACGAUUAUCUUAUUUGAUUUAUUAAAUAGUAAACUGUCGGUUUACCCCCUGAACUUUCACCUCACUUUCGAUUUCCCCCCUGAACUUUUCCAUUGGAAAAUUAAGGACUCAAACUAAUUUUUUUAGCCAAUUUGCCCCCUACCGUUAGUUUUUCAUAUAUUACAUCCAUAUUUCCGUUAAGUGAGACCAUGUGCACAACAUGUGAGGGUAGUUAAGUUAUUUUACUCUUAAAAAUGAUUAAAAAACUGAAAAUAAUAAAAAAAGCAAAACUUUCCCUCUAUUUUCCCGCUAAUUCCUAUCCUCGAUUUUAUUUUUCCCUCUCAUUCCUAUGCAUGAGAAAUGACAUAUGGUGUUAUUGUCUACCAUUUUUAUUUUCUCUAACAAAUUAAUAAUUUGACAAAUGCUAAUGGUGCUAUUGUCUCCAAAGCAGUGCAUUAAUAUAAGAAACCCUAGUCUUUUUUAUAGACAUGUUUCUUAUAUUAAUGCACUGCUUUUGAGACAAUAACACCAUGAGCAUUUGUCAAAUUAUUAAUUUGUUAGAGAAAAUAAAAAUGGUAGUACAUGCUUCAAAAAAAAGAUUAACUUAGCUACUUAUGAAGACAAUAACACCAUAUGUUAUUUCUCAUGCAUAGGAAUGAGAGGGAAAAUUAAAAUUGAGAAUAGGAAUUAGCGAAAAAAAAUAGAGGGAAAAUUAUUAUUAUUAUUUAUUUUUAGUUUUUAAUCAUUUUUAAAUUGAAAUGACUUAACUAUCCUUACAUGUUAUGCACAUGGUCUCACUUAACGGAAAUAUGGAUGGAAUAUAUGAAAACUAACGGUAGGGGGCAAAUUGGCUAAAAAAAUUAGUUUGAGUCCUUAAUUUUCCAACAGAAAAGUUCAGGGGGAAAAUCGAAAGUGAGGUGAAAGUUCAGGAGGUAAACCGACAGUUUACCCUUUAUUAAAUUAUAUAAACUAAAACUCAGUUUUCUCACCACAGUUUAUUAACAGUGAAAGGAAAAAACUGCCCUUGGUUUUCUUCUCUGUUGACCUCAUGUUUCAGUUUCUCUACAGUGUAAAGUCAUUUCUGCCCAUGUUGGCCUCGCGUUUUUCAUUAUUCAUCUCUGUACUUCGACCGUGCCUUCUUGUUCGCUUUACCUUUUGCUUCAUUUGUGCUUUUCAUGUCUUCCUUUCGCCCUCUGUUUUUCUUGAAUCCUCUAUUGCUCUCGAAUCUUUCGUUCCUUAUUUCACAAAAUAUUCACCAAACAGAUCCUGAUUUUCGUUUUUUAAGGGAUUUUGUUGCGCUCCGUUUUGAGGGAAGUUGUGUUUCUCUGUAAAGCUAGCUGUAGAACAAGGGUUCUGGGAGUUUUGUGGAAAGUCAUAAAAUUCGUUUCUAGGGUUCUUAAACUUGCAAUUGGCGGGUCAAAACUUCAUAGUAUUUGUUUCUUUUGCCGUUUGGGAUUCCGGAGUUGUCGCUGGAUUUCUGGCGAAUCUGUAGCGCGGUUUGGGAGCGGGCUGUCUUCAGAUCAUUGUGAAGCAAAUUUUAUUGAAUUCAGGUACAUUUUAUAAUAGCUGUAUUUAAGUUUUUAUUUUGGAUUUGUGGUGAGUUGCAGUGCUUUGUCAAGGCUUUCGUGUUUAAAAGGGCAUUUUGUGUUUUGCUACCCCAGUUCAUAAAUCUCAGAUUUGGCAGCAAUUGGAACACUACUGUUAUUUUUUGGGUAUGUUAUAUGUCCUUCCAUUUUUUAAUUUUAUACCGUUAGUGUAGGAACCCUUCUGUUGGGUGAAGUGGUAGGUCUAAAAAUGGAUAUCAUCCAGUGGAAGAACCCAUACGUGGUGUUUAUUUUUAGAUAAGAUGGGAAGAUGUAAACAGUUGGAGGUCCAUACCAUUUUCCAAGUUCUUUAUUAAUGUGAAUGUUUAUGUUAUUCGGAUUCGAUUUGUAAACAAAUAAUUGCUUUCAAAAUAAUGAACUCUAUUAAACAAAAAUAAUUGCUUACAGUAGAGAAUAACUAUAAAUAUUAUUGUAAAGUGUAUAUUUAAAUAUUUUUAAUUUAUAUAAAUCGAUAGGUUACAAUUGUAUUCUGUGCCUAAAUCAAAUCACUAACUUGAACCAUGCUCUUUAUUUGGGAACUGUGCGUUUUUCUUAUUUGAAUUAGUAGGGUUUGUAUGUUUGUUUUUAAAAUUUGAUUUUGUGUGAUUUCAUUUUAAUAGAUAUUCAGAAUUUCAGAAAGCAGUUGCGGUUUGAUUAAUUAAGGCCAACCUGAUUGAUAGAGGUCCGAUUACAGGUACACAACAAAUCACCUCACCUUUCUACCAAGAGUCUGCUGCUUUUUCCAAAAGGAAAAGUGUAGCUUGGUUUGAUCUCUUAUUUGGAUUGUGUAUAUUUGGUUUGAUCUCUUAAUUUGUGUUGUGCAAAUUUUGUUUGAAUUAAUUUUUGUUGGGCAGAGGGAGCAAAUAAUUUUUUAAAUUAAUAAAUUUAGUUUGAGUUGUACGUAUGCUGUUGAAUAUUAUUUACGAGGCAUGAUCAUGUCAAGAAACUGUUUGUUACAAAUUAUUCGUUACAAUUUUGCAUCAACUGUUUUUGUUAUGUCUAACUCCGCCUAUGUCUUACAUGGCCGGGUGUCUUACAUGGCCGGUCCGCCAAGCCCGCAUAAAGGAAAGGGGAGGGCGUCAGUAGUCCGACUAGCGGCACUCCAUGAUCACGUCGAAAUCCUUAUGAAAAUGGAAUCCAGAAACAAAAUCGCGCUAAAGCUAGGGCGUCACCGUUUAGUGGCGCGCUGUGUGGCCCGAGCAACAGUGAUAAUUUUGAGGCAAUCGCUGACCAUCCAGAUCAAUAAUGAAGCAAAACAUAAACCCCUUUUCGAACGCUCCACUCAAAGCUGUUUUGACAAUGACCUCAAUCAAAGGCUGCACAAAAGAAGUGAUCCUGGAAAGGAAGGGGGAUGUGAAAGAAGCUGAAGAAGAGGUUAUUUUCAUAAGCUUCAAUGGAACUGGAUGAAGGAAUAUUGGCUUUAUGGAAGUAGUUGUAAGUUAAAGAGUGUAGAAUGAUAAAGUCUUAGAUCCUACAAGAAACUAAGUGGGUUGGUAGAAGGCAUAAGGAUAAAAAACAAUAGGGCAGACGAUACGAAGAAAACGGUGUUGGCAAUCGGGAUAAGACUUGGGCUUCACUGUAGAUGUUAAGACGAAGACAGAUGCCAAUAGGAGUGGCGAAUUUAAGAGCAAGUAUUGAUGCCUAGGGAAAUUUUUUGGCAGGAGCGACGUCACAAAAGUGCAUGAACAGGGAGACAGGGUAUGUAAGCCUAAUGAGUCGAUACAAUGACUGGAGAGGUGAUCACCUACAAGAGUGGGUUUUCACAAAUAGAUUUUCUUCAUGAUGGGCGGGGAAACCUUUGGGCAAUCUUAUACGAGCUGCUAAUGGAAAUGAUAUAGAAUGGGAAAAGGAUUUACACAUGGUCUUUAAUAGAUUUGGAAAAAAGCGUAUGAUACGAGUCCCAAGAGAGCAUUCUUGGAGAUGUUAGGAGAAGAAAGGAGUAGCGAGUAGCAUAUAUCCAGCUAUAAAAGGAUAUGUAGAAGGAUCAAAGACUGCCGACAAGAAUCAUCUAACAAGACAAACCGAAGCUUUCCCAUAACUGUAGGAUUACAUCAAGCUCAUCCUUAGAGUCCUUAGCUUUUGCGUUGGUAUAUGGAUAGUUAACAGGACAUAUUCAUGACGAUAUGUAUUUUUGCAGGAGUAUUAAAAGAUAAACUCCUUUGAAGUGUUUUUCUAAAGGUCUUCGCCGCCGAUCAAAGACGAAUAUAUGCAAGCAGUUCAUGAAUGGAAACGAAGUUAGGGGUGAGGAUCGGAGAUCAGAAAUACCAAGAGGACCGUUUUCGUUACCUAGGAUCAUCUUGCAAAAGAACGGAAACAUUAGAUGGAGAUCAGAACCACAACUGGGAUGGCUGGAUGGAUGAGCUCCGGUGUGUUUUGUGGCGCCGCGCCACUGAAGCCUCAAAGGGAUUUAUAGACGGCAAUAAGGCGGCGAUGCCUGUAUGGCACAGAAUGUGGGCGGGGAAAACACGUACCACUACCAAAAUGGGUAAUGAGAUGCUUCGACUGUGUGGGCACACGAGAAAGGAUAAGAUUAGGAAUGAGGAUAUCCGGGGUAAAGUAGGAGUAGCCGAAAUUGAAGGAAAGAUGAGAGAAAAUCGGUUACGAUGGUUUGGACAUGUGCAAAGAAGGCCUACUGACGCUUCGAUUAGAAGAUGCGACUAUGGGACAGAGGUUCAGGGCCGAAGGGGUAGAAGAAGACCUAGGAAAACUUUGGAAGAGACUCUAAGAAAAGACUUAGAGUACUUGGAUCUAACGAAGGACAUGACACAUGAUCGAGCACAAUGGCGUUCUAAGAUUCAUAUAGCCGAUCCCACUCAGUGACUUGGAUUUUCCAAGUCUCCAACCGAGAAGUUUUCCUCACUCGGAAAAUUAAGGGAACACUACCCCAACCUACAUGCUCCACUCAGAAAGCUUCAACAUACAAGCUUCAACAAAAGAAAAUUCAAAGAACUUAGCAAAGAAGGCUUUGGUGUAUCUAACACAAUACGUUGAAAUGAAGGAAAGCUUAUUUAUUGAUAUCCCCGAUAAGCUACAAAUAUGUACAUAUACAUGAGUCAAAAUAAACACACAAGAGGGAGCCUUCACAAAGGUUGCUUAGGAGAAGUCUCAGCAGUCGGUAGAGCCCCAGAAAGAGAAGGCACCGGAGGGGGAUCAUUUGGAGCCUCAGUACUGGACAGAACCCUAGAAAGAGGAGGCAUCAGAGGUUGAUCAUUUGGAGCUUCAUUACGCGGUACAGCCCCAGAAGACGAAGGCAAUAAAUGCCUUUGGAACAAAACCACAAAUCUCUGAUGAUCAAGUAAAACCUGACCAUCAGUUUCCUUCAUCUGGUCAAGCUUCCUCUUCAUGUUUGUAGCAUUGUCAUGUGCGAGCCGGUGCAACUGUUUAUUCUCAUGCUUGAGCCCUCUAAUCUCCUGUUUGAGACUCAUCACUUCAGCCGCCAAUGAUUCAACUUGGCGGGUUCGAGCAAAUAGGCGUUGGGCCAUAUUAGACACAGAACCUGCACACUGAACAUUGAGAGCCAGCGAAUCCUUAACAGCUAACUCAUCAGACCGUUUGGAAAGUAGUCUGUUAUCUUUGGGAGUGAGAAGGUUCCUGGCCACCACCGCAGCGGUCAUAUCAUUCUUCAUCACGGAAUCCCCAACGGUAAGAGGACCAGUAGGGGAGACGAAGGAUGAGCGCCAUAUGUUGUCUGGAGAAGGCGGGGCUGCCUCUUCAACAAGGUUCAAGUCAAAACGACGGUCGGAGGGGCCAGACAUUUUCAAAGGUGUUGAAGAGAGAAGAGGUCGGACAAAUCAAGAUCUUAGAAGUGCAAGAAGAAUGAAGCUUCUACUGGUGGAGAUUCAAGUGUGCUUUGGAACUUAAUGACAGCCCCUAUAAAAAUCUGCACUCGACGGAGCUUCAGAAAUCGAAGAGGCGCCUGCUCAGAAAUCGAAGAGGCGCUUUGCUUUCAAAAGCUGGGCUGCUUAGAGAUCACGAGGGUUGAUCUCAGAAAUCGAAGAGGCGUUUGCUUUCUCAAAAGUUGGGCUGCUCAAAGACCUCGAAGGCUGAUCUCAGAAAUCGAAGAGGCGCUCGCUUUCUCAAAAGCUGGGCUCCCCAGAGACCACGAGGGCCGAUCUCAGAAAUCGAAGAGGCACCUACUUUUCCAGCCUUGUCAGCACCUGUCACACGCACACUCAGCUUUGCGAAAAUUAUGGGCAUUCUGUCGAAGACUUCUGGGGAAGUAGAAAACACAUGAAUCUUACUGUUCAAUCACCCACUUCCCACACGCAACAAUAGCUCAUGGGUACCACAGAUAACUUUGCCAAAGUUGAGCACGUGAAGCUUGCAGCUCCUACUACAUCGCUCUGACCAAGAAGGGUAAAAGAAUAGCAAAAAAACAGCACUAACAAAGUUUAGACCCAUAAAUUUUGAAGGUCUAGCUACCAUAUUAUUACCCACAAGGGUAAAGGAACAGUACCACUGCUGGAUAAUUGGAAAGUCCUUGUGUGUCAACCUCUGUGCUUCGUGGCAAGGUAGACUAGCAAACAUGCCCAACCUUUACUCACAUUCGAGAAAACACUCCCAAUAAGAUUGCUUGCUCCAAAAUCGAAGAGGCACCGUCCUCCGAAUCUCGAGAGCCAGACUCUCAACAUGACUACUUUCUUAAAAAUCGAAGAGAGGGUAAAGGAACAGUACCAUUGCUGGAUAAUUGGAAAGUCCCUGUGUGUCAACCUCUGUGCUUCAUGGCAAGGUAGACUAGCAAACAUGCCCAACCUUUACUCACAUUCGAGAAAACACUCCCAACAAGAUUGCUUGCUCCAAAAUCGAAGAGGCACCGCCCUCCGAAUCUCGAGAGCCAGACUCCCAACAUGAUUACUUUCUCAAAACUCGAAGAGACACUGCUCCCCGAAUCUUCGAGAGCCAGACCCCCCAGCAUGAUUGCUUUCUCAAAAAAUCGAUGAGGCAUCGUUCUCCGAAUCAAUCGAAGAGGCGCUCGCUUUCUCAAAAGCUGGGCUGCUCAGAGACCACGAGGGCCGAUCUCAGAAAUCGAAGAGGCACCUACUUUUCUAGCCUUGUCAGCACCUGUCACACGCACACUCAGCUUUGCAGAAAUUAUGGGCAUUCUGUCGAAGACUUCUGGUGAAGUAGAAAGCACAUGAAUCUUACUGUUCAAUCACCCACUUCCCACACGCAACAAUAGCUCAUGGGUACCACAGAUAACUUUGCCAAAGUUCUCUGCCAAAGUUGAGCACGUGAAGCUUGCAGCUCCCACUACAUCGCUCUGACCAAGAAAGGUAAAAAGAAUAGCAAAGAAAAGCAGAAACAGCACUAACAAAGUUUAUACACAUAAAUUUUGAAGUUCUAGCUACCAUAUUAUUACCCACAAGGGUAAAGGAACAAUACCACUGCUGGAUAAUUGGAAAGUCCCUGUUUGUCAACCUCUGUGCUUCGUGGCAAGGUAGACUAGCAAACAUGCCCAACCUUUACUCACAUUCGAGAAAACACUCCCAACAAGAUUGCUUGCUCCAAAAUCGAAGAGACACCGUCCUCCGAACCUCGAGAGCCAGACUCCCAACAUGACUACUUUCUCAAAAUCGAAGAGAGGGUAAAGGAACAGUACCAUUGCUGGAUAAUUGGAAAGUCCCUGUGUGUCAACCUUUGUGCUUCGUGGCAAGGUAGACUAACAAACAUGCCCAACCUUUACUCACAUUCGAGACAACACUCCCAACAAGAUUGCUUGCUCCAAAAUCGAAGAGGCACCGCCCUCCGAAUCUCGAGAGCCAGACUCCCAACAUGAUUACUUUCUCAAAAAUCGAAGAGACACUGCUCUCCGAAUCUCGAGAGCCAGACCCCCAGCAUGAUUGCUUUCUCAAAAAUCGAAGAGGCAUCGUUCUCCGAAUCUCGAGAGCCAGAUACCACAGACCACUUUUUCAAAGUGCUCUGACAGAGUUAAAACAUGUGAAACUGGCAGCUCCCACUACCGUGCUAUGACCAAGCAGGGUAAAGGAAUAGCAUUACUACUUGUUAGGGAGACUCCUAUAUAUGUCGACCUCCAUCCCCAACAGACAGGUAGACCUGCAAAAAUGCUCAACCUUUCAUCAUAUCUGAGAGGGCACUCCCAACGAAGCCUUUCGAAAUAUUCAGCUUUCUUUUCCCCCGAUAAUACCUCUGCAAACAAGCUAUACUAGAGCAAGAAUAUCUCAUAUCAUCAGGGUUAAAAGCAAGAGUAUCCCAUAUCAUGCUUUUUUCCCUGUCUUUUCCUUUGGCCUUGUUUUUACCUGCAAGACAAGGAGAAAGAGCAAUCAGUCAGCACUUGGAAUCAAGCUUCCAGCCAGGAACUGACUGCCUGGAACCCCUUACCUGAUUACUUACCUGGCAUUGCUCUCGAGUACUCAUCUUCAACAUCUUAUGUUUCCAGGGAAGAUUCCGCAUCUGCUUGAGGAACAGAUAGGGCAAGUGCGAAAGAUACAAGGAAGCAUGUGGAGACAAGCGUAACAGCACACGUGCCGAUACAUCCAUUACUCUGUCAAAAGCAAAAGUAUCCCAUAUCAGCAGGGUGGAACGUACUCUAGAUUUGAUGGACUUGUUUUGACCCUCAAAUUCUUCAGUCGGCCUUAUACUCUGGAGGAAACCAGAAAACCCUCCAGCUCAGUUCAAGAAUAAGCCUUUGGAAAGUUACUUCUUCAAAAGCAAAAGUAUCUCAUAUCAUCUCUUCUCAUUUUUCUUCUCUUUAUCCUUCAUGCUGCUGCAAGAUGGGGAGAAGGUGAACAAUCAGUCGGAGCUCUGAUUGCUUACCUUGUCUGUCACCUCUUUCAGCAGACCCCCUAGCUCGGCAACUUGGGGGACUCUUACUACAUGGUUUGUAUCGCGCUUGACCAAGCCUGAAACUACAAGUAAGCUUCAAGUGAAAUUGAUACAUUACCUUGUGCAUCUCCACCAGUUAAAGAUACCACCCCUGGAUGGAGGAAGAGUACUUCCAGAGAAGAUGCCACAUCUACCUAUGAAACAGAUAAGGCAAGUUAAGACGACACCACACUCCGAUACUUAGAAGUUUCGUGAUUACGAGAUCAUUCUCCCACAAUAUUUCCUAAUGUCAUUUGUACUAAAUCAUUCACUUGUACUCACUAAAGGAGAGCUUGAACCUAUGUACUUGUGUAAACCCUUCACAAUUAAUGAGAACUCUUCUAUUCCGUGGACGUAGCCAAUCUGGGUGAACCACGUACAUCUUUGUGUUUGCUUUCCUAUCUCUAUCCAUUUAUAUACUUAUCCACACUAAUGACCGGAGCAAUCUAGCGAAGAUCACAAAAAGCGACCGUUUUCGCUACCUAGGAUCUAUCUUGCAAGAGAACGGAGAAUUAGAUGGAGAUCUCAACCAUAGAAUACGAGCUGGAUGGAUGAAGUGUAAGAAUGCAUCCGGCAUGUUGUGUGACCGUCGUAGGCCACUGAAGCUCAAGGGAAAAUUUUAUAGGACGGCAAUAAGGCCAGCGAUGUUGUAUGACACAGAAUGUUGGGCGGUGAAGCAUCAACACGUACACAAAAUGGGUGUAGCGGAGAUGAGGAUGCUUCGUGGGAUGUGUGGGCACACGAGAAAGGAUAAGAUUGGGAAUGAGGAUAUCCGAGGUAAAGUAGGAGUAGCCGAAAUUGUAGGAAAGAUGAGAGAAAAUCGGCUCCGGUGAUUUGGACAUGUGCAAAGAAGGCCGAAUGACGCUCCGGUUCGAAGAUGUGACUACGGGACAGAGGUUCAGGGCCGAAGGGGUAGAGGAAGACCUAGGAAAACUUUGGAAGAGACUAUAAGAAAAGACUUAGAGUACUUGGAUCUAACGGAGGACAUGACACAAAACCGAGCGCAAUGGCGUUCUAGGAUUCAUAUAGCCGACCCCACUUAGUGGGAAAAGGCUUUGUUGUUGUUGUUGUUGUUGUUGUUUUUGUUAUGUCUAACAGUUUUAAAACCCGCAGCAUCGCGUAGGUCUUUUUACUAGUAGUCUAAAAAGAUAGUCUCUCUAACAUUUUUAUUUUCUUUUUGCAACUGUAUAUGAACCAAUAAUGGAGAGUUUUCAACGUGUUCGAAGCACGGCAUGAAACGUCAUAUGUUAUUAUAUAAGUAUCAUAAUACAAUUAGUUUGACACUUGAAAAAACAAUUUCAACCACUUAUGUUAAUACUUAGUGUAUCAGAUUGUGUUUUUGGCACAUUGAAAAAUUUCUCAUAAAAAUGGGCACUUUAAGAGUAAGCAAGUGGUGCUAAUUAAUAAGUUAUUCUGGAGGGUUUAAACCCCAAUUAAUAAGAAAAUUCAGAAGAAAGAAAGUAGCCACUUGCUAGCAAAAGGCAAGGAGAAAGCAAAAAGGUGGGAUAUUGGAUUGGGAUGCGAGUGGAGGACACGUAGGUGUCAUUGUUUAUAUCUAGAUACUGAGUUGUGUGUUCCCGUCACUCUAAAAAAUUUCUCGUGUAUCUUGAGUGCUUUGGCAUUGCUCCAUCCAUCUUUUCCUUGCCCUGCCAGUCAUGUGCCAAAACUUAUCAGUCUAACCCUACUUUCUCUACCUUCAAUAUUUCUACAUGAAGAUUGAUCUGGUCCUGUCAUUCAACUUUCAGUGUUGACUAUGAUUAACCGCUUAUAGUUAUUUUAAGAACACUUUCAGACAAUCCUAAAAAUAUCAAUAACUUAUCGUAAGUAUCAACGGUUAAAUUUUUACCGUUUUACUUUCGGAGUAGGAUUCUUUCCUCUCUUUUUUUUUCUUCACUUCCUUCCCCUCUUAUUUGAAUGAUCAUGAUUAAGUCACGUUAAUAUUUUAUAUUAAUUUUAUAUAUAAAUAAAAAGGCAAAAUAGAGAAUGUAAGAGAAAAAAUAAGAGGAUGAAAAUAGAAAGGGAGAGAAUUCUAAUUAUUUAUUUUCAAUCUUAAUCGUCCAGUGAUUAGAUUGUGGUGUCGUGGUGUUUCACUGAACAUCCUUCCUUUGGGUUUUUUUCAUAAGGAAUUGGAUUUUCUCCUGGGCACAAGGAGCAGAUCUUUUUUAUCAACACACAUAGGUCAUUGGAUUUUCAUCUAACAAUUAUAAUUAUUAUAACUUUAAAUAGACCUUUAUGUUUGUAGUCGUUAGAUAAAAAUUCAAUGAUUUACAUGUGUUGAUCAGGAGAAUCCGCUUAUUGUGCUCAGGAGAGGUUCCAAUUCCCUUUCAUAAAGCUGCUUUUCAUUUCCACUUCUUUUUUUUUUUUUUUUUUUUUUUUUUUUUCAAAAAGCAGCUCUUGCUUUGGUUUUCCACUUUGCUUUUUUAUUUUUAUUUUUUUUCAAAAAGCAGCUCUUGCUUUACUUUUUCAUUUUUUUUUUCUUCCGGAAAGCAGGUCCUAUUUUGCUUUUUCACUUUGUUUUUUUACUUCAAAAAGCAACUCAUGCUUUUCCACUUUUAUUAUUAUUUUUUUUUUUCUUCCAAAAGGCAGCUCAUGUUUUUCCACCGCCUCAUUAUGUGUCGGUAGAGUUACAUGAACACUUUCGCAUCCUAGGGCCUGGACUGAAGGUGCUUUAUUUUGAAUAAUAAUUAGUUUAAUUAUUAAUUAAUGUUUAUUAAUUUCAGAUUUUACUCGAAUAACAUGAUUUGUUUAUUUAUUAUAAAAAAAUGUUAAGGAGAUUCUUUAAAAAAUAAGACUCUUUAUGAAGUCUCUGCCACGUCAUAUUCUGGACAAUAUUUUAUAAUGUUGGAAUGAGAAUUAUGCUAAAAACAUGAGGUGACGGAGAGUCCAUGAAGAAUCAUACUUUGAUAGAAUCUUCUUAUUACUUCUCUUUAUUAUAUAAUCAUUAGAUUAUUGAAUUUGGUCGAACUUUAGUAUAAUUGAUCUUUAAAGAGUAAUAUCGAAAAUAAAAAUUUAAAUUGCAACAUUGCGGAAUAAAAACAUAAAGCGAAAAAAUUUAAAUGAGAAUCUUACUAUCAUUGAUUCGGGAUUAAUGUAGGAGGAAGUAUAAUAAGGUAGAUCUUAAUUGUUUCUACCCGCAAACGUGAAUAAAACAUCUUUAGUUUUCAAGAAUCUUUUGGAUAGUCUUUGUCCUUUCAUGUUCCUUUCUAGGUUCUUUCAUCUUUUCCUCGUUCUUUCCCUGCAUCUUCUCGUUCCCACCCGAGUAGACCCCAACCCAAAUCAGACACACCCCUUCUCCCCACCCGAGCCCACCCGCAACCGUUUACUACUUCCCUCAGGGCUACCUCGAGCAAUCUUCCACCUCCUCCUCCUUAAGAUUGGAAUUGCUAAUUGGGUUUCUGAAUUGUGAACAGGAUAAAGCGUUCUGGGUUGGGUUCUCUGCGUUUUCUCUCGAAGCAUUCGAAUUAUGGAGGGUUUGCAGAAGUUGAUUGGGAAAAUCUCAAAAGACCCCCCAAAAUUGGGCUCCGCUUCAGCUUCCUUCGGCCCUCACCGUGGGACUGAAGGUCUUGCCGUCGCUCUGUCUUCCUCCGAUCAGUCUCGUAUUUUGCUCAACAGACCCGCCAGGUACCUCUAAAGUUUCAGAUGUUUUAAUGGUACUCUGUAAAUUGGGUAGCGUUUGGUUUGGGAUGGGAGGCUUGGAUUUGUGAGUUGUCUUUGAAAUCUCAAAUUGUAGGAUUUUUUGCUCAAUGAUUUCCGCAAUCAUGGUUUAGGGUUCCAGAGGCUUGGGUUUUGUGGGGUUUACCUUUCAAUGAUUUUCCAUAAAGGAUAAUUAAAAACCAUUAUGUAAAUAAUGGGUGCUUGAGUGUGAUUUUUUCUGGAGUUUGACAAGAUGAAUGGGAGUGGGUGGCAAUGUUUGGUGGGCUCUAAGUUCGGUUGUUUCUUCCCUCAUUCACGUGGGACUUUCAUAUAUUUUCUCUUCAGACCAACAAUUUCCUUUUCUUCAAGGCUGCCUCUUCUUGAGAGAGAGAGAGGGAGGAGAUUUCGCAUAAAUGGUAGUGAAGUAGUUGAAGAGUCCCUACCUCAUAAUUUUUUUUUUUUCACUCGUGAUAUGAACAACUGCAGUGCCAUAACGGUGGAUUCCGCCAUGACAGCCCACGAAGUCUCCUCUUCAUCCUCCUCCAAGUCAAAACUCUGGAAUUACACUGUUUUUGAGCUUCAGCGGUGAAACGCGCAAUGGCUUCACCGGCCACCUCCACGCGCAAUUCAAAGACCGGGGAUACCAGGCUUAUAUCGAUGAGGACGAUCUAAAAAGAACAAAAAAAAUAAAAGAGGAACUGUACCAGGGAAUUGAAGAGUCGAGGAUCUCUAUCAUUGUCUUCUCAAAGAUGUAUGCAGAUUCGAGUUGGUGUCUUGACGAGCUGGUUAAGAUCAUGGAGUGCAGAGACAAACUGGGGCGAGAUGUUUUUCCAAUAUUCUAUCAUGUUGAUCCUUCACAUGUCAGGAAGCAAAAUGGAGAUUUUGCCGAAGCAUUUCAGAAGCACGAAAAGGACAUCCAUGAAGAAAAAGAUGGCAAGACACGUGAAAAGGUAAAGCAGUGGAGAUGGGCUCUUACAGAAGCUGCAAAUUUGUCUGGCUGCCAUCUUAAAAUCACUGACAAUAGGUAAUCAUUCACCUGCUUUUCAAACAUUAUAGUGAAUGACUUAAGGGAUGUAUUCAAUUGGAAUUUUGAGGGAUUUUAAUUCUUUUAAUGAAUUUAGGGGUAUUCAAUCAGGAUUUUAAGUGAUUCUUUGCAAUCCAAGGUGUAUUCAAUUAGAAUUUUAAGUGAUUCUCUGAAAGUUUAUAGUAAAUGACUUAAUCUCUCAUAUAAUUGAUCAUGCUUAAUUAAUACACCUUAAUCUCUCAUAUAAAACCAAACCGUAAAUGGAGUUUAAUUAAUAAUGACUUUCGUUCUUUUAAUUAAUCACACACACACAUAUAUAUAUAGAGGAAUCCUUUAACAAUAAGAGGGAUCCUCAUUUUUUCUAAAAAAAGAGGACUCCCUUUUGAUCAUUAGAUUUGACUUUAAUGAAAUUGUGCGGUAGAGAUUGUGUAGCCUGUGAUUUAAUCUCAACCAUCCAAUUUCAUUAAGGUUAAUCCAAUGGUCAAGAGAGUGUCUCUGUUUAAAAAAAAAUGAGGAUCUUCUUGUUAAAGGGUGUAUAUAUAUAUAUAUAUAUAUGAAGGAAAGAAGGAAAGAAAAUUGUUUAUGUACUGCUGAGUAGGGACAAUUUUUCGUCCUUUUAUUCAAAUAGAACAAAAAUUAUCCGAUUUCUUUUCUAAUAUUUUAUUAAUCUUUGUUUUUUAUAUUUAUUUAUUUUACAAAAUUACGCCUGCGAAUUUGGUUCAGUCAGAUUUGAAUUGUUUUUGUUUUAGGGGCUUUUACAUCCAAAUAUUUUUAUGAACUCUUGAGAUACUAAAGUAAUCUUCUGACAUUCUAAAAUUAAUUAAUUAAAAUAUAAUUAAUAGAAAAUUAGAUUAUAAGCCCUAAAUAAGAUCUAUUUUUCGUUAAAGUUGAGUGUAAGAUUAAAUAUACUGAUUUUGGUAACUUUAUAAAAGUGUGCAGGGGUAUUUAAUGUGACGUGAUAAUGAGUUUUAGAAUCAGGGACUAAAGUUAGAUUUAUAAAUGUAUCCUAGUUAUAAUGAAAAAAUAAUCUUAUUUAGGUCCUUAAGUCUAAAUGCCCCUAUAAUUAACAUGCUUAAUUAAUAUUUUACAUAAGCCAAACAUUUAUUAGUGUGCUUAAUUAAUACACCUUAACCUCUCAUUUUACACUCCCAACUUUCUAUAAUUAGAAAAAAAAAAUGUUUGUGAGAAGUGUAGAAUAAGAUUUUUAGAGUGUUAAUAACAGUUCCCUUAAUUAAUACAACUAACUUUUAUAAAUCAAUGAAUGACUGUUUCUUUUAUUCAGUUAGGUCACAAAAUCACAUGCUAGUAGCAGCCAGGUAGUGUGUGCGUGUGUGUGUGUAGGAAAGAAAUUUGUUUAUGUACUGAUAACUCCUGCUUUGCCUUCAUUGAGUCCCACUAAUGAAUACGAAUUCAAUUUUCAGGCACGAAGCAACGGUUAUAAGAGAAAUUAUUGACAAGGUUAUUACAAACUGGCUUUCGACCAUAAACAUAUUACCAGUGGCCAAGCACCAAGUUGGAAUCGAUUCUCGGAUUAAAGAGAUUAUCACUUAUCUUUCAAGUGAUGGAUCAGAUGAUGUUCUCAUGGUUGGAAUUUGGGGGAUGGGUGGAUUAGGUAAAACAACAGCUGCGAAAGCCAUUUUUAACAAAAUUCAUCAUAAGUUCAAGUUCAAAUGUUUCCUUGCCGACGUUCGCGACAAUACAAGUAAACAUGGUCUGGCUUACUUGCAAGAAAAACUUAUUUUUGACGUCUUGAAAGAGAAGUCUGAAAUAAGCAGUGUUGAUAAAGGUAUCAGUCUGAUAGAAGAUCAAUUUUCACAUAGAAAGGUACUUGUCAUCAUAGACAACAUAGAUGAAGUGGAACAACUAAAUGCAAUAGCUGGAAAUCACAAAUGGUUUGGUCCUGGAAGUAGAAUUAUCAUAACGACACGAGAUGAACAUUUACUAAAGCAAGGGAAAGUGAACAAGACAUAUCCGGCCCAGGAAUUGAAUAAAGAAGAAGCUCUAAAGCUCUUGAGUUGGCAUGCCUUUGGAAAUUGACGGCCUAACGAAGGAUUUCUUGAACUCUUAGAAAAGUUUGUUUCUUACUGUGAUGGUUUGCCACUAGCCCUCGAAGUUUUAGGUUCUUUUUUGGUUAAAAGACCCAUUGCAGAGUGGGAAUGUGAAUUGAAGAAAUUGAAAACAACUCCUGAAGGAAAAAUAAUAAAACCACUAAGAAUAAGCUUUGAAGGGCUAGAUGAGACACAGAAGGCUAUAUUCCUUGACAUAUGUUGUUUCUUUAUUGGAGAGGACAGGGACUAUGUCACAAAAGUAUUAGAUGAAUGUGAAUUUUUUGCAACAAUAGGAAUCAGUGUCCUCUGUGAACGAUGCCAUGUAACUGUUGAACGCAACAAGUUGAAUAUGCAUGAUUUGCUUCAAGAAAUGGCCAGAGUAAUCAUUUCUGAAAAAUCUCCUCGUCAGCCUGAAAAAUGGAGUAGGUUGUGGAAUCCUCAAGAUGUCACCAAUGUAUUAACAAAGAAAUCUGUAAGUACAUUCCCAAUUUAAUUUUGACAUAAUGCAUUGUACAAGAAAAGCAUAUAUGUAACCAUGCAUAUGUCUAUUAUACAUUAAAUAACAUUCAUGUGUAAAUAUGUGCGGUUGCACAAAGAAUGUUAAACUAGCCAACAAUAGUACUUUCAUAUAUUCAUCGUAUGUGAGUUUGCGUAAUGAAUAGUAAUACAGGUAAACGUAUGCAAAUAAUCCGUUUCUUACCACUAUAACCUUUUUCUGUUAACAGGGAACUGAAGAAGUUGAAGGACUUGCUCUACAUUUCCCUAACAAGUCUAGUUGUUUCAGUACAGAAGCAUUUGCCCAUAUGAAUAAACUGAGACUGCUUGACCUCGAGAACGUAGAGCUCAAUGGAGAAUACGAACAUCUUCCCAAAGAGUUAAUAUGGUUGCGCUGGCAUAGAUGCCAUUUGCAGUCCAUACCGGAUGACUUUUUUAAUCAAGAUAAACUAGUGUUUUUAGAGAUGAUCGGCAGCAGUCUGGUAAAUGUUUGGGAGGGUUCCAAGGUACAAUCAAUUACACAAAAUGAUGUUGUGUUUCUAUUUUGUUUUUGGAUUUCCUUCUCUUUUUCAUGUCAUCUUUCUUUUGGAUAUUAAUUUUAAUUUUUCUUUGCUUUUCUGCAACAGUCGCUUCAGAACUUGAAAAUCAUUAAUCUCAGCGGUUCCAGUUUCCUAAUUACAUCACCGGACUUUUCACAAGUCCCAAAUCUUGAAGAGUUGAUAUUGGAUAGCUGUAUAAGUUUGUUAGAGAUUCACCCCUCCAUUGGUAAUCUUACAAGACUCUCUUUGGUGAACCUUGAAGGAUGUCACAAGCUUGUUUCUCUUCCAAGGGAUUUCUAUAGGUUGAAAUCUGUGGAGACUGUUCUUCUUAAUGGUUGUUAUCAAUUCAGAUUCAGAGAACUGCAUGAGGAUUUAGGGGAGAUGGAAUCAUUGAGAGUACUUAAAGCAGAUAAGACAUCCAUAAGUCAACUACCACAUACCACAGUAAGAUUGAAGAAACUCACUCAUUUAUCUUUAAUGGCAGCGCCUUGUGGUGAGCGUUCAUAUGCUUACGGUCUGCCAAGCUUCAGUGGUGAUCAAAUCACCAACAUUCAUAUCAUUCGUCACACAAUGGGCGCAUUAAAUGAUGAUGGAGUCCCCAAGGAUAUUGGGAGUCUAAUUUCUUUACAAUAUUUGGAUCUUGGAGGGAAUGACUUUCAUACCCUACCAAGCUUCAGUGGUCUUUCAAAGCUUGAAACUCUACGGUUAAGUAAAUGCAAGUUUCUUCAUACAAUCCCCGACUUACCAACAAAUUUGAAAUUUCUGGAUGCCAAUGGUUGCCCUGCAUUGGAAACAAUGCCUAAUUUUUCAGAAAUGAAAAAUAUGAGAGAACUGCAUGUAAGUGAUUCAUGCAAACUCACUGAGGUUCCAGGCCUGGAUAAGUCAUUAAACUCCAUGACAUUGAUUCAUAUGAGUAACUGCACCAAUCUCACAGCUGAUUUUAAGAAGAACAUCCUACAGGUUCCCCUCUCUCCCUCUCCCCUAAGUUAAUUGCCUUCCUAUCGAGCGCAUGCACACACAAACGCAUAUGUGCAUGUAUAUAUAUGACACUUGUUAUUGUAUAUGUAGGGAUGGACUUCCUGCGGACUCGGUGGAAUUUUCCUCCAUUGGAGUUAUGUUCCUGAUGAGGAUGCUUCGUUGGAUGUGUGGGCACACGAGAAAUGAUAAGAUUAGGAAUGAGGAUAUCCGGGGUAAAGUAGGAGUAGCCGAAAUUGAAGGAAAGAUGAGAGAAAAUCGGUUACGGUGGUUUGGACAUGUGCAAAGAAGGCCUACUGACGUUCUGAUUAAAAGAUGCGACUAUGGGACAGAGGUUCAGGGCCGAAGGGGUAGAGGAAGACCUAGGAAAACUUUGGAAGAGACUCUAAGAAAAGACUUAGAGUACUUGGAUCUAACGAAGGACAUGACACAGGAUCGAGCACAAUGGCGUUCUAAGAUUCAUAUAGCCGAUCCCACUCAGUGACUUGGAUUUUCCAAGUCUCCAACCGAGAAGUUUUCCUCACUCGGGAAAAUUAAGGGAACACUACCCCAACCUACAUGCUCCACUCAGAAAGCUUCAACAUACAAGCUUCAACAAAAGAAAAUUCAAAGAACUUAGCGAAGAAGGCUUUGGUGUAUUUAACACAAUACGUUGAAAUGAAGGAAAGCUUAUUUAUUGAUAUCCCCGAUAAGCUACAAAUAUGUACAUAUAUACAUGAGUCAAAAUAAACACACAAGAGGGAGCCUUCACAAAGGUUGCUUAGGAGAAGUCUCAGCAGUCGGUAGAGCCCCAGAAAGAGAAGGCACCGGAGGGGGAUCAUUUGGAGCCUCAGUACUGGACAGAACCCUAGAAGGAGGAGGCAUCAGAGGUUGAUCAUUUGGAGCUUCAUUACGCGGUACAGCCCCAGAAGACGAAGGCAAUAAAUGCCUUUGGAACAAACCCACAAAUCUCUGAUGAUCAAGUAAAACCUGACCAUCAGUUUCCUUCAUCUGGUCAAGCUUCCUCUUCAUGUUUGUAGCAUAGUCAUGUGCGAGCCGGUGCAACUGUUUAUUCUCAUGCUUGAGCCCUCUAAUCUCCUGUUUGAGACUCAUCACUUCAGCCGCCAAUGAUUCAACUUGGCGGGUUCGAGCAAAUAGGCGUUGGGCCAUAUUAGACACAGAACCUGCACACUGAACACUGAGAGCCAGCGAAUCCUUAACAGCUAACUCAUCAGACCGUUUGGAAAGUAGUCUGUUAUCUUUGGGAGUGAGAAGGUUCCUGGCCACCACCGCAGCGGUCAUAUCAUUCUUCAUCACGGAAUCCCCAACGGUAAGAGGACCAGUAGGGGAGACGAAGGAUGGGCGCCAUAUGUUGUCUGGAGAAGGCGGGGCUGCCUCUUCAACAAGGUUCAAGUCAAAACGACGGUCGGAGGGGCCAGACAUUUUCAAAGGUGUUGAAGAGAGAAGAGGUCGGACAAAUCAAGAUCUUAGAAGUGCAAGAAUGAAGCUUCUACUGGUGGAGAUUCAAGUGUGCUUUGGAACUUAAUGCCAGCCCCUAUAAAAAUCUGCACUCGAAUCGAAGAGGCGCUGCUCAGAAAUCGAAGAGGCGUUUGCUUUCUCAAAAGCUGGGCUGCUUAGAGAUCACGAGGGUUGAUCUCAGAAAUCGAAGAGGCGUUUGCUUUCUCAAAAGUUGGGCUGCUCAAAGACCACGAAGGCCGAUCUCAGAAAUCGAAGAGGCGCUCGCUUUCUCAAAAGCUGGGCUCCCCAGAGACCACGAGGGCCGAUCUCAGAAAUCGAAGAGGCACCUACUUUUCCAGCCUUGUCAGCACCUGUCACACGCACACUCAGCUUUGCGGAAAUUAUGGGCAUUCUGUCGAAGACUUCUGGGGAAGUAGAAAACACAUGAAUCUUACUGUUCAAUCACCCACUUCCCACACGCAACAAUAGCUCAUGGGUACCACAGAUAACUUUGCCAAAGUUCUCUGCCAAAGUUGAGCACGUGAAGCUUGCAGCUCCCACUACAUCGCUCUGACCAAGAAGGGUAAAAGAAUAGCAAAGAAACAGCACUAACAAAGUUUAGACCCAUAAAUUUUGAAGGUCUAGCUACCAUAUUAUUACCCACAAGGGUAAAGGAACAGUACCACUGCUGGAUAAUUGGAAAGUCCCUGUGUGUCAACCUCUGUGCUUCGUGGCAAGGUAGACUAGCAAACAUGCCCAACCUUUACUCACAUUCGAGAAAACACUCCCAAUAAGAUUGCUUGCUCCAAAAUCGAAGAGGCACCGUCCUCCGAAUCUCGAGAGCCAGACUCCCAACAUGACUACUUUUCUUAAAAAUCGAAGAGAGGGUAAAGGAACAGUACCAUUGCUGGAUAAUUGGAAAGUCCCUGUGUGUCAACCUCUGUGCUUCGUGGCAAGGUAGACUAGCAAACAUGCCCAACCUUUACUCACAUUCGAGAAAACACUCCCAACAAGAUUGCUUGCUCCAAAAUCGAAGAGGCACCGCCCUCCGAAUCUCGAGAGCCAGACUCCCAACAUGAUUACUUUCUCAAAAAUCGAAGAGACACUGCUCCCCGAAUCUUCGAGAGCCAGACCCCCAGCAUGAUUGCUUUCUCAAAAAUCGAUGAGGCAUCGUUCUCCGAAUCAAUCGAAGAGGCGCUCGCUUUCUCAAAAGCUGGGCUGCUCAGAGACCACGAGGGCCGAUCUCAGAAAUCGAAGAGGCACCUACUUUUCUAGCCUUGUCAGCACCUGUCACACGCACACUCAGCUUUGCAGAAAUUAUGGGCAUUCUGUCGAAGACUUCUGGUGAAGUAGAAAGCACAUGAAUCUCUUACUGUUCAAUCACCCACUUCCCACACGCAACAAUAGCUCAUGGGUACCACAGAUAACUUUGCCAAAGUUCUCUGCCAAAGUUGAGCACGUGAAGCUUGCAGCUCCCACUACAUCGCUCUGACCAAGAAAGGUAAAAGAAUAGCAAAGAAACAGCACUAACAAAGUUUAGACACAUAAAUUUUGAAGGUCUAGCUACCAUAUUAUUACCCACAAGGGUAAAGGAACAGUACCACUGCUGGAUAAUUGGAAAGUCCCUGUGUGUCAACCUCUGUGCUUCGUGGCAAGGUAGACUAGCAAACAUGCCCAACCUUUACUCACAUUCGAGAAAACACUCCCAACAAGAUUGCUUGCUCCAAAAUCGAAGAGGCACCGUCCUCCGAAUCUCGAGAGCCAGACUCCCAACAUGACUACUUUCUCAAAAUCGAAGAGAGGGUAAAGGAACAGUACCAUUGCUGGAUAAUUGGAAAGUCCCUGUGUGUCAACCUUUGUGCUUCGUGGCAAGGUAGACUAGCAAACAUGCCCAACCUUUACUCACAUUCGAGACAACACUCCCAACAAGAUUGCUUGCUCCAAAAUCGAAGAGGCACCGCCCUCCGAAUCUCGAGAGCCAGACUCCCAACAUGAAUACUUCCUCAAAAAAUCGAAGAGACACUGCUCUCCGAAUCUCGAGAGCCAGACCCCCAGCAUGAUUGCUUUCUCAAAAAUCGAAGAGGCAUCGUUCUCCGAAUCUCGAGAGCCAGAUACCACAGACCACUUUUUCAAAGUGCUCUGACAGAGUUAAAACAUGUGAAACUGGCAGCUCCCACUACCGUGCUAUGACCAAGCAGGGUAAAGGAAUAGCAUUACUACUUGUUGUUAGGGAGACUCCUAUAUAUGUCGACCUCCAUCCCCAACGGACAGGCAGACCUGCAAAAAUGCUCAACCCUUCAUCAUAUCUGAGAGGGCACUCCCAACGAAGCCUUUCGAAAUAUUCAGCUUUCUUUCCCCCCGAUAAUACCUCUGCAAACAAGCUAUACUAGAGCAAGAAUAUCUCAUAUCAUCAGGGUUAAAAGCAAGAGUAUCCCAUAUCAUGCUUUUUUCCCUGUCUUUUCCUUUGGCCUUGUUUUUACCUGCAAGACAAGGAGAAAGAGAGCAAUCAGUCAGCACUUGGAAAUCAAGCUUCCAGCCAGGAACUGACUGCCUGGAACCCCUUACCUGAUUACUUACCUGGCAUUGCUCUCGAGUACUCAUCUUCAACAUCUUAUGUUUCCAGGGAAGAUUCCGCAUCUGCUUGAGGAACAGAUAGGGCAAGUGCGAAGGAUACAAGGAAGCAUGUGGAGACAAGCGUAACAGCACACGUGCCGAUACAUCCAUUACUCUGUCAAAAGCAAAAGUAUCCCAUAUCAGCAGGGUGGAACGUACUCUAGAUUUGAUGGACUUGUUUUGACCCUCAAAUUCUUCAGUCGGCCUUAUACUCUGGAGGAAACCAGAAAACCCUCCAGCUCAGUUCAAGAAUAAGCCUGUGGAAAGUUACUUCUUCAAAAGCAAAAGUAUCUCUCAUAUCAUCUCUUCUCAUUUUUCUUCUCUUUAUCCUUCAUGCUGCUGCAAGAUGGGGAGAAGGUGAACAAUCAGUCGGAGCUCUGAUUGCUUACCUUGUCUGUCACCUCUUUCAGCAGACCCCCUAGCUCGGCGACUUGGGGGACUCCUACUACAUGGUUUGUAUCGCGCUUGACCAAGCCUGAAACUACAAGUAAGCUUCAAGUGAAAUUGAUACAUUACCUUGUGCAUCUCCACCAGUUAAAGAUACCACCCCUGGAUGGAGGAAGAGUACUUCCAGAGAAGAUGCCACAUCUACCUAUGAGACAGAUAAGGCAAGUCAAGACGACACCACACUCCGAUACUUAGAAGUUUCGUGAUUACGAGAUCAUUCUCCCACAAUAUUUCCUAAUGUCAUUUGUACUAAAUCAUUCACUUGUACUCACUAAAGGAGAGCUUGAACCUAUGUACUUGUGUAAACCCUUCACAAUUAAUGAGAACUCUUCUAUUCCGUGGACGUAGCCAAUCUGGGUGAACCACGUACAUCUUUGUGUUUGCUUUCCUAUCUCUAUCCAUUUAUAUACUUAUCCACACUAAUGACCGGAGCAAUCUAGCGAAGAUCACAAAAAGCGACCGUUUUCGCUACCUAGGAUCUAUCUUGCAAGAGAACGGAGAAUUAGAUGGAGAUCUCAACCAUAGAAUACGAGCUGGAUGGAUGAAGUGUAAGAGUGCAUCCGGCGUGUUGUGUGACCGUCGUAGGCCACUGAAGCUCAAGGGAAAAUUUUAUAGGACGGCAAUAAGGCCAGCGAUGUUGUAUGGCACAGAAUGUUGGGCGGUGAAGCAUCAACACGUACACAAAAUGGGUGUAGCGGAGAUGAGGAUGCUUCGUGGGAUGUGUGGGCACACGAGAAAGGAUAAGAUUGGGAAUGAGGAUAUCCGAGGUAAAGUAGGAGUAGCCGAAAUUGUAGGAAAGAUGAGAGAAAAUCGGCUCUGGUGAUUUGGACAUGUGCAAAGAAGGCCGACUGACGCUCCGGUUCGAAGAUGUGACUACGGGACAGAGGUUCAGGGCCGAAGGGGUAGAGGAAGACCUAGGAAAAGUUUGGAAGACUCUAAGAAAAGACUUAGAGUACUUGGAUCUAACGGAGGACAUGACACAAAACCGAGCGCAAUGGCGUUCUAGGAUUCAUAUAGCCGACCCCACUUAGUGGGAAAAUGCUUUGUUGUUGUUGUUGUUGUUGGAGUUAUGUUCCUGAUUGGUUUGAGUUUGUCAAUGAUGGCAAUAAAGUCAGUUUUGAUAUUCCCCCUAGUGAUGAUCAUAAUUUUGAAGGACUGACUCUGCUCUGCAUUUCCCAAUUUUCUUCCACUCUUGCCAUUACUAUUAUAAAUAAUACCAAGCAUACUAAGUUGCGGGAGACCAUCACAAUCAGAUUACAUGUGCGCGAUUAUCUUUGGCAGGGACAUAUAUCGAACGAUAAGCUCAAUUUGCAAAGCGGGGAUAAAGUUGAUGUAAUUUUUGGAGACUGAUUAUCCUGAUAGAAUGGAGAGAACAGGAGUUAAUCUAGUAUGGGACAAACCUGUAAAGUAAAACAUGCAUGAUUUGCAUGGUGCUGGUUAUGUUUUUGACCCAUAUCCACCUCGGUUCUAUGGUGAGGCAGGACCAAGCCAUGACGCAUCUGAUAAUAAUCAUCCCAGUAAUCAAAUGGGAAUUACUACAGAUGACAGAAUGGAAAAGGGCAAAAAUUGUGAAGUGAAAGCAUCACCUGUCUAGGUUAAGUCUCAUCAGAUUGGUUCUAGGGUGAGGCACUAUCAAGGCGGUGAUGCAUCGUCAUCAUCAAGCUCAUCCUCAUCAUCACAUAUCUGAGUUCUUGGUCUACAGAUCACAGCUAGCUUCGUCAUCAGCAAGUCAACAUUUCAUAUUUCUUUCAGAUUCUUGUGAUUUUUCCAGUAAGUAAUUGUUUUGAAUUUUGAAGAUAUAUUGCAUUCAGAAACAUUUCAGCAUUACAAAAACCCAUACAAGUCAAGCAUCCAAUGAUUCGAGAAAUACCACUCGAAUUCACAGAAAUACUUGCCCUACAAAUGCAUGUUCUCAUUUUACUAGCGUAACCGUACUUAAUAGUCAACACUGGACAUUACUUAAACUAAGAUACUUGCAAUUCAAGAAGGCCAUACCUCCACUGUGAGAUACAUAGGCAUCUGUUUCUUCUUCCUUAGGGUUUUCGUCUGCAAGACCAGCUUUGAAUGGGGAAGCGUCACUCUUAUCGUCCAUAAUAAUUCUUUUCUCACUCUCUUCACCCACAACAUUUUUGGUCUGCAUAAAAAGAACAUUACUACAUUAGCUUCUUAAAGUUACAUUUGUAUGGCAGGAAAAAAAAAAGAGCACAAAUUUUCAAAAAAAAAUUUGGGACAAAUAAGACUUACAACUGAUUUCGAAAGAUUCUGUAUUUUCCACCAGGUUCUGCCUCACAUGGCUGUCUCUGGUCACCUUCUUAAGCUCUUCAUUUCCACUCUUCAAAAACUCAUCAGCAAAACGCCUCAGUUUUUCAAAUUCCGUCACAGAAAUGUGUUUUUUGUUCAAGUGAAUCGUACUGUGAAGCUUCCUGCAACUUGCCAAGCAUGACGAGAGCAUGCAGAUCAAGAGCUCCUUUGAACAAGUCUUUGGCAAUGUCUUUCGGCUGCAGCCAUUCGAACCUCAUCCCAUUCGACUAGGAAUCAAUCGUGCGGUUCAGCUUCUGAGCCCCUCUGGACACUUCCAUGAGCUGAAAAGAUGAAGGGAUCUGAUACUCCCCUGUGAUCACAACAUCCUUCUCCGCCUUGUGAUCCAAACUUGGUUCUCGAGUUCUUCGACUUUCCAUCUUCUGCUCUGUUUUCAGGGAACCACUUCGAUUUUCUAGUCAUCCCACAACCAACAAUUCCUUUUGGAUCAUCACAUGUAACAAAUGAUCCGUACACAGCUGAUCUCAGAUUGUCUUGAAGCAUAUUCUGUGACACAAAAUUACAGUCACUAGAAGUCGGAACAUGUCAGAUGCUACGAAAAUCUCUAAAAUCCAAUUAAGUGAGCAUGUAACAUGCAUGGUCCUGGAUGUUCUAGUCAAUUGUUCCGAAAGUCGCCGGUACCGGACAUGAAUUACACUUGGUUGGUUCUGUUUUGGGGAGAGACCAGAGAGACAGGCCAAAUAAACAAUUUGGUGCUUCCAACAUAAACAAUCAAGAAAGAUGAACACAAAUACAUAGAAGAUUCUGUUCUUGGAGAUUUCAAAAACAGGAACUUAUAAAAGGAGCUACUUUGUAAGCAUUUGGAUUUCCUGUGUGAAGCACAGGUUGACUUGGAGUUCCAAAUUUCCAAGUCACCUUCUUUGUGAUGCCAGAAUUUAUCUAAUUACUUUAUUGGGGUGAUUCCAAUGCACCUUUGGCGUGAUGCAAUCAAAAACCUUUUUUAUAAGAAUAGGACACACACUGCAAUGGAAGAAAGAGUGAGCGGCUAAUAUGAUAUAUAUGAGCAAAAAGCAAUCUCGAAGAAACAGAAGGAAGCCUUGAUCUCAUUAGCUACUGCAUUAAACAGAUGCAUCAAGAAAACUCCACACACCCCUAAUAAAUUAGCUUAAGAUUACAUGAAAUAGGCUCAGUCUAAAACUUAUAAGAGGCUAAGUUGUACAUUUUUUGAAUUCAUCUAGCGAUGGCUAUUUCUCUAUCUUAUCCAACUAUUCCUUUGUGUUGUAAGAUAAAUCCUAGAGUUCAAACAAAUUAUAUACUUCUGCUUUCAGGAGAGAAAUAGAUUACAAAUACAUGGCAACGAUCUAGUUUAAGUCCCUAUCAAGCAUUCUAUCUUUCAGCAUACCCCAUGGCUCAACCUAAUAAAUUUAACAACUACUCUAAGCUCUAUAUCUUAAGAAUAAUCAGAAAUCCAACAACUUUAAUUCGCAACCUAUGCAAAAACUUUCAGGUUUUCCUCGAAUUUUCCUCCAUUUUCUCAGCAACCAAACACAACGCUAACACACCAAGCAAUAACAUUUGAAACAGAAAUCGAAACUCACCUCACAGCCUGUGUGGUGGGAGGAGGAGGAAGAUGAGGAGGGUUUGGACGAUGCGUCUUCGUCGCCGGAGUCGGCCACCGGAAUGAGAAGCUCACAAUCUCGCGGUACUCUGUCUCUGUUCGCCAUUCCCUUGUAUUUUUGGCAUUUCAAAUAUUUUGCUUUUAUUUAAUUAAAUUUAAUUACUAUUUUAAUUGGGUGAGGAUUAUUAAAGAAUGAAAAUAGUUAAUCCUGUUUUUUCAAUUAUUUAAAAAUAUAAUAAUAUAGUGGCGAUUAUUACGUGCAUGUGUGGACUUCAAGGAAAUGUUGAGUUUUGUUGUGCAUCUAAUUAAAUAAGGCACCGAUUAAUUAACUCUUAAUCUCCAAUAGGAUUCUUUUCGGAUUCUUUUGGUGAGGAUCCUGAUGAUUCGCGAAUCGUAUCUGUUUAUCGUAUAUCGUGCGAUCAGUUUUUGUCUGGUACUGUUUGUGUUUAAUUUUAAAUAAAAAUAUUUAAAAUAAUUUUUUACUGCAAAAUGUACGAUAAACGGACAUAAUUCACGAAUUCAUGAGAUUCUCAAAAAGAGAAUCUGGCGAGGAUUAAUCUCUCUUUGUUUCUCAAUUUUUACUGUAUAUUGAUGUUUGAUGAGCUGUCUUCCAAUGAUUGGAUGCCAACAUUUUUGCCCUGCAAUUUGGUGUUCUUUUUUGCAAUAAAAUAUGAGAAAUGCUAAGGUUUCUUUUUUGGAAAUAAAAUAUGAGAAAUGAUAAGGGCCUAUAUAUAUGACAAGAGAAACUUUGCACGUAUUUAUAAGUAGUUGGACUACUAUCUAUAUUAUCAAUUAGUUUCAUGAGAAAUAGCACAACUAUUUAUAAGCAUAUGUAAAGUUCAUAUUUCUAUCAAGGGUUAAUUUCAGUUUACUACUUUGAGGCCUCGUUUGGCAGCUCGGACUGUAUUGACUAUUUCUAUAGGAUAGGAUAAAUAGCCACCGGAUAAUACUGACUAAAUUAGUCGGGCGUUUGGUGCAGUAUCAGACUAAUGACCGUAUUAUUUAUACUGUGUUUGGUUAUACCGAAUAGGAGGAAUGAAACUUAAAAAAAUAAAAUAAAAUUAAAAAAAAAAAAAAGCUGAAAUCAGCUUUUUGUUCCCAGAUGUCUCCGCACCCCCAAACUCCCUCCCUCUCUCUCCCUUCUUCUUCUUCCCCGACUGCAUAAUCCCAAAUAAUUUUUCCGGUCUCUGUGAGCAGAUAUCGCCCUCUUUGUGAGUAAUGCUUUAGAAUGUCACAAAAAAGUUGACCUUUUUUCCUGACUGCAUAAUCAAAACUUAAAAUAAAUAAAAAAAAGAAUUGAAACCAUCACUUUUUUCCCAGAUCUCUCCACCGAACACCCCAAAUUCCCUUCAUUUCUCUCCCUUAUUCUUCCCCGACUGCAGAAGAAUCCCAAAUUGAAAUCAUCUCUCCGCCGCACCAUGUUUCUUUGUAAGACCCAGUUGCAGGGGAGGACGGCGAGUGGAUGAGAGGACGAUGACGAUGCCGAGAGGACGACGACGCCGAGAGAACGACAACGAGGGAGGCGACGGGGAAGGCGAGAGGAAGACGACGACGCCGAGAGAACGACGAUGAGGAAGACGACGAGGAAGGCGGCGGGGAAGGCGACGAGGAAGGCGACAGGGAAGGUGACGAGGAAGGCCACAAGGAGAGGACGACGAUGAAGGCAACAAGGAAUGCGACAAGGAAGGCGACGGGGAAGACGACGACGACGUCGAGAAAAGGCGAGAGAGAGAGGGCCGAGUUCGCGAGAGGACCGACUAAUAAUCCGAGCCUUUUGGUUGGGUUUAUUAAUCCGGCAUAUACCCUUUUAGAUAAGCAGACCGGUUAAAUUAAUCUGGCGCUUAUUUAGUAUGAUUGAGAGCCAAACACCCGCGUCCGUAUAACUAGUCCUAUCCGAUCCUCUAUCCGAUUUGCCAAACAGGGCCUGAAGUUUCUUGGUUUUCAAUAUUUGGUACAUAAAGUUUUUUUUGUCUCAGUUUGGUACCUAAAGUCAUAAUUUUGGGGCAAUUUCAUACAUCCGUUAAGUUUUCCGUUAGAAACUCCGUUAACUGAUGACGUGGCACCCACGUGAACAGUGACUGGAUGUCACGUGUCAAUAUGGGCCUACAUAAAAAUUUUAAAAAAAUUAAAAAUUUGAAGAAAAAAAUCCUUUUUUUUACCCACCCGUCUCUUACUUCACUCUCCACCCCUUCCCUCCCAUCUCUCCUCUGCAACUCUCAUGACCAUUCAUUCUCGUCUCUGCAACCCGCAACACCUCCCUUCUCUCCUCUACAACCAGCACCCACCCUCCCCGCACACCCAACCUAACAAAAUCCCACCCAAAAGAAUUCAAAUCUACCAAGAAACCAUUCCAAUUUAUGAAAUAUAUCAAAACCCCACUUGACCUAAAUCCCUAAUUUGGAUAAAUUCGCAAUUCCUAACCGAUUCUUGAGUAUUCCUGGCCCUCGCCACCACCUCCCCUAACCCCUAAACCUCAUUCAGUGGUAGCAAAACCCAUUGUCAUGCAAUUAACUCUCACGUUACCAUUGCCUUCUUCCACAACCUUAAAAACAACCAAACCCAGACCAACCACACAUUGAAUUUGAUCAUGACCGAUUAUCCCACUACGAAAAAACAAACUUGGGGUAGGCUCUCAUACUCCAAAUGAAUCCAUUUACCACGUAUCUUCAAACUAGACUUCAAAGGCUUAUCCAAGCCGCCCCUCGUUAAGUAAGUGUAUUCGAUGGCCGUGAACGGAAGGUUCUAUGUCUUGUGACUUGAAUUGCAUGGAAAGAUAGAGAAGGACGGCCACUGGCACCUGGUGGCUCCCUUGCUUCGAUGCUUUGGUUCUUCUUUCUCCUCGGCAUGUUGUUGGGUUGGGUGUGUGAGAAAGAUGGGUGCGAUUGUGCAUGAGAUAAAGGAUGGUAGGUGCAGGUUGUAGAAUAAAGAAGGGAAGGUGGGUGUGGGUUGCAAAUGAGAGAUGGAAGGGAGGGUGGUGCGGGUUGCAGAGGAAAGAUGGGAGAAAGAGUGAGCGGCUAAUAUGAUAUAUAUGUUUUACAGGUUUUACAGCCAAGGGUUAGAAAUGAUUUAAAUGAAAUGUUUUCGAAAAUCUUUGUUUUACUGACCCACUCAAUCUUAUUUUGCGCCCCUUCAGGUUCUAGUUAGCAGUUGGUGGUUGACGAGGACUUCUACGACAUUCUGACAGACUCCUUGAAUGUAGGACUCACCUGCGGGUGUUGUAAUUUAGUUAUAGUUCUACUUGACUGCACCUAGUACUUAUGCUCUGAAUUUGUGUGUUUCACACUUAAACUUACUCUAGCAUGCUAGUUGGAUAUUAUUGCUAGUAGUUGUUUUUUAUUCCUUCAUAAUUUUUGUAUCUUUUGCUUCCGCACUGCACUUUUGGUUACGUCACGCUCUCGUGGCGGCCAGCACGCCUUAAUUCUAGGAUCGGGGUGUGUCAGUUAACGGUUAUAUCCAUCUUCGGCAAUACGAAAAAAUAUAUUUGCCCAAUUGACACAUGAUAAUUUAGUAAAUAUUAUUUUCGUCAUUAAAUAUUAGAUGUAUAAAAUGAUUUAAUAAAUGGAUCUUGUGGAGCAUAAAAUUAAAGCUAAACAUUGAUAAUGUUGGCUGAUCUUUGAUAUCUCCCAUAAGCACCAUCGAAUUUCAUAGAUUUUGAUUCUUACCAAAACUUUUGAACUUUUGCACACAAAAUGCAACUCACACAACGCAAUUUUUGUAUUCUCAAGGUAAUGGAUUCGGUGAAUAAUGAAUAUAUAUAUAUAUAUAUAUUAUAAUACUUUACUAUUAUAUAUUAUUCGGUUCGGAUUUGGGUACGGAUACGGAUUGGGGACCCUUAUAACCAUAUCCAAAACCAUAACCAAAUAAUAUUCAAGGUUUUUUUCCAUACCCAAAAUAUACCCGAAUUUUCAUACUCAAAUCCAAUCCAUUCGGACAGUUAUGCAUGGUUAUCGGGUUUAACGGUUAGAAUUGUCAUCCCGGUAAGUCACUAAUUAAUAAGUUAUUCCGGAAGAAUUAGACCCCAAAAACAAAGGAGAAAGCAAAAGAAUGGUGGAAUAUUGGCGUUCUUGUCUGUAUAUUUGACUUUGGCAUUGCUACAUGACGAAAGGAAAAAGACAUCCAAUAAAUUAUAACAAUAAGUUCUCCGUCGGUAAUUUUAACUAUUCAACUAAUCAAUAAUGUAUUAUUUUAUAUUGAAAUUUGGAAGCGUUUGAGAUGUAUUAUGACAACAAUCACAUAUAAUAAAUAAAGAGUGAUGUUAGGUAGAUUAAAUUUAUAUAUUACAUUUGCAAACUAAAUAAUAUGUCAUAAAUAAAAAAUAAGUACGUUAAUCAACAAUUAUGACAAAAUAAAAGAUAAAAUGAAUAACACUAGGAUUAACCUUUUAGUGUAAAAACAUAAUUUUUCGUUAAAAUAAAUAGUAUUAGAAAUUUUUCAAUAAAUGUCCCUUAUUUAAAUAAUGAGUGCUUGCGUUUGAUUUUUUUUUUCAGGAGUUUGACAAGAUGAAUGGAAGUGGAUGGCAAUGUUUGGCGGGCUCUAACUUCAGUUAUUUCUUUCCUCAUUCACCUGGGACUUUCAGUUAUUUCUUUCCUCAUUCACCUGGGACUUUCAUAUAUUUUCCCUGGAGACCAUUAAUUUCCUUUUCUUCAAGGCUGCCUCUUCUUGAGAGAGAGAGAGAGAGAGAGAGAGAGAGAGAGAGAGAGAGAGAGAGAGAGAGGGGGAGGAGAUUUCGCAUAUAUGGUAAUGAAGUAGUUGAAGGGUCCCUAUCUCAUCAAUUAGUGGAAAGUCGUUUUUGCCCAUAUGUUGGCCUUGCGUUUUUCAUUGUUAAUCUCUACUUCAACCGUGCCUUCUUGUUCGCUUUACCUUUUUCUUCAUUUGUGCUUUUCAUGUCUUCCUUUCGCCCUCUGUUUUUCUUGAAUCCUUCGUUGCUCUCGAAUUUUUCGUUCCUUAUUUCACAAAAUAUUCACCAAACAAAUCCUGAUUUUCGUUUUUUAGGGGAUUUUGUUUGCGCUCUCCGUUUUGAGGGAAGUUGUGUUCCUCUGUAAAGCUAGCUGUAGAACUAGGGUUCUGGGAGUUUUGUGGAAAGUCAUAAAAUUCGUUUCUAGGGUUCUUAAAGUUGCAAUUGGCGGGCCAAAACUUCAUAGUAUUUGUUUCUUUGCCGUUUGGGAUUCCGGAGUUGUCGCUGGAUUUAUGGUGAAUAUGUAGCACGGUUUGGGAGAGACUGUCUUCAGAUCAUUGUGGUGAGCUGCAGUGCUUUGUCAAGGCUUUCGUGCUUAAAGGGGCAUUUUGCAUUUUGCUACCUGAGUUCAUAAAUCUCAGAUUUGGCAGCAAUCGGAACACAACUGUUAUUUUAUGGGUAUGUUAUAUGUCCUUCCAUUUUUUUCCCAAUUUGAAUAAGUAUUUGUAGUUGUUGGAUUAAAACGUGUUUGUAAUUUUUGAAAAGAGAGGAGUGCAAUGACUCCAAUUUUAGGAAGUUUGUGCUUUUGGUUUGUACGAGAAAGAGAGAACACGAAGUGGGAGAGGAAGAUACAAAAUAGUAAGUUUAAUUGUAAUUUAUUUAUUUUUUUUAAUACUGUUAGCGGAGGAACGCAUCUGUUGGGUGAAGUGGUAGGUCUAAAAAUGGAUAUCAUACAGUUGAAGAACCCAUAUGUGGUGUUUAUUUUUAGACAAGAUGGGAAGAUGUAAACAGUGGGAGGUCCAUACCAUUUUCCAAGUUCUUUAUUAAUGUGAAUGUUUAUGUUAUUCUGAUUAGGAACUUAAGUGAAUAAAUCGUUUUCGAAUUUGUAAACAAAUAAUUGCUUACAAAAUAAUGAACUCUGUUAAACAAAAAUAAUUGCUUACAGUAGAGAAUAACUAUAAACAUUAUUGAUGUAUAUAUUUAAAUAUUUUUAAUUUAUAUAAAUCGAUAGGUUGCUAUUGCAUUCUGUGGCUAAAUCAAAUCACCAAUUUGAACCAUGCUCUUUAUUUGGGAAAUGUGUGUAUUUCUUAUUUGAAUUAGUAGGGUUUGUAUGUUUGUUUUUCAAAUUUGAUUUUGUGUGAUUUCAUUUUGAUAAAUAUUUCAGAAUUUCAGAAAGCAAGUCCGAUCAAUUAAGGCCAACCUGAUUUACAGAGGUCAGCUUGGUUUGACUCUUAUUUGGAUUGUGUAGAUUUGGUUUGAUGUCUUAAUUUGUGUUGUGCAAAUUUUGUCUGAAUUAAUUUUGGGUUGGGCAGAGGAAGCAAAUAAUUUUUUAAAUUAAUAAAUUUAGUUUGGUUUGUACAUAUGCUGAUGAAUAUUAUUUACGAAGCAUGAACAUGUCAAGAAACUGUUUGUUACAAACUAUUCAAUAACUUCGUGUAAGCAUCAAGUGUUAGAUUUCUACUGUUCUACUUUCAAUCUUAGACGUCCAGUGAUCAGAUUGUGGCGUCGUGGUGUCACUGGAAACGUCCUUCCCUUAAUUUUUUUUCAACAAGCAGCUCCUACUUUUCCACUUUGUUUUUUACUUCAAAAAGCAGCUCUACUUUUCCACUUUAUUUUUUUGGAGGAGGAUUGUCUGCCCUCCAAGUUCCCGUGCCCUCCCAUGCCCUCCUGAUUGUGUGGUCACGGUUAAACCACGUUAAUAUUUUAUAUUAUUAUUAAUUUUUGUUUUAUUAUCUUUAUAAAAAAAUAAUAUAAAAUAUUAACGUGACUUAACCGUGACCACACAAAACAGGAGGGCAUGGAAGGGCACCGAAACUUGGAGGGCAGACAAUCCUCCUCCUUAUCCCACUGUCCUAUUAUGUGUUCGUACACUUUUGUCUCCCUAGGGCCUGGGCUGAAGGUGCUUUACUUUGAAUAAGAAUUAUGGCAUGUUUACUCUGUAAUCGGAAUCAAAAGUCGGAGUGUGAUUCCGAUUACGGGUUAUUCUUAUGUUUACUAAAAUUUGGAGGAAUCAAAAUGAGUGGGGCCCACACGAAAAAUGGAAUUGGAUUCCUGUUUUUGGAAGAAUUGUAUUCCGGAGGUGGGAGGUGUCAUUUGAAUUCCGGGAGACAAACGGAAUCCGGAAUACAACUUUUCUACCUAUUAUAACCCCAACUAAUUCCUAAAACUCUAAUCUUCCAGUGAAACCAACAAGCCCAGACCUCUCCGCCUGCCUCCCUUUCACCUCCCUCUACAUUUACACCCCAAUCAACCAAUCCGAACCGUCUUCAGAUAUCGUAAAGCUGGUUCUUCUAUAGUUGUGACGUCGUAGUCGUGUGGGGAUGGAGGAGCGGCACAGACGGAGCCGCAGGAAAUGAUAAUGAAGGAUGCACAGAAAAUAAAAUGUAAGGGAUGGAGGGAGAGGGUGGUGGCGAUGGCGGUGCCGGCUGGGGAGGACUGACGAAUGAUCCUGGGAGAAGAGUAAAAGACGUGAAGGUUUGAAAAGGUAGAAAAAUUGGGCUGCUUGGGAAGUUAUGGGGGGUGGGUAUAAAAAUUAGGUUUAAAAAGGGUUAACAAUUUAGUUUAUAAAGAUCAGAGAGAAAAUUCAAUUAUUUAUGGGUUAAUGUUGUUAUGAAAAUUAUAUUUUAUUAAUUAUCACAUAAAAUCACUCAUUUAGACCAAGGGUAGUUUAGUAAUCAAAUGGUUUCGAUUCCGAUUCAGAAGUGAAUUGGUAAACAAUUUAUAUGGAAUUGACAUCAUUCCUACUCCGUUUCCCGACAGUUUAGUAAACACCUUUCAUAGGAAUCUGUUUUUGAUUCCUCAUCAAUCCAAUUCCUCUUUAGUUCAAUUCCUCCUCAGUUCAAUGCCACCCGUUUUGAUUACGGAUUAGUAAACGAGCCAUUAGUUUAAUCAUUGAUUAACGUUUAUUAAUUUCAAAUUUUACUCGAAUAAUAUGGUUUGUCUAUUUAUUAUAAGGAAAUGCUAAGGAGACUGGCUAAAAAAUGAGAUAGACUUUCCACCGCUUCAUGUUUUUGGCACAAUAUUUUGAUAAUGUUGACUUUUGCCAAAAACUUGAGGUGGCGGAUAAUUCCUAGAAAGUCUCACUUUGAAAAGUCUUCUUAGCAUUUCUCUUCAUUAUAUAAUAUUUAGAUUAUUGAAUUUGUUUGAACUUUAAAAUAAUUGAUAUUUAAAGAGUAAUAACGAAAAUAAAAGAUUUAAAUUACGACAUUACAAAAUAAAAAGCAAAAUAAAACAUAGAGAGAAAAAAUUUAAAUGAGAAUGUGACUAACAUUGGUUGGGAAGUAGUGUAAGAGGAAAUAUAAUAAGGUAGAUCUUAGUUGUUUCUACCCUCAUAUUCUUGAAAAGCAAACAUGAGCCUUCUCUGUGAAUAAAGCAUUUUCAGAGUUUCUAAGAAUCUUUAGGAUAGUCUUUGUCCUUUUGUGUUCCUUUCUUUCCUCUUUUCCUCUAUUUUUCCCUGCACCUUCUCGCCCAGCUGUAUGUUGUUUCUCAAGUCUACCGAAACAUUAUUAAAUUAUAAGCUUCUGUUAUUGUAGAUUGAAGGAUCUUGACUUGGGUUUAGGUGUUUCAGUAUCAUCGGUUUGGCAAAACAAACACAACCACUGCCAUAUUUUUCAGUCGUAAUCUGAACCACUGCAGUGUUAUACAGUGGAUGUAGCCAUGGCAGCCCACGAAGUCUCCUCUUCAUCAUGCUCCUCAAAACUCUGGAAGUAUGACGUGUUCUUGAGCUUUAGAGGCGAAGACACACGUAAGGGCUUCACGGGCCAUCUCCAUCAAGCAUUGGAAGGAAAGGGCUACAAGACCUUUAUUGAUGAGGACGAUCUAAAAAGAGGGGAAGAAAUAAAGCCCGAACUGUUGCGAGCCAUCGAAGAGUCAAGGAUCUCUAUCAUUGUCUUCUCAAAGAGGUACGCAGAUUCGAGUUGGUGCCUCGACGAGCUAGUGAAGAUCAUGGAGUGCAGAUCCAAACUGGGGCAACAUGUUUUGCCAAUAUUCUAUCAUGUUGAAACUUCAGACAUUAGGAAGCAGGAAGGUAGCUUAGCCCCAAUGUUUCAGAAGCACGAAGAGGACAUCCGUAAAGAAGAUGACAAAAAUGGGGAAGCUAAGAGAAAAAGGGUAAAGCAAUGGAGAGAGGCUCUUGCUAAAGCUGCAAACUUGUCUGGUCAUGAUCUUAAAAACACUGAGGACGGGUAAACCAUUUCUAUUAUUCACUUUAAUUAUUUAACUGAAAAAAAUAAGUUUCCCCCCUUAAAACUCCUUAUUCUUUGCCUUUAUCCCAUCAUAUAUUUUUUCAGAUUUAGACCCGGCCAAUGGUUUGUUGUCCCAAAUUGCAUGUCUUCUUUGUGUCUCUUCCCCUCCACUUAACUCUAAAAUCAGCCCCUUCCCCUUCUUCCAAGUUCCAUGCCCAAUUUUAUUUCCUUAAAGGGUUUUAUUUUGUCUUAAAAAAAAGUGACAUAAAUAUUUU
rnacentral:lncRNA from 1 species